AAGCUACUAUCAUCCUCUGGAAGCUUUGGAACAGGAAGAGUCUGAGUCCCCUCAAAAACCUCAAUGGUAGACACCCCGAACAUAUCAAAUGCUGAAACAGGCUGAAGCUGAACAAUGCUGGUAAUCUGGCUCAUGGUCAUCAUGUCCAUCUCAUCUCGGUACUCAUCAUGGGAAACAACUCCAUCAAUCAUCUCAGUAGAAUCAACCAUCACCCCAUCACCAGUGAUCUCCUCUGGAAAGCAUAGAGACAACAUGCUAGCUCGAUCUGGAGAAGUGGGAGUAAUCGUCAAAGGGAAAGGAGAGUCGGGGGCCCCAUCACUCAACUGUAGCUGGUGAAAUAGAUGCUGAAGAUCGGUCUCUCUAUCUGUAUGAACCACACUAUCAAUCUCCUCUAGACGAGGUCGAGUCUCUGAUCCUCUGACAAAGUAGUCAGCCAAACUCAUCCUAUAGGGUCGAAUAGGAUAAUCAAAUGGUGUGUGGGAUAAACGGGCUCUCACCCUCUCCUUGCGCAGCCGCGCCAUGUGACGGUAGUCGGCCUCAGUAGGGAUGAAUCCAAGUCCAAAUGUCGUAUCAUGGUCAAUGGCAGCUAUGAACUCGCUCGGUCCCUGCUGACGUCGUCCUAACCCCAUGCCAGGUAGAAAGGUCAUACCCCUCAUCAUAUCGAGGACCACUGUGCUGCUGUGCUGAUCAAAUGACAUAGCCACAAAAUCUCUACAAAAAUCCUCAAUCUCGAGAGUCUGUAUCUCAUCAAAAGUAAACCCAGUCAGAAGUAGGUCGUCCUCACUGUGACUGAUCUGAAGUACUGGCUCAGAAGCGACAAAUAUAUCCCUGGUAGAGCGAACUGUGACGACCUGCCCAUCAUGAACAAACUUCACCUUCUGAUGAAGGGAAGAUGGAAUAGCCCCGGCCCUGUGAAUCCAUGGUCGGCCCAGAAGCAGGUUGAAGGAUGUGGGAAUCCUCAAAACCUGAAAUAGGAUGGGAAAUGUAGUCGGACCAAUCAUCAACUCUAUCAUCAGAGUACCCAUGACCUCCCUCUUAGUACUAUCAUAUGCUCUGACCGUCUGUGUAGAGGUACCGAAGUCUGAAGGUGCAUAACCAAGAGCAAUAGCAGUAGCCAAUGGGCAAACGUUCAAGGCUGAGCCAUUGUCCAAUAGGACGGAUGGAACUCUGUGGCCUGAACAACCAACUGUAAUAUAUAAAGGGUGUGUGUGGUCUGAACCCUCUGGUGGUAAGUCAUCAUCUGAAAAUACAAUGCAAGUGGCCCUGCCAGCCGUCAUCAUAUGAAUCAGUCCCUCCGGGGUAGUGGUGGUCUCUACGCGGAUCUGGCUCAAAGCCCGAAUCAAUGCAUCUCUAUGAGUACUAGAAGAUGCCAACAAACUCCAGAUAGAUAUGCGGGCCUGUGUACUCUGUAACUGCCUCAAUAUCUCAUCAUCCUCUCUCCUGACCUCCUCAUGAGAAACCGCGCCAUCAAAUGGCCUAGCUACUAGAGGUGGGGGCUGAGCUACUCUCCCACUACGGGUCACAAUCUGUACAUCUCUCCCCUCUAAAUCAUCGUCAUCUAACCAUAGGAUAAAUUGGGCGGGCGGGCCCUGAUGUGCUGUAAUCAAUGGUGCAAUAGAAGUCAACUCAAAUGGUAUCCAAUCUGGAAUCAAACUGAACGGAGUAAAAGUCUGAGAACCCACUGUGUCAACCUCAUAACCAUCAUCCAAAACAAUCGGCUCUGGCACUCCAUCAUCCCAACUCAUCAUGUGUAUGCUGUCAUCCUCUACAAAAUCUAUAUGAUGUAUACCACCCGGGGGUGGUGGCACUGCAUGUGUAGAGUGAGCCGGUAGAGGGUUCGUGGUUACACUUGGCUGCCCCAAGUUAACCAGACCCUGAUCUAUCAAGUCCUGUAUAGCAUGUCUCAAGGCGGCGCAAUGAUCUGUGUCAUGCCCUGGGCCCUGAUGGUAGGAACAAUGUAGAUCCAUCCUGAAGCGUGGUGGCAUAGGCUGGGGUACAGGCCUAGGUGCCAACUGAGUCAACAAACCACCCUCCAUGAGCUUUUGGAAAGCUCGACUCAAAGGCAUACCUAGCUGGGAGAACUGUCGUGUCGGCCUCUGUACAAGAGGAAUAGUAGUCUGUGGAGCUCGAGGCCGAGGAUAUAAGGUAGGAGGCCUCUCCGAGACCUGUGCAGCAAAAACAGGCUCUGGGGUCUGGUGUAGGUAUGUAGGAAUCAUGGGCCUGGGUGGUCUAUACUGAGCAUAAUGCUGCGGGUAAUAGGCUCGUGAAGUCUGCCCGAAUGUCUGAUAGCGCCUGGGAGAUCUCGAUCCUACUGAACUGAUAGCACUCACAUCUCCUGGUCUCUGUCCUCCUAAGGGCUUCUUCCCCUUUGAAUCGUAAGGAGAAGACUCGGGCCACAACCCUCUAGCGAUGCCCUCCUCUAUGCCAUACAGGGCCUGUACCAAGGAUCCAAAAUUCGUAUGAGGAAAUCCCAUCAAAUGUCUAGCAAAUCUAGGUUGUAAACUCCUCAAAAUCAUACUAAUCUGGUCCUUCUCGGAAGGACGAUCAACAAUCUGGGCGAUCUUCUCCCUCCAUCGGGAGAUAAAUGAAGUAACCGACUCAUCUGGCCCCUGUCUCAAGGCCUCCAACUCUCUCCUCGAGACAUCAAUGACAGUGUUAAACGCGAACUGUCUCAAAAACUCUUGGGCCAAGUCAUCCCAAGUCCUACGGCGUGAAGCGUCUAAAGAAGCAAACCAACGUUGUGCUGCACCACUCAAGGACAUGGGAAAAAGCAUAAUCAAAUGGGCCUCAUCCAACCCGUGGGCCCUCAUCACACUACUGUAUAACCUCAAAUGAAUCUUAGGGCAACCUAUGCCCGUAUACCUCUCAAUCUCUGGCAUCCUGAACUGAGUCGGUAAACUGACUACCGGUGCUCCAUCAAAAUCAUCCCAACUGAUGUCUCCAUCCGAAACCCUCAUCUGUCUCAUCCUCUGCUCAAGUCUAUCCAUACGAGCAUGUGCAUCCUCUGAUGCCUGAAUGGGUGCUACAACAGGAAGUGGGGUAGCAUCAGUCUGACUAUGUAAAACAUACGGUGUCGGGUGUGGAACUGGCUGACUGAGUGGAGGGGGUGGUGGUGCCGUAGAGUCAUACUGUGCACCAUCCUGAGGUGGGGCCUGCUGCCCGUCUAUCCUCUGGCCAAGGCCGGCUAUAGCCUCCUGAAUCGAAGCCAUGGCCGCAGCAAACUGGUCAACUGUGACUACCUAGGAGUCCAUAUCUCUUUGAUCUACUCUCUGGUCUGGCUGAUCUGAUACUCUGGUCAACCUGCCUCUAACUCUAGUCCACGAAGGCGAAUCCAGACUGGGCGCCAAAAAAUACUCCUAUAAACACGGAAACACUAGAUGAGACGUUGUACAAGGGUAACUCUGUAGAAAUCGACUAAAAGGUAAUCAAGCAUAUAGCCCAUGUAUACUCAAACUGAUACCCGUAUCUGAUCAUACCAAAAUGGGACUAUGGAGAGGGUAAUCGAACCCAAUUGUAACCAAGGCAGCUCUGAAGGUCCACAGAUGCACCCACGUGUAAGAGUGAAAUCCUAAUUGGGUCUAGGCUAGCCUAUAAGGUUGUGGUGGUUCUAUAAGAUAAAAAAAAAAGGGUGGAUUAAAGAAUCCCUAGCAGAAGCGAUCGUACCCUCCGGCGGUACGCAACCCUCUGCACGCCUCCAAGGAGACGGGGUGCUUCCAUGCAAGGUGGUCAUCACCUCCACACAUGCACUUCCUCGCGUUCCCAGGGGGUUUCUUAAGGGUGAAGGCUCUCCCAUCUCUCAACACUCAAGGAUAAUCUAAAGUGCACGAUGAAGAAUGUGGGUGCAUCCGAAAAACCUAAGAUCUAAAGUGAGAUAGUGAACAAAGACAAGCAAUCAUACAAUCAUGCAAGAGAAAGGGUUGUCAUGCAACAAGCAGUCAUACCAAGCAAAUAAGUAUCAUACAAUCAAAGUCCUAUCUAGCAUACGUGAGAGUGAAUCAUGCUGAAGUGAGCAAGCAAUCAAGUGAUCAUCCAAGGCAAUCAAACAUGUUAAGAUAGCAAACCAAACAAGCAAGCAAAUCGAAUCACCUUGCCUAAAAAGGAGGUACCCACUAAUCGACCAAUUAAACGCCACAUUUUCCUCAACUAGUGUUCAAGCUUGAUCCUCAAAAUCCCCAGUGGAGUCGCCAAUUUGUGGACCCGCAUUUUUCACGUGCGUCCCCACUCGAUCGGCGAGACUCGCUUUUCAUUUAUGAAAAAUUGAUUUUUGAAAAAAAAGUUGGAGUCGCCACUUAUUUUAUUUUUUUUAAAAAGGGAAAAUAAAACAAGAAAUAAAACCCUAAAAAAAUGACUCCAUAAUUUUUGGAAAAGCGUGUCUUUGAAAAACCCGAGUCUAAGUCCGGGGAUCAGGUUACUUAUUGGGAAGGUACCUCUAAGAGGUAGCACCCCUCUAAGCCCUAAAGAGGUCUCUACUGACUAAGUUAAGGGGAAUAUGGCAAUUAAUCGGUUAAUUAUGGAUACCUAAGUAGGCUAGGUGAUUUCAAAAAAAUUUGCAUGCUAAACAAGAUCAAAUCACAAUAAAGGAGAGUUAGGGUGCGUACCUGGACUGCCUCUCAAGCGCUAUCAUAAAACAUCAGAGUUAGUAUAGAAGUAUAACACACAACAUGUAUUUAAUCAUAGUGAAUCAAACAUACAUCUAAACACCUAAGGAUUAUCAAACAUAUGCAUACUUCACAGUGACAUGAUUGUUUACAAAAUUUAGAAAGUAGGUGAUAGGGGGGGCGUACCUGGAUAGCAUAGAUAACUUACAAUGCGCUUCCAUAAGACAUGAGGGAUUAGAUAAUAAUAAAAUAAAGAAACCCUAGCAUGCUUGCUAUCUAAUUAGCAUAACAAAAAUUAUCAAAGUAUAUGAAAACAUUAAUUAUCACACACAUCUUGUAUACAAUUUCUAAAAAAAAGAUAAGACAUGAUUUCAACAAGUGUCAAAUGUGGCAACAAAAAUAAAUUUUGAAAAGAUUUUCUUAUGUAGGGGUUUCACCAAUUCCCCAAAUUAAUAUACACGAAUUUAACUCAGAAUUAUCCCAUUUANNNNNNNNNNNNNNNNNNNNNNNNNNNNNNNNNNNNNNNNNNNNNNNNNNNNNNNNNNNNNNNNNNNNNNNNNNNNNNNNNNNNNNNNNNNNNNNNNNNNNNNNNNNNNNNNNNNNNNNNNNNNNNNNNNNNNNNNNNNNNNNNNNNNNNNNNNNNNNNNNNNNNNNNNNNNNNNNNNNNNNNNNNNNNNNNNNNNNNNNNNNNNNNNNNNNNNNNNNNNNNNNNNNNNNNNNNNNNNNNNNNNNNNNNNNNNNNNNNNNNNNNNNNNNNNNNNNNNNNNNNNNNNNNNNNNNNNNNNNNNNNNNNNNNNNNNNNNNNNNNNNNNNNNNNNNNNNNNNNNNNNNNNNNNNNNNNNNNNNNNNNNNNNNNNNNNNNNNNNNNNNNNNNNNNNNNNNNNNNNNNNNNNNNNNNNNNNNNNNNNGGCUUGUUUUAAUGAUCCAAAAAGCUGUCAAAACACUAAAACUAGCCACAAAUAUGAUUAGAAGUCAUUGCUAGGUCCUUAACAUGCCAAUUGGGAUAAAGAUGGAGAACUACUACACAAAAGUGCUUAAAACAUAAUGAAUUAAAGGUGUAAAAUAGCACUUUUUGGGUAGUAAUCAGUCAACCUGUUAAUACACCAAUAGAAAAAUGUCUGAAAUUGUGUGUUGAGCCUAAUCAAGUAUCAACCGAUAAGGGAAGAUACAAGAGACUUGUGGGGAGAUUAAUGUACUUAGCUCAUACAAGACCAAAUCUUGCUUAUGCAUUGAGUGUAGUGAGUCAAUACAUGCAUAAUCCUGGAGAGCAACAUAUGAAUGCAGUCAUGCGUAUUUUGAGGUAUUUGAAGAAUGCUCCUGGGAAAGGAAUUUUGUUCGCUAAAAAUGUUGAUCAUCAGAGUAUAGAAGUAUAUACUGAUGUCGAUUGAGCCGGUGUAGUGGAUGAUAGGCGAUCUACAUCUGGUUACUUUACCUUUGUAGGUGGUAAUCUUGUGACAUGGAAAAGUAAGAAGCAGAAUGUCGUCGCCCGUUCAAGUGCAGAAGCGGAAUUUAGAGGUAUGGCUCUAGGACUUUGUGAGGCAUUAUGGCUAAGACUCCUCUUACAGGAUUUAGGUUACCUAUCUAGGCAACCAAUCCGAUUGUUUUGUGACAAUAAAGCCGCAUGUGACAUUGCUCNNNNNNNNNNNNNNNNNNNNNNNNNNNNNNNNNNNNNNNNNNNNNNNNNNNNNNNNNNNNNNNNNNNNNNNNNNNNNNNNNNNNNNNNNNNNNNNNNNNNCUUUAACGUGAUGAUUAAAAAAUAAAUAAUUAAACAAAUGUGAGAUUGCAUUACCAUAUUAAAGAAAACACGUGUUCAAGCAAAUAAACAAAUCAUCCCACUCACUCAAUACAAAAAUCCAAACUAAAAAUGGUACACCAAAACAUCACCGAAUAUAAUAACUAAACAAUUAAACCUAAAAAAUAGUAUUCUUGCUGCCAUAUUAAUGAGCACGUACUGGACCAAUAAAACAACCCAAUAUAAUAAUCCAAACAAACAUCAAACCAGACUUUUAUAUUUUUUCAAAGCAACCCCACAUAGAAACCAAACUUACCUGGCAGCUAGGUGCGUGGAUUGUCCUUCUCAAGGUGGCAGCCGUGUAAGUGGAUUUCCUUCAGGUGGAGAUGCGUGUUGAAUCUCCCGUCAAAGGAGUGAUGCGGCUGGUUCUCAAUGGAUGGUGCGGCUAUGGUGAGUUCCUCUUCAACUUGCAGCCGUGUGGGUACCCCUGGAGAGGCCAAAUCUCAGUGCAUGGUGCGGCUCCUUCAAUGCAUGGUGCGGUUCUCUGAUGCAGUAAUGCUUUCCGAAACUUUUCUGGUGCGGCCCACCUCUGUUCUAAAACACGGAUUGAUCCUUGCCCAAACAACAACCUUUAAUCCCUCUGAAACAUGGACUGAUCUCUUCAAACAGCAACCCCCAAAAUCCUUUCAAAACACGGAUUGAUCUUUGCCCAAACAGUAGCCUCUAAUCCCUCUAAAACAUGGACUGAUCUUUCUCCCAUAGCAGCCCCUAAUCCCUCUAAAACAUGGACUGAUCUCCUUUGAAAACAGCAACCCCGAAUCCCUCUAAAACGUGGACUGAUCUCCUUUGAAAACAGCAGCCCGCUCUUCUCCUCCCUCUGAAAAUCGCAGCCUCACCUUUCCUCCACCGGACUGAUCACUCCUCUUCUCUCUGAAAAUCACAACCUCACUCCUUCUCCCCUCCUGACUGAUCAUUCCUCUUCCCUCUGAAAAUCACAGCCUCACUCCUUCUCUCUCUCAAUCGUCUGUCUUUUUUUCCUUUUCUUUUCUUUUCCUUCCUCUUUAGUACCCUGCCAACAUGGGAAGACAACUCACCAGCCCGGAAAAUGAUCUUUCUUCCCCUUAAUCACGCGGCUGCACUCUUCCUUUUCAGACCACUUUUUUUUUCUUUUCUUGAACACAACCUCACUUCCUGUCCACAUACAUGCUGCACCCUCUUUCCUUUCACUUGCCAAAACCUAGCCUUCUUAAUCUUCUUCCCAUAAUCAUCCUGUUGACUCCACCGACCACCUUCAUCAUGCUGAUCUUCUUCCCAUAAUCAUCCUUUCCCAUAAUCAUUCUUUUUAAUAAUCUUUUUUUCAAUAUGGAGUAUGUAAAAUCCCGGGCAACAAAACAAAAUAUAACAAAUAAAAAAAUAGAAAAAAUAAGGGUUAGAGUAAUAAUAAAAAAAAUGUGACUAAUAAUUAAAAAUUCAAACUAUGUCAUUUUAAAAGAAAUUUUAAAAAUAUAGAUCACAUGCAUAACUAAAAUGAAUUAUCGACUCAAGCAAUUCCCUAUCAAAAUAAAUUAAUAAAUAGAUAAAUAAAAAUGAAAUGAAUAUGAUUAUUAAGCUCAUGCAAUGUUCUAAAAAAUAAGUAAAUAAAUGAAUAAAACUAAUAAAUAGAGAAAGAUAAAAAAAACAAAAACAAAAUCAAGCACAUGCAAGCCAUACGAGCUAUGCAACCAUGCAAGCCAUGCAAAACAUGCAUCCAUGCAAAAAAAAUGAUCUAAAUGGGUCUAAUGGUAAUGACUAAUGGGCCAAGUGUGCCUAAAUGUGCCUAGAGUGCAUAAGUGGGCCAAGGGUGCCUAAAUUGGCCUAAGGUUACCUAAAUGGGCCUAGGGUGCCUAAGUGGGCCUAGGGUGCCUAAAAACUAUCCUAAAAAAAAGCAAGAAAAGCCUAAGUCUAAGUUAGGGCUGCCAAGGGUCACAAUAAGGGGUCAGAUAAUCCCUCAACCAAAGUCUCCGAGAUGGCUUAGAAAAAAUAGGCUACACGAGUAUUAAUGGGCCACCAGGGAAUUGCUAUAAACGACAUGUGCGAGGAAGACAAAAUAGAGGGUCUACACCACCCACUUAAUUUUAAUGUGGAAAUAUCAUUCUCCCACUUAGCCCACUAAACUGAUUAUGAAAACUAUAAUAUAUUUAGUUUAUAUAUAAAAUAUAUACUGGAAAAUAAAUUUGACACGUGAUCACGAUUUCAAUAAACUUAGCCAAUACAUCCAAAAUCAUUUGCCAUAAUACUGAAUCAAUUUAGAUGAUAAAUGCGAGUCAUGGCGGUCACAUGACCAUAAUAUCAUGUUUCCUUCCAUGCACCACACAUUAAUAACCCUUACUAACCCAGUCCUUAAUGCCAAAUAGCCCCUGUAAUUUGUCUUGUCAGGACAAUUCUUGUUUAUCAAACAAUAAAAUGUGCACCCAUAAUUGAAAACAAGAAUAAACAGAAACAAUUUUAAUGCGCAAAUUGUCAAUUACAUAACCACCAUUCAUUAUCAUACACAUUAUGGAUUACUCAAAAGACCCAUCCUCAUAACAUGUUCCAAAUAUGCCUUUGGAGGUAAUCCUUUAGUUAAUGGAUCAGCAACCAUAAGUGUGGUCCUAAUAUUUUCAAUUGACACUUAUUGUUUCUGGACUCUUUCUUUAACAACUAAAUACUUUAAAUCCAUGUGUUUCGAUCCACUAGAAAAUUUGCCAUUCUUAGAGAAGAAAACAGCUGCAGUGUUAUCACAAUAUAUUCUCAAAGGUUUAGCAAUAGAGUCGACAACACCAAGCCCUGAGAUAAAAUUCCGCAACCAUAAAGCAUGACUUGAAGCUUCAAAACAAGCAACAAACUCGGCCUCCAUCGUGGAUGAAGCAGUAAUUGAUUGUUUUUCACUCUUCCACGAGAUUGCCCCAUUUGCUAGCAUAAAGACAAAUCCUGAAGUUGACUUUAAGCUAUCGAGACAACCACCAUAAUCAGAAUCCGAGUAACCGACAACCUCUAAUUGUUCUGAUCUUUUAUAUGUGAGCAUAUAAUCCUUUGUCCCUUGUAAAUACCUCAUCACCUUCUUUGCAGCUUUCCAGUGUUCGAAUCCUGGAUCACUUUGGUAUCUUCCUAACAUGCCUACAGCAAAGCUGAUAUCCGGUCUUGUACAUGUUUGAGUGUACAUCAAACUCCCCACAGCUGAUGCAUAAGGAAUUUUCUUCAUUUGCUCUCUUUCCAUGUUAUUCCUUGGGCACUGCAUUUUACUUAAUUUGUCACCUUUCAAUAUAGGUGCAAUACCCGAUGAACAUGACUGCAUAUUAAAUCUCUCUAAAACCCGAUCAAUAUAUCCUUUCUGAGAUAAACCUAGCACUCCUCGAGAUCGAUCCCUAAAGAUCUCAAUGCCAAUAACAUAGUUUGCCUCACCCAUAUCAACCAUAUGAAAGUUUUUAGAGAGAUAUUCCUUGGUUUCACGUAAUAAACCAAGAUCACUGCUGGCAAGCAAAAUAUCAUCCACAUACAGUAUCAGAAAUAUAAACUUGCUCCCACUAACUUUCAGAUAUAUACACUGAUCAACAAUGUUCUCUUUAAAUCCGAAAGAUGUAAUGGUAUUAUUGAACUUAAUAUACCAUUGUCCGGAAGCUUGUUUAAGACCGUAAAUGGAUUUCUUUAAUUUGCAAACUAGGUGUUCAUUUCCUUUCUUUGCGAACCCUUUAGGUUGUUCCAUAUAGAUAUCUUCAUCCAAAUUCCCAUUUAAGAAUGCAGUUUUCACAUCCAUUUGAUGUAACUCUAAAUCAAAAUGAGCUACAAGUGCCAUAAUGAUUCUAAGCGAAUCUUUCUUGGAAACUGGAGAGAAGUUAUCUUUGUAAUCGAUACCUUCCUUUUGAGUGAAACCUUUGGCCACAAGUCUGGCCUUAAAUCGUUCGAUAUUGCCUUUAGCGUCGCGCUUUGUCUUAAAGACCCAUUUACAGCCGACGGGUUUACAAUUAUUAGGCAAUUCGAUGAGAUCCCAGACACCAUUGUGGGCCAUAGAUUUCAACUCUUCAUUCAUAGCUUCCAUCCAUUUACUAGAAUCAUCACUUUCCAUGGCUUGUGAAAACGAAACCGGAUCCUUCCUUAUCCCAAUAUCAAAAUCAGAUUCCUGUAGAUACACCACAUAAUCAUCUGUAAUGGCAGGUCUCCUUUCUCUUUGAGAUCUCCUCAAAGGUGCCGGUUGUGGUGGCUCUACAGCAUUUUCAAUGGCAAUAUUUUCUAGUGGUAAUGAACCAUCUCUAUUAUUUUGCUCAUUAUCCUCAACUUGUUGAACAGGUUGAGGAACAAUAAUUUCUUGAGGUAAAAAAGGUGGUGGGAUAUCCACUCUUAUCUCCUCAAUAUCUACCUUUCUUGGUUCAUUACUCCCACUGAUUUCGCCAUUCUCUAGGAAUCUGGCAUUACCGGUUUCAACUAUUCUCACACUAUGGUUAGGACAAUAAAAUCUAUACCCUUUCAAUUUAUCCGGAUGGCUCAAUGAAAUAUCCAGAUACCGUUCUUGAAUCAAGCUUUUUCUCAUGUGGGUUAUAGAUUCUUGCCUCCGCUGGACAACCCCAUAUAUGUAUAUGUCUCAAGCUAGGUUUCCUACCAGUCCAUAACUCGAAAGGAGUUUUUGGGACUGCCUUACUAGGAACUCUGUUCAAGAUAUACAUUGCUGUUUUUAAGGCUUCACCCCACAAUGAAAUAGUUACAGAAGAGUAACUCAUCAUACUCCUAACCAUUUCCAUUAAUGUGCGAUUACACCUUUCAGCAACACCAUUAUGCUGUGGCGUACCAGGCAUUGUGUAUUGAGCACGAAUGCCAUGCUUUUCAAGGAAUUUGGCAAAAGGACCAGGAUUUUGUCCUGAUUCAUCAUAUCUGCCAUAAUAUUCACCGCCUUGAUCUGAUCUCACAAUUUUAAUCUUUUUAUCUAAUUGUCUCUCGACCUCUGUUAUGAACAUCUCAAAUAUGUCAAUGGCCUGAGACUUUUCAUGCAUUAGAUAAACAUAACCAUAACGAGAUAGAUCAUCUAUAAAGGUGAUAAAAUAUUUCUCUCCUGUGAAACAUGGAACAGAGAGUGGUCCACAAAUAUCUGUAUGAAUUAUCUCAAGGAGCUCAUUACUUCUUGUGGCACCUUUCUUUGUAUGUUUAGUUUGCUUUCCCUUUAUGCAAUCCACGCAUACAUGAAAAUCAGUGAAGUCAAGAUUUUGUAAAAUUCCUUCCUUCACUAAUCUUUCAAUUCUUUCCCUAGAGAUGUGCCCUAGUCUUCUGUGCCACAAGAUUGAAGAAUUUUCAUUAAUUAAGCCACGUUUUGAACCAACAUUUGAAUGCAGGGUUAUCAAAGCUUGUGCAAAUUCAUGAUUCAAGGAAAUUUUAUAUAAACCAUCACAUAAAAUACCAGAACCAACUAUAACAGAAUUCAACAUCAAACUUAAUUGUCCAGAACUGAAUAAAACAGAAUAUCCAGUAGCAUCUAAUUUAGACAAGGAAACUAAAUUCCUAGAGAUAGAAGGUACAUAAAAAGUGUUUAAAAGAUCCAUCCGAUGAUCCGUCUCUAAUAGUAAGCGAUAGGUACCAACAGCUACCACUUCAACCUUGAGACGGUUUCCCAUAUAGAGGAACUUUUCACUUUCCUUUGGUUUCCUGGUUGUAAGGAAUCCCUGCAUUAAAUUAGUCACAUGAGUUGUGGCUCCAGAAUCAAUCCACCAAGUAUUUGAAGGAACUUCAGCAAGAUUAGAUUUAUAACAUACAAAAGAAAGAUUUAUACCUCUAUUUUCGAACCAAGCCUUGCGCUUGAUACAGUCCUUCUUCACAUGCCCUUUCUUGCCACAAAAGUAGCAACUUACAGUGAAUUUUCGAUCAUGACUCUGGCUACCUUCCCCAGGUCCGCUUUUCUUAGGUGGAAAGUUCUUUCCCUUUUUGAAUUUUCCUUUCUUCUUCGUGACUCCAUGAGUUACAGCAAAAGCAAGAUUAUGUCCUUCUUGUCUUAAUCUCACUUCCUCUUGUAUACAUUUACUGGUGAGCUCAUUCAAGUUCCACUGAUCACUGUUAGUAUUAUAGUGGAUUUUGAAUGGAGCAAACUAUGAUGGAAGUGAGUUAAGGACAAACUGUACCAAGAAGGACUCAUCCAUACCCAUACCUAGUGCCUUAAGCUUUGUAGCCUUUUCAGUCAUGUUUAAAAUAUGUUGCUGAAUACCUUUCUGACCAUCAUAUUUCAUGGUGGUCAAUUCAGCCAUCAAUGUGCCUGCAAGGGACUUAUCAGCACGUUUGAAGCGCUCCUCAACAAAUUUCAGAAAUUCCAAGGCAAACUCGGUUUGAGGGAGAGAGGUCUUGAUAUUAUUGGCAAUAGUCAUUCUCAUAAACAUCAGACUAAGUCUGUUUGAUUUUGCCCAGGCUUUUGAUUGUUCCACCUGCUCCGGAGUACUGUCAUCCGUAGCUUCAGGAGGUUUAUCAGAUAUUAAAGCCAAGUCAAGAUCCAAUACACCCAGUGAGAAUUGAACCCUUUCAUACCAUUCAGAAAAGUUUGACCCAUCAAAAAUAGUCAUUCCAGAUGCAAGAGAGUGUAAUGAAGUGGGAACUGUACAAAAUAGAACAAUGCUCACAAUAAGCUUCAAGUAUAAAAUAAAAAACAAUGAACUAUUGAUAUCAUUAAAAUUCUCCUUUGGGUAAAUUUUAACAUAUCCAGUGUUCACUUGGAGGGAGCUUAAAACACUUUACUAUUUUGUGUCAUUUAUAUGUUACCUUUGGGUAUCCAUUUUACUUUUCUAAGCAACACAAAAUAAAAACAUUAAUUAAUAAUUAGCAGAAAUUGACUCUCCUUUGGGUUAGUCUCAUUCUCCUAAUUAUAAAGAAAAUUAUUAAGAAUUUUACAAGUCUCCCUUUAUUCUUUUAUGCAAUUCAAUAAAUACAAGGCUCACUAAUUUAGGUUACUUUGGCAACUAUCCAAAUUAGUUAACCUUAUAUUUAUAAAUUGUCUUUAGAUAAAAUAUUCACAAGAUGAAAUUAAUUCUUUUAUUUGAGUUAAAAAACAAGGAAAUAGUAUCUAUAAUAAUCAACAGAUUCAAUAAUCAAUCAUAAUAUAGUAUCUUUAAUAAUCAACAGAUUCAUUAAUCAAUCAUAUUAUAGUAUCUUUAAUAAUCAACAGAUUCAAUAAUUAAUCAUAAUAAAAUCAAAGAAAUCUGCAUUCAUUGAAUAUACUAAAGCUAAUACUUGCAUUCCUCAUAUAUAAUAAUAGUAAUUUCACAAAUGUACAGAUUCAAAUCAUAUAAUAAAUCAAUUAAGAUCUUUGGAUUAGUGCCUGAAAUGNNNNNNNNNNNNNNNNNNNNNNNNNNNNNNNNNNNNNNNNNNNNNNNNNNNNNNNNNNNNNNNNNNNNNNNNNNNNNNNNNNNNNNNNNNNNNNNNNNNNCGGAGUACUGUCAUCCGUAGCUUCAGGAGGUUUAUCAGAUAUUAAAGCCAAGUCAAGAUCCAAUACACCCAGUGAGAAUUGAACCCUUUCAUACCAUUCAGAAAAGUUUGACCCAUCAAAAAUAGUCAUUCCAGAUGCAAGAGAGUGUAAUGAAGUGGGAACUGUACAAAAUAGAACAAUGCUCACAAUAAGCUUCAAGUAUAAAAUAAAAAACAAUGAACUAUUGAUAUCAUUAAAAUUCUCCUUUGGGUAAAUUUUAACAUAUCCAGUGUUCACUUGGAGGGAGCUUAAAACACUUUACUAUUUUGUGUCAUUUAUAUGUUACCUUUGGGUAUCCAUUUUACUUUUCUAAGCAACACAAAAUAAAAACAUUAAUUAAUAAUUAGCAGAAAUUGACUCUCCUUUGGGUUAGUCUCAUUCUCCUAAUUAUAAAGAAAAUUAUUAAGAAUUUUACAAGUCUCCCUUUUUUCUUUUAUGCAAUUCAAUAAAUACAAGGCUCACUAAUUUAGGUUACUUUGACAACUAUCCAAAUUAGUUAACCUUAUAUUUAUAAAUUGUCUUUAGAUAAAAUAUUCACAAGAUGAAAUUAAUUCUUUUAUUUGAGUUAAAAAACAAGGAAAUAGUAUCUAUAAUAAUCAACAGAUUCAAUAAUCAAUCAUAAUAUAGUAUCUUUAAUAAUCAACAGAUUCAUUAAUCAAUCAUAAUAUAGUAUCUUUAAUAAUCAACAAAUUCAAUAAUUAAUCAUAAUAAAAUCAAAGAAAUCUGCAUUCAUUGAAUAUACUAAAGCUAAUACUUGCAUUCCGCAUAUAUAAUAAUAGUAAUUUCACAAAUGUAUAGAUUCAAAUCAUAUAAUAAAUCAAUUAAGAUCUUUGGAUUAGUGCCUGAAAUGGCACUUUUGAAGAGCCUGAAAGGUGGUGCCUGAAGCGCACACGGCACUGCAAACGGCAAGAAAACAGCGCCUGCAAAUAGCGCCUCUAAUGGCGCCUGCAACCAGGAGAUGGCGCCUGAAAACGGCGCCUUCAAUGGCACCGGCAAUGGUGCCUGCAACCAGCAGAUGGAGCCUGAAAAAUGGCGCCGACAAUGGCGCUUGAAAACAGCGCGAUGGCGCCGGAAAUCGCGCCUGAACUGGCGUCGAAAAUCGCGCCUGAACUGGCGCGUGAAAACUGUAAGAUGACGUCUUCAAUGGCGCCGGCAAUGGCACUUGGACUAGGGCCGGAAACCAGCGAGAUGGCGCCUGGACUGGCGCUGACAAUGGCGCCUGCAACUAGUGCGCAAACGGCGAGAUGGCGCUCUGGCAAUGGCGCCUGCAAUGGCGCCAGAAAACGGCCAGCAAUGGCGCCUGAAAGUGGCCAACAAUUGCGCCUAAAAAUGACCAGCAAUGACGCCUUCAAAUGGCCAGCAAAGGCGCCUGAAAAUGGCCAGCAAAGGCGCCUGAAAUGGUGCCUAAAAAUGGCCAGCAAAGGCACCUAAAAACGGCCAACAAUGGCGCCUGAAAACGGCGCCUGAAAAUGGCCAACGGACUGACGCCAAACCAGCGCCCCUCACUGGCAUAGAUCCAAUCAGCAUUGCAAGGAAAAAUAAAAAUCUUCCUUCUAUGCGUUAAGCUGGUCUUUUGUUUAUUUUAUUAAUUUUAGUGAGACGAAUUAAUGUAAGAUAAAUCUCAAAAAUCUAAUCUUUUAUAAAUCAAUGAUCUGAAUAUUUAAAUUCAAAACCUUGCUCUGAUACCAAUUGUUGGACUUUAACACGGAAAUUAACAUACAAUAAUCCAGAUCAUUAUGAUUCAAACUCGUCUUUGAUGAUAAAUAAUAAUAAAAUAAUAAAAACCAGUAAUUAACAAAUAGAUCACAUACCAUUUGAAGAAGACGCAGUCAUGAGAGAUUUCCCUUCAACUUAUAGAUCUUGAAUCCUUGAUCUCUUCUUCUCCUUAUCAAACCUUAAUACACAGAGUUAUUUUCUGUAAUUGAUGGAAAAAGCACACACUCCACACAUGAAGGGUUUUCUGUAUAUGUCUUUUAUUGAUAGGAAAAGAGGGCCAAGAAUACACGUUCAAAAACCGUUCUGAACGUGUCAAUCAAAAUAACUGUUAAUUAUCUCAAAUAAUAAUAUUAAAAUUAUUAUAAUUUACCCACUCCAUCAAUGGUAAAUAUCUAUAACAGUUUAAAGAUAGUGGAUAUUAUUUAAUUGGCUAAAUACUAGGUUAGUGGGCCACCCACUUAAUUUUAAUGUGGAAAUAACAAUGGCACCAAGAGAGGGAGGCGUAAAAUGAUAUGGAGAGGAAAAUAAAUAAUCAUAGACAAAAAUUAUCAUACUACUUUCUAUUAUUUUUAAAAUAUAGAGAAACAAUUAUAAAAAUUAAAAUUCCAAAUUUAAAAAAAUUUAACUCUUCAGAUAUUAAUAAAAUGAUUCUAAUAAACUAAACAAAUAGAUUAUCUUUGGUUUUAGAAAAUUUGAGGGGAAAUGUGAGAUAAAGAAAAUAAAGAGGAAGUGAAAGAAAAAAAAAUGUUAAGGAAAAUAAAAAAUAAAUUUAAAGUCAAUAAAUUAUUUGUAUAUAUUUUUUAAAAUUCAUUUUACUUAUUUUUCUUUAUGGUACAAGGAUUAGAUAAUUUUAAAAUAUGUAAAAUUUCAAUUAAUUUUAAUUAUAUUUGAUUUUCUUUUAUAUUUUUUAUAGUAAAACCAAACAAGAGAAAAUAAUUUAUUUUUAUCAUUUUUUCUCUUUCCUUUGCACUUUUCGGGAACCAAAUAUAGCCAUAGAGUUUUAGUCAAAAUUGUUUUCCUUAAGUCUUCAAAUUUUAUCUUACUCAUUAUCAUCGUCAAACAAUGUUUCUGUUGAACUUGCAACUAUGUCUAUAAUUUCAUUUUUAGAAGGAAAAUAAAAAUGCGAGUAUAAUUUUUUUCUUCCACCAACUUGCUAAUAUAGUGAAAUAUGACGUCAAUAUGUUUGCUUUUUCUAUGAAAAGUUGGAUUCUUGGUGAAUGCAAUUGUUGACUUAUUAUCACAAAAGAUUUGUACUAUAGGAACUUCUUUUGAGUAUUUCUUAAAUAAGAUCAAAACAUUCAAUACAACCAUAUUGCUACAUAUAUGAUUCCUACAACCUAUCUCCAAAAACCAAGUAUUUUUUGUUUUCUUCCUUUGCAACAUUGUUUGCUAAUAAUAACGUAUCUAAAUUUGCACCCUUAUCUUCUAUAAUAUUAGCAUGAAAAUUUAAUCCAUUCGAUCUUCUACCUUUACAUUUGGACUUGUAAUGACCUUUUUUUUUUUUUUUUUUUUGUAGUUUAAAUAUGAAAUUUAUUAUUAUUAUUAUUUUGAGUUGAAAUGUUUCACUAAAAUUUCUUACUCCUUUUUCUUCUAAUCUAAAAUUUCCUCAUCUUCUAUUUUGUGAACUCUAACAUUUUUUACUUGAUUUACAAUUAUUUUGAGACUUCUCUUUUUCUUUUUUAAGACUUAGUUGGCUUCGCCACUUCAAUAUGAGACCUGUGAUUUAAGCAUUAUUCAUGGGCUUGUAAGGAACCCAUCAACUCAUGUAAUAUUAUGACACUAAGAUCUUUAAUUUUUCAAUUGUUGUUACCUUCUACUCGAAUCAUAUGAUUAAAGUUCAAAGAAUUGAUUGAUAAGAGCUAAUAUCUAUGAAAAAUAAUUACAAACUCUUUCCAUUUUCUCCAUUUAAAAAGAUCAAAUUGCAUUCUUAAAGUUUAUAGUUGAACUUUCUUCACCUUUUCUACUCUUUGUAGUGUUUAUUAAGAUGUCUCAUGCAUGUACCUUUUGAUUCUAUUGAUUGAUAGAUGGAAAGAUAAGCCUUCAAUUCUUUUUCCUUGGAAUUUAUCAAAUAAUUCUUUUGUGCUUGUGUAAGUUUUGCUUGAUCUACUUGUAUGAAAACUAUGCUUGGAUUGUAUUAUUGUUGGUUGUUUGCAUCUUUAUUAGUCGAGCUUUGAUUACCAAGUCUAAGGGACCAAAAAAAAUACACACACACAUAAAAAUAAAAACUUCCAACACAAGACAUUAAUAAAAAUCUAAUUAUAAUAAAAACCAAGCUUAUUUUAAAUCAUAAAAAUAAAUUAAAUAAAUAUAAUUUUAAAUUUAAUUAGAACGCCUAUAAUUUUGCUAAAGUCUAAUUAGCUAGCCAAAGCAUGAUUGAUCUUUAUCUAAACACCCAUUGAACUUUAACAAUAUUUCAUAUAUAUGGGUUUGUUUGGUUACUGUUUUUAAAAAUGGUUUUUCAUUUUUUGGAACUGAAUAUUGUUUUCUAAUUUAGAGAACAUGUUUGAAUUUUUUUUGACAUCAAAUAGUGUUUUCUUUUCAAAAUUUCUUUAGAGUAUAAUAGUUUGUUUGGUUAUGUGAUUUAAAAAUAGAAAACUAUUUAAAUUUUUUUUAAUACAGUUUGAUUGUUGUUUUACAAUAAUUUUUAAAAACAAAGUAAAAUAAAAAACAAUUUUUAAAGAACAAGUAAACUUUAUUUUCACCGAUUUUUAAAAAUAAAAGGAAAACAUGACCCCGUUUGUCAUGUUUUCUUAAACUUGUUUUUAAAAUCAAUUUUAAAGUUAAAUAAUAAAAAAUAAUUUUUAAAAACAGGUUUUAGAAAAUAUGGCCAAACAGUCCCUAAGUUAUUUUUAAAACUAAAUCUAAAGUGUUUUUAAUUGUUUUUAUAAAGUUUUUGAAGUAAUAAUUAAAAAGAUAGUGAAUACUUUAAAAAUAUUUGUAUUAUACAUAAAUGCAUAAUAGAGAAUAAGUAUAGAAAACAGUUCUUUCAACCUAUUUUUUGAGAAUCAUAUUUAAAAACAUGGCCACGCGGGCCUAUUUCUCCCAUGGCAUAGCUUGAAUGAGUGUUCCUUUAAGCUCUUGCAUGAUGAAGCAUUGAUCGACCAAAGCAGACAUGCCAAAAUACUAUAACAAAGGAAUUUUAUGAUUUCAGAUAUUAUUUAAAAUUAAAUAAUAUUUGUAAAAGUUGAAAAUUUUAAAAACUUGUAAAAUUGACUUAAUUAUGGUUUGUGCAUGUUAUAUUUUUUUAAAAAUAAAAUAAAAUGUAGUGUUUUUUUUCUUAAUUCUAAAUAGAACUUAAAAUUAAAUAGUAAUUAAUGGUGUUAAGUAUUAAGUCGUUUGUUUUUAUAAUAUUUUAUUUUUAUUAAGCAUUAAAAAAAAAAUUCUCACAUGUUACUUUUUUCAUUUAGAGAAAGUCAAAUAUUUUGAUUUUUUUUAUUCAGUCAAAAAUUAAUUUAUAAUAAGUCAUGAAAAAAGUUAAAAAAAAAAAAACAAAUAACCUAAAUUUGAUAGCAAAUUUCUUACAAUAAAAAACUAAGAGGGCAUUUAUUUUUUCGGUUUUUCUUAUUAAAAAAAAUUUGUUUUCAAAAUUUAAGUUGUUUGUUUUUUUUUUACUUUUUUAUAACUUCUAAUAAACUUUUUGUUGAAUUGAAAAAACCAAAAUAUUUGAAUUUUUUUAAAUAAAAAAAUAAUAUGUUCAUUUUUCUUUAUUUUUUAAAUAUUUAAUAGAAAUAAAAUAUUUAAAAAAUAAACAACUUCAUAUUUAACAUUAUUAAGUAUUAAAAUUUUAUUUAGAAUUAAAUAAAAGAACAAACACUACCUAAGAAAACGAACACCCUCUAAAUUUGGAGACUCACAAUGUCCAUGCUUAUGAAGGAGUUUGGAGCUAGUCGGUUUCAUUAAAUUUAUGGAGGGUCAUGUACCUGAAGAAGUUUUAUUGCUUCAUUCAGUGUUACACGUGAUAAAUGACUGAGACAAAGCAUGGGUCUUUUCUCUGUUUUUUACACCUAUAUCCGUUGUAUCUCUUUUUUCAUUUUUUUAUCUUUAUACUUUUGUGUGUUGAGAUAUUAGGAAUGCUUUCCUUAUAUCAUUCUUUCCUUAUAUCAUUUAGUGUUGAGAUUUUAGGAAUAUUGAGAUACUAGGAAUAUUGAGAUAUUAGGAAUAUUGAGAUAUUAGGAUAUUAGUUGUUAUUUCCUUAUAUCAUUCUUUCCUUAUAUCAUUCUUUCCCAUUCUUAGAAUGGUGAUUACCCUCUAUAUAUACUCUGUACAUGAAUGAAAAAACUACCAUUUAUCAAUUUGAAGAUGGUAUCAGAGCCAUGGAACUAAAAUCCUGGAUAUUUUGUCGCUAUGGUAGUCCGACAGCGAUCAACCAUCCUAAGACAAGCCCUAAUAUUGAUAAGUCAACCUUCAAAUGCACUCACUUCAAUAAGACUGGUCCCACCAGUCUGGAUAUCCCACAAUUUCAAAACAACGACUCUUGGUAUGACCAAGAAAACAAUAAGGAACCGAAGGUUUGAACCAUGGACCUUUAGAUCAUGUUUAGGCUAUCAACACUUUGUUAUUAAUUAUAAUAAUCGUGAUCAACGGAAGAAGGAUUCCAAGAAAACCGCGACUGCAACUGUUGCCGAAAUAAAAACAGAGGCUAAUGUUGCUGAGAAAGCCUCUGCAUUGGUAGUCGCUACUGAUCAUGGUGGUAAGUUUUUAAAUACUUUUACACCUGUUAUUAAUAGUGCAUGGAUAAUUGAUUCUGGUGCUACAGAUCAUAUGACUUUUGAUUCUAGACAGGUUUUACCCCUUAGACCUUCCUCACAAAAAAUUGUUUCCACAGCCAAUGGUAACACAACCCCAGUCAUUGGGGAAGGAUCCUUAACUCUUACUGAUACUUUGAAUUUGGAUUCUGUUUUAGUUGUUCCAUCUUUAGAUUACAAUCUUUUGUCAGUUUCUCAAAUCACUGCAACCUUAUCUUGUAUUGUCAUUUUUUGGCUUGAAUUUUGUGUGAUUAAGGACAUCCAAACAAGACAGACGAUUGGUUGUGGUAUUAAACGGGGAAAACUCUAUUACUUGGACUUGCAGUCAAAGGAUUCAAAUAAGUUGCAACAAGCCUUGAUGGCAAAUGAAUCUGAGGGGGAGAAGAAAAAGUCUGAAAUUUGGUUGUGGCAUCGACGUUUGGGACAUGCUUCCUUUGGUUAUUUAAAAAAAUUGUUUCCUAGUUUGUUUGCAAAAAGUGAUAUUUCUGGUUUUCGUUGUGAUAUUUGUGAAUUGGCUAAAAGCCAUCGUGCUUCGUUUCCGUUAAUUUUGAAUAAAAGUCUGUUUCCUUUUAUGGUUAUACAUUCUGAUGUUUGGGGCCCAUCCAAAGUCCUAACUUUGAGUGGCUCACGUUGGUUUGUUACUUUUAUUGAUGAUUGUACCAGAAUGACAUGGUUAUGCUUGAUGAAGACCAAAGAUGAAGUGAACUUGUUGUUUCAAAAUUUUCAUAAAAUGAUUGAAACUCAGUACAAUGCAAAGGUUCGGGUUCUGCGUAGUGAUAAUGGUGGAGAAUAUCAAAGUUCUGAUCUUCAAAAGUAUUUGGAAGGACAUGACAUCAUUCAUCAGACUACUUGUUCCAAUACACCCCAGCAAAAUGGAGUCGCUGAACAAAAAAAUCGACACUUGUUAGAGGUUGUUCGUGCUUCCUUGAUAGCAGCAAAAACACCGAUAUCUUAUUGGGGAGAAGCAAUCACAUCUGCCGCAUAUUUGAUCAAUUGGGUACCUUCUAGCUCAAUUAACUUUUAAACACCUCUCCAAGCUCUUACUAAUGUCGUAGUUGCCCCAACUGUCCCAAAUCUACCUCCUCGUGUUUUUGGUUACGUGGCAUUUGUGCAUCUACACAAGCACCAACGCACCAAGUUAACUUCCCAUGCAUUGCAAUGUGUGUUUGUUGGAUAUGCAUUACACAAAAAGGGAUAUUGAUGUUACCAUCCUCCAACUCGACAAAUGUAUAUUACAAUGGAUGUGGUGUUUCAUGAAGAUUCAAUGUAUUUUUCAUCUAAGUCUGAACUUCAGGGGGAGUACCAUAAGGAAAUUCAGACUCUCGAUUAUGAUUAUCAUAUCUCUGAAGAAGAUGAAUCUGGACAAUCUGAACUAGUGAACCAGGAAGUGGGUGAGUUGGAUAUGAGUGGUCAACAAUUUGGGUCCGAAGAUGUCUUCACUAAAAUACCAAACCAAUCGUCGUCUGUUGAGGGUGUUCUUAAUUUAGAACCUGAUCCAUUCAUGAAACGGUUACCACAUCGUCAUAAUAGAGGUAUUCCUAAACCCACAUAUGAACCUGAAUUGUCUACUAAAGUCAAAUAUCCCAUGAGCAACUAUGUGUCUACCCAUCGUUUGUCUGAAUCAAAUAAGUCAUUUGUAAAUCAAUUAUCUACUGUAGCUAUUCCUAACAGUGUGCAGGAAGCCUUAGCUGAUCCAAGGUGGAAAGCAGCUAUGAAUGAAGAGAUGAAAUCAUUGCAGAAGAAUGAAACAUGGGAACUCGUAUAAUGUCCACCAGGAAAGAAGCCAGUUGGGUGUCGUUGGAUCUAUACUGUGAAGUACAAGGCAGAUGGUAGUAUUGAACGAUUUAAAGUAAGACUGGUAGCAAAAGGGUACACUCAAACUUAUGGAAUUGACUACAUAGAGACAUUUGCACCUGUAGCUAAGAUUAACACAAUUCGAGUAUUACUGUCUUUAGCUGUAAACCUAGAUUGACCAUUACAACAAUUCGAUGUGAAAAAUGCCUUUCUGCAUGGCGAGUUAUCUGAAGAAGUAUAUAUGGAUCUUCCACUAGGAUGCAUGGUGUCAGAAAAGCAAUGUCAGAAGGUGUGCAAAUUGAAGAAGUCAUUGUAUGGGUUGAAGCAAUCCCCGAGAGCAUGGUUUGGAAGGUUCACAAAGUCAAUGAGAGCUUUUGGCUAUCGUCAAAGUAAUUCAAAUCACACUUUGUUCCUAAAAAAGCAACAUGGUAAGAUUACGAGACUCAUCGUAUAUGUGGAUGACAUGGUAGUUACAGGAAAUGAUCCUGAAGAAAGAAAAGCUCUGCAAAAUUAUCUAUCUAGAGAAUUCGAAAUGAAAGAUCUAGGUCAUCUGAAAUACUUUCUUGGGAUUGAAGUUUCUCGAUCAAGUGAAGGAAUUUUUCUGUCUCAAAGAAAGUAUGCCUUAGAUCUUUUACAGGAGACUGGAAUGUUGGGAUGUCAACCUGUUAAUAUACCAAUAGAAGAAGGUCUGAAAUUGUGUGUUGAGCCUAAUCAAGUAUCAACAUAAGGGAAGAUACUAGAGACUUGUGGGGAGAUUAAUGUACUUAGCUCAUACAAAAACAGAUCUUGCUUAUGCAUUGAGUGUAGUGAGUCAAUAUAUGCAUAAUCCUGGAGAGCAACAUAUGAAUGCAGUCAUGCUUAUUUUGAGGUAUUUGAAGAAUGCUCCUGGGAAGAGAAUUUUGUUCACUAAAAAUGUUGAUUAUCAUAGUAUAGAAGUAUAUACUGAUGCUGAUUGGGCCGGUGCAAUGGAUGAUAGGCGAUCUACAUCUAGUUACUUUACCUUUGUAGGUGGUAAUCUUGUGACAUGGAAAAGUAAGAAGCAGAAUGUUGUCGCUCGUUCAAGUGCAGAAGCGGAGUUUAGAGGUAUGACUCUAGGACUUUGUGAGGCAUUAUGGCUAAGACUCCUCUUACAGGAUUUAGGUUACCUAUCUAGGUAACCGAUCCGAUUGUUUUAUGACAAUAAAGCCGCAUGUGACAUUGCUUAUAAUCCAGUACAACAUGAUCGUACAAAGCAUGUCGAGGUGGAUAGAUUCUUCAUUAAGGAAAAGUUAGAUGAUAAGAUUGUGGAAUUGCCUAAGAUUCAAUCAGAAGAUCAAUUGACCGAUAUCCUUAUCAAAGUUGUCUCAAGUCAAGUGUUCUCAAAAUUUUUAGACAAGUUGAGCAUGUGUGACAUCUAUGCACCAACUUGAGGGGGAGUGUUGAGAUAUUAGGAAUAUUGAGAUACUAGGAAUAUUGAGAUAUUAGGAAUAUUGAGAUAUUGGGAUAUUAGUUGUUAUUUCCUUAUAUCAUUCUUUCCUUGUAUCAUUCUUUCCCAUUCUUAGAAUGGUGAUUACCCUCUAUAUAUACUCUGUACAUGAAUGAAUGAAAGUAUGAAUGAAAAAACUACCAUUUAUCAAUUUGAAGAUUGUGUACACAUGAAUUAACCCUAUUCAUAAUAGCAGUUAGAUGGUGUUUGUUUUUUUGGCUUUUUGCUUAAAACAAUUUAGUUUUAGAAUUUAGGUUGUUUGUUUUUCUACUUUUUCAUGACUUAUUAUAAACUUUUUACUAAAUAGAAAAAGCCAAAAUAUGUAGCUUUUUCUAAAUAGAAAAAAUAACAUAUUGAUUUUUUUUACUUUUUAAUACUUAAUAGAAAUAAAAUACUACAAAAACAAACAACCUAAUAUUUAACACUAUUAAGUAUUAAGGUUCUAUUUAGAAUUAAGUAAAAAAACAAACACCACCUUAGUUUAUUAACUUGAAUGAUUGGUGGACGCUAUUCAACCAUGCUUGAUAAUAAUGCUUAUAACACGGCCCCACUUUUUAUAUGGACAAACUAAUUACCUUAAACUUCUCUUACCUUAUAUUGUAAGAGCAAAUAAAGUAAAUAAUGGAAGAAUCUCCUAUCAAAUGUAAUAAUAUAUAAGAGCAACCACCUACCUUUAUUAUGUCUUGUCAAAUGCUUAUUUUAUAUAAAUAACGGAGGAAUUUUCAGUCAAAUGUAAUAAAACACAAGAGCAACCACCUACCUUCAUUCUGUCUUGUCAAAUGCUUAUUUUAUAUAUUUGACAAGACAAGACAGAAUGAAGGCGGGUGAUUGCUCUUUUAUAUAUAUAUAUAUAUAUAUAUAUAUAUAUUCUUGUCAAGUAUUUGUUUUAAUAUCCAUUCUUAUUAAAACAUGAAAAGUUGAAUAUUAUGUAUAUAAUGAAGAAAUAUUGAGAAAAUUAUUAUAAAAAAUUAUUAAAAAAAACUUCAAAAAAAUGAUAAAAUAAAUAAUAGUAAAUAUUUUGAAAUUGUUUUAUUGAAAAAAAAUAUAUUAUAUGAUAUAAUUUAUAAUAUUCAAUAAUAAUAUAAAAAACUUGAAAAUAUAUUUUAUAUUAAUCCAUCUAUUUUGUAUCAAUCUAUCUAAUUUAUUUAGGAAUUUAGAUUUUUUUUUUUGGAUUCAACCAAUAUGCAAAAAAUAUAAAGAAAGACCUAAAAAAAAAAAUUAUAGUGAUAAUUUUUAUAUUUUUAAUAAUAAGUUAAAUGAAAUUCAAAAUAAAAUAAUUAACAUUAAUUGAAUUAAUUUCCUUAUUAAAGUUUUAUUUUAAUAUUUCACAUUUUUUUAAAAUAAAAUAUAAAAUACAACAUAUAAAAGUUUUCUUCCUAUAUAUAGCAUGAAUGACCAUAUGAUUUCAACAUCGUGGCUCCAUUCUGUCUUAUCAAAUACUUGGUAUUUUCCACUUUAACUUUAUAUAUAUAUAUAUAUAAAGUUUUAUUUAAAAUUAAAUAAAAAACAAACACCACAUAAGAAAACAAACACCCUCUAAAUUUAGAGACUCACAAUGUCCAUGCUUAUGAAGGAGUUUGGAGCUAGUGGGUCUCAUUAAAUUUAUGGAGGGUCAUGUACCUGAAGAAGUUUUAUUGCUUCCUUCAAUGUUACACGUGAUAAAUGACUGAGAUAAAGCAUGGGUCUUUUCUCUCUUUUUUACACCUCUAUCCGUUGUAUCUCUUUUUUCAUUUUUUAUCUUUUUAUUUUUGUGUACACAUGAAUUACCCUAUUCAUAAUAGCAGUUAGGUGGUGUUUGUUUUUUUGGUUUUUUGCUGAAAAUUAUUUAGUUUUAGAAUUUAAGUUGUUUGUUUUUUUACUUUUUCAUUACUUAUUAUAAACUUUUUACUAAAUAGAAAAAGCUCUGUAUAUGGCUUUUUUUAAAUAGAAAAAAUAACACAAUAAUUUUUUUUUACUUUUUAAUACUUAAUAGAAAUAAAAUACUAAAAAAACAAACAACCUAAUAUUUAAUACUAUUAAGCAUUAAAGUUCUAUUUAGAAUUAAGUAAAAAAACAAACGCCACCUUAAUUUAUUAACUUGAAUGACUGGUGGAUACUAUUCAACCAUGCUUAAUAAUAAUGCUUAUAACACGACCACUUUUAUAUAUGGACAAACUAAUUUCCUUAAACUUCUCUUACCUUUUUUUUUGUAAGAGCAACUAAAAUAAAUUACCGAGAAAUCUCUAGUCAAAUGUAAUAAUACAUAAGAACAAUCACCUACCUUCAUUCUGUCUUGUUAAAUAUCUAUUAUAUAUAUAUAUAUAUAUAUAUAUAUAUUGUCAAAAGUAUUCUGUCUUUAUCAACUUCUUAUUAAAACAUGAAAAGUUGAAUUUUAUGUAUAUAUAGAGUAAUAUUGAGAAAAUUACCAUAAAAAAUAUAAAUAGAUUAAAAUUUAUAAAAAUAUUUAAAAAAAAACUUUAAAAAAUGAUAAAAUAAAUAAUAAUAAAUAUUUUGAAAUUGUUUUGUUGAAAAAAAAAUUAUAUGACAUAAUUUAUAAUAUUCGAUAAUAAUAUAAAAAACUUGAAAAUAUAUUUUAUGUUAAUCCAUCUAUUUUGUAUCAAACUAUCUAGUUUAGAUAUAUUUAGAAUAUAUAAGAAAUGAUGAUAUAUUCAUUUUUUUUGUUUAUAAAUAUUUAUAAUUUUAUUUAGGAAUUUAGAUUUUUUUAUUCAACCAAUAUGCAAAAAAUAUAAAGAAAGACCUAAAAAAAAUUAUUGUGAUAAUUUUUAUAUUUUUGAUAAUAAGUUAAAUGAAAUUCAAAAUAAAAUAAUUAACAUUAAUUGAAUUAAUUUACUUAUUGAAGUUUUAUUUUAAUAUUUCAUUUUUUUUUAUAAAAUAUAAAAUACAAUAUAUAAAAGUUUCCUUCCUAUAUAUACCAUGAAUGCCCAUUCUGUCUUAUCAAAUGCUUGGUAUUUUCCACCUUAUCUUCUCUUUUCUCUUUGCUAAUGGUGUACGUUAAUGACAAGGAUAUAGAGGAUAAGGACAAGGCCAUCCUCCCACGCAAGACCAACCCGAAAAGUUGUGUAUUCAUGUGUACAUGGACUUGUUAAUUUUCCAUCGACUCAAACACAGAAAGCAAAUGACAAAACAAACUCCUUUGAUGAACAGGCUCAGGAAUGCUCUUCCCACAACUACACCAAGUCAUGAAAAAAUUUCAAUCUUUGUAGGAUGACCAGAUCGAAAAAUUAAGUAAUUAUGCACCGACUUAAAAAAUUGUUUUUUCGUUUCUAAGGACUUCUGAUGGUAGCUUCAAGCCGGGAUGUGUCUUUUAGUCAUGGGUUUCUAAUGGUUGGGUGGUUUUAGAGGUGUUUGAUAAAACUCAAUAUUUAUUAUUUAAUGACUUAAGUUAAACACUUUAAGUUAAACUAUAAUUAAAAAUAUUGAUUUGAAAUUUAUUAUUUAAUUUUUACUUUAAAAAUUAAGGUUGUUUGAUAAAAUUAACUUAAAAUUUAUUAUAAAUUAUCAAAUUGAUAUAUUUAUCAUCAUAAAUUAUAAUUAGAGCAAAGAUGUCAAGUAGCAGUGAAGGCCGUGAAGUAACAAAAAAGAUUAUGGAAGUAAUUAAGGUAAAUAAGAAUAAAAAUAUAAAUUUAAGAAUAAAUUAAUUAUUUUUAUUUAUUACUUUUUGACUUUAACACAUAUCAUUAAACUAUUUUAUCAAUCAUAUUUAAUUUAUUUAAUGAUUUAAAUUAUAUAAUUAAAUCACUUUAAGUUAUUAAAUUGAUUUAUCAAACACCUCCUUAGUAUUAAUAUCACCUAACAUUCUGACUUUAAAGGUUAGGUUUAGUUCAAUUGAGUUGAUAACAUGACUGAAUACCUAAAAUCGGAUUGGAUGGCUGGCAAUCCAAACCGGAAACAAACCCAUUUUGAGUUCAACCAGAUGAAGCUUACAAAAAUAUUAAAAUUAUAUUUGGGUUAGGAGAGGUGGGGCUAAUUCCAUGGCUGGCUACCAUGCUUGAAUGAUGAUUAUGAUCAUUAAUUAAUAUUAUUUCUACUAUAUGUGGUGAUGCUAUCGUCAGAAUUCUUGAUAAUUUUGGACUCUUACUUUUGGUAAUUGUUAGGGUCAAAAAUCAAGACUUGAGCAGUGCUGGAGCUUUGUUGGGCCAGGAUUUUUGUUUCAUCGUCUGCAUUCUAUGGCUUAACGCCAACUAAUAUAUAAAAUAAUAAUGAAAUUAUUGUAACUUGUACGGACGUUUACUUUUCUUUUUCAGAAUAAUAUUAGCACCUAGUAUGAAUCCUAUUGAUUUAAUCAACCUUUACAGUUUCUUCACAGAUGAUUGAAACUGGGCCAGAGCAAGACUUAUAUUGCCACAUAGAGAAAAAAAAGGGGCAAAGAAUAUCCCUCCCCUCAUCUCUGUCUUCUUUCUGCUUUAUUUUCUUUUGUUUCCUUUAACUAUUUUAUUCUCAUAUGGCAUCUUUAUUGAACUCUAUAGUAAAUUCCUCUUCCUCACUUUUUCCUUAUUAUUGCAAUUGUUAAGAAACAUGAUUUGUAUAUCGAGUUCAAAUACUAUUAACUUAAACUUUUAGAAAAAUUAAUAAUUCAAUAUGAUAUCGGAACUUGGUUUAACGGGAGAUUUCAGAUUUGAUAUUUUCUCUGCAAUUUACAUUCCUGAUUGAGCAAAGCUUUCUAAGGGUGGAGCAAAAUCUUUCAAAACAUGAAUUAAAAAAAAAAAAAAGAUGGAAAGAAAAAUAGGACUCUUCUUUGGCCAAAAAGGAACAUCAAAUACAGGUUCGCAUGAUGAUGAUUAGUUUAUGUUAUACAUGGUGAAAGUGUAAGUGGGAUGGGUGUUAUGCUUAAUACAACAGAAAGAUAACGGAGCCAGAUAAAAAAUGACAAGAUCGAGAAGGAACUCCAUGUACUUGGUUUACCAAUUGGCCAGCAGUUGAGAAAUAAGUUUUUGAUCUAUAUGUAAUAAAAAAGUGCUGAUUUUAAUAUUUGAUCAGCUUGGGAAGAGCCAAUCAGCUUAGAUGAACCCCAGAUAGAAUUCCCCUAGCCAUCUCUAUGGCAUGAAGAAUGACCACUGCAGUGGAUAUUGGCACACUUAAUGUGGUGAGUGCCAAAAACCCUAAAGCCAAACUGGGCCUAAUAUUCAUCAAGUAAGAUUGCAGCAACCCCACUGCUUCGCAUACAUCUCCAUUGUAACGUUCAUAAUAUCGCUUCUCCCACUCCAUCCAAUCCGAUGGGGGUGAUUCACUCGUCUCCAACAUCUUCAUUUCCCGAAUACGCAUUCUCAGCACAAUCAUGUUUUCAUCCACCAGCUUGCCUCCAUAAUCUCGUCCACUUGUUCCGUUACUCGCCGCAACGACCUUCCGCACAUGUUUUUUCCGGCAAGACCGCACAGGAGGAAAAGGCAAGGUGCCGAGGGUAGGAGAAGAGAGGGAGGUUGAUUCCAUUGCUGUAGUAGAACUGAUUUGCAGUGCAAUUGAUACGAUGUGAAGGAAGAUAGGGUCAUAGGAACACACUUAUAUAAGGGUCCAAAAUUGUGAUUAUUUCAUGAGUUGAAAUCUUAAGGGCUAAGGGUUGGAGCCAAAACCGUGUGGGGAGACACAUGGCAUCAUUAUGUAGUGCAACGCGGGCUGCUGCCGUGUGGUCUAGUCCAGUUGAGUAAGAUUGAAUUCAACUCUUGGGGCCAGACUUCAGAGCAAAAAAGGACGGCCUUGUAUUAUAUAGAAAAGACACAACGAUGAUUUGACAAUAAGAGUGGCUCACAUCUCACAUGUUGAGAUGCUCUCACAUCUCACAUAGUUGUAUUUGAAUAUAUUUUAUUUUAAAACGUUUAUAUAGAUUAAAUGACUAUAUUAAUAGGUUAAAUCAUGUCAAGAUAAAUAUUAAAUUUUACAUUUUUAAAAAAUAAUAUUUCAAAUUGUAAUUUAAUGAUGUACCAUCUAUAUUAAAAUUGGAAAUAAAUUUUAUAAUAAAUUAAUAAAAUCUUUAUUUAUUUUUCUAUAUUUUUUUAAUAGAAAAUUUCAAUAUUUAAAUAAAAAAUAAUUAAUUAUUUUUAAUUAAAUUAAUGAAUUAUAAUGAAUAAAUUAUAGUUAGUUUAAUUUAAUUUUUUUAUUAUUUGAUAAACAAACAUAUUUUAUUAUUUAUUGAAUUUUAAAAACUAAAAUGCUAAUCUUAUUCAAAUAACAUUUAUAUAUACUCUCCCUCAUGCCUUUUUUUGUUCAUAGUUUGAUAUUGGUAUGAAAGUGGGGAUAUUUAUAAAUAUUGAAAAAAAAAAGUAAGUCUUAAUAUUGUGACACUUGUUAUAAUUAGAAAAUAAGUAUGUUUUAAAUUUAAAAAGUUAAAAUUUAAAUUUGGUAAUUUUACUAUCACUAUUAUUUGUAUGUGACGAAUAUUUUUUUAUUAAAAAAAUGAAAAAGAAGGAUGUGAUUGAGAUUUCCGUUUAUCAAAAAUAUUUAUUUUAUUCAAAUAAGUGUAUUUAUUUUAUAUUUCCACUUUUCCAAUGUUAUUCUAACAAAAUUAAUUAAAAAUUGAUUUACAAGAAUGAUUAUAUAGGAAUUUUGUAAUCAACCUAUCUUUAUAAUUCUGCAUAAAUAAAGAAAUUAUUUAUUAAAAAAAAAAAGAGUUGGGUAGAAUUUUUGUAGUUUUGUUUUACUCAUGUGGGAAAUUGGAUAAGAAAACUAUAUAUAUAUAUAUAUAUAUAUAUAUAUAUAUAUAUAUAUUUGUAGACCCCCAUUUUGGGGCACUUUCUUUCUCACCUUUCAUGAAGGUUAUUUGGCCAGGUGGCACGAUCCCGGGAGACCAUGUGGCGUCUUUGGAGAGGUUGACAGAGAAUCAGGUUAGUGCUUUGAGGAGCUAUCAGAAUUCGACACCUGUAAAGGGGAUUUGGAAAGCUGCAGACUGUAGAGGUAGGGGACCCCGAGCUGAGAGCAGGAGGUCGUCUGCAUGAGGCGUGCAGCAGCGGGGAGAGUGGUUGGGCAAGCCAUGCUUGUUGACCGGUGAAUAGGAGGGCAGAAGAGUGGCUUGCAAGAGAGGACACCAAGAAAGAAAGGGAGAAGGAGAAAAGGGGAAGAUUUUUUUUAGAGAGCUUGGUUUUAGGGAGUGAGGGGAGGAGAGCAUUUGAGUUUUCCUGGUGUUUGGCUGGAGAUAUUUGAAAAGGAGGAGAACGAGAGGAGAAAAGAGGUCCUGAUCUGGGCAUCUUCAAGAAAAGGUCAUAAAAACAGGGGCUUGAAGUCAGGUGAGCUUCCAUCUGCGAGGAAGCUUUUCAGGUAUGGACCCUGUUCAUUACCUUCUCUAUUUUGUUUUUGGAUAUCGAUAAGAUUCUAUUUUGGUGUUUGGAUGCGAGCAUUGGAGAUUUUAUUAUGUUCUUAUGGAAUCUGAGUUCGUUUGCCCCCAUGUUGUGCUUGAUUUCUAACUUGGCUUUCAACUUGUUUACACCGACUAUUUUAAACUGCUCUCCUCUGUUUCUUGAUUGUUUGUGGGUUAUCCUCGAUGCCUGGAGUAUACUUACUCAUUCCCUCUGUUUUGGAAAAUUUUGAGGGAAGAUUCAUCACAUGCUUUUGAUUUGUGGGGUCGUGUCUGCAUUUCUUUUUAUUUAUUUAUUUAUUUAUCAUUGCAUCCGGAAUUCUGUCCGACUGACAUCCCACCUUCUACGGAUGUCUCACAUCCGGAAUUCUGUCCGCCUACGUCCCACCUUCUUUGGAUGUCUCACAUCAGGAAUUCUGUUCGCCAACAUCCCACCUUCUUCGGAUGUCUCACAUCCGGAAUUCUGUCCGGCCGCGUUCCACCUUCUCUAGAUAUCUCGCAUCCGACUCCUAACGUCGGAUGGGAGAGGAGGGCGAUUCAACUUCUCCGGUCAAACAUGUCUGGAUCCUCUAAUAGCGCUUACCCAGAGAGCAUCUAGUCGACAAUUCAGAUUCCCCGGACAGCUUGGCUCGUUAGACACUCGUGAUUCGCCGGAUCCAUUUCCGCCCGCAAUCUUCUGCUCCUCUUGUUUUUAAUAGGCAUGAAUGUUUUUUUUCAUAAUUCCGGAGUAAUGGAAUCUAUGAUAUUAAUUCAUGCAAAAUAAAAGGGUUUUGGUGGGAGCCCGACAUGUGUGACUUUAUAAUUGAUUGAUUGAUUUAGUUGCCAUGCCCGACUAUUUCUAUUCUGCCCUAUGACAUGCUUGAAAUUAUUCUUUAAUUGUGCACUGACCUCACUUCUUGAUAGCGCAUUGUGGCUCGUCACCCAGGUACGUUAUCUAUUCCUAUUCUGGUAUUUCUAUAUGCAUGUUUUGAUUUUCAUAUGUGCAUGAUAGUUCUGGGUAUUCACUGUUUUACUCGUCUAUUGCCAUGAUUGCUUCAUUUUAUUAGUAGAGACCCGACUUUAGGGACUUAAAGGGGUGCUACGGUCUAUACCAUACCUUCCCGAUAAGUAACCUGACCCCCGAACCCGAUCCGGUUUUUCGCAGACCGCCUUUUCCAAAAUAAGGAGUCACACUCAUAGAUGGUUGUAUACUUAUGUAGUACUCCCAUUGAUUCAUUAUUUUUUUUCAUCAAUUUUCAUCUUCUCAUUCAUUUGGUCAUCCAUAUUGUAGAACAUCUGUGAUGUCCAUGAUCUUUGAGUUUCUUUAUCUACUACAUUGUGGAUCUAGAGGCAUGAGGAUUAUAUUAUUAGGAUUAUUGAGCUUAGUUUCCCUUAAUUUCUUUCACCUUAUUAACUUAGCCUACGUUAUGUCCCAAGUCUUAAGACCAUCCUAAGGCUAUGACUUCAACAUUGUGAUUGAUAGCUCACACAUGGGCAACAUUUGAGAUUGGUUAAAGAUCACUCGGAGCAUGAUAGAUGAGGAGUUAUGAGAGAGUUUACAUUGGGGCAUAACUUUCUCAUUGAUGAUGGUUUUUUGAGAUGAUAAUCUAUAUUGGGGCAUAUCUACCUCAAAUAGUUUAUAAUGAUGCAUAGCCUUCUCAUUAAUGAUUGAUUUUCGAGAUGACAACUUAUACUAGGGCAUAGCCACUUCAUUCCCUCUCAUGAAGCAUGGUGGAUCAAGAGUUGUUCGGAUUAUAUUAACAUAUAUCCAUUUUUUGAGAUGUGGGAGUAGAGUUUGACCUUGAUUUGAUAGUGCAUACUAAGGCAUAACCACUCUGUUUGAUUCCCUACACUGGGGCAUAUUCGUCGUUUAUAGGUGAUUUGGUACCUUUCAUAUUGUAGUAUGAGAAGACUUUGGGGAGUAGAGGUCCAUCUUGAUCAGAUUGUAUCUAUUGUGAUAUAGCCAUUCCAGAUAUUACCUUACAUCGAGGUAUGAUCAUUUCAGAUAUCAUGUUGCAUAUCGGGGCAUGCUCUUCUCGUUAGUGCUUGGUUUUGAAGAAGAUUGCUUUGUUAAAGGUUUACCUAUUUUGGCUCAUUUUGACUUGACAUAUUCACACUAAGGCAUAGCCACUUGACAGAGCAUUAUUAUUGGAGCACAACCACUUUGUUAGAUUCCCUACACUAGGGCAUAGCCAUCAUUUGGAGAUGAUAAGAUAUUCCCUAUACUUGGGCAUAACCAUUCUCUUGGAGGUGAUCAUACAUUUUUUUCAUAUUGAGGUAUGAGAUAUGAUCGAGAAAUAUUAAUUUGAUGUCUUUUAUAUCAUGGCAUAGCCAUUUGAGGAAGUAUUCAAACUAGAGCAUAGCCACUAUAUUGAUUUUCUCUGACAUUGGGAUCUGACCAUUUUGCUUGAGGUUUUUCAUGGGUUGUGGAGAUGAUGACGCCUUGGAUUUAGUCUUCUCAGCAUACCUGGUUUGUUUCAGACACUCACUUUGCAUUUGUUUCCUACCUUGGAUUUCUUCACACUUAUAUCUUGUUUUGAGCCCACCCAUCUCAUUUCAUGAUAUAUGACCUUAUCCAACUCUCCUAAUCAGAGGAGAAUGUAGACUAAUCUCGAGUUCCCUUAGUUGGACUUCCAUGUGCCUUUUGGCCAUCGGGUUCAACAUCUCCCAUGAUUGUAGGGCCUGUUAGAUUGUCGAUGGGUUUGUGAAGAUGUUUUCAUUUUGGUAGUUGGCAUGUCAUGACUUGAUGUACAUUUAGACUCAAAGUUUUGAUUAGCUUUACUUUAAUCCAUUAGUUGGUUUGUUUUGAUAGCAUAGUCCCAAGACGCAUGAUUCUGCAGAUUUGUUCUAAUUGAGGAUUAGACGUGUUCAUCUUAUUGUUGAUAGUUGUAUCUUGGAGUGUGUUAGUUAUUUAUAACAUUUUGUACCUUUUGUCAUUUCCUUUUUCAGCCUUGUGUUAGUUGUCUUUUGGUUUUUGCGACCACAGUUUUGAUAUCUUCUUAGUUAUCUUUCGAACUUUGAGUUGCACCAUUAGUUCAUCUUUGUCUCAACCUCUAUCAGUCUCGAGCUAUACCUUUAGGUUUCCAUUCUACAUUGGUCGCACCUUUAGGUAUUUUUAGGUUUUCUCUCUUUUCACCAUGAAUUGGCUAAAGUUUUAAGGUUAGAUCAUCUUCUUGGCCUCAGGCUACGUCUUCAGAUCAUCAUUUGGCUUAGAGCCACAUUUUGAGCAUUAUCUUAAUCGUCUUUUCUAUCAAUGUGCUUAUGUUUUACUAUCACAGAUCUAACUCUUUUACCUUCCCUUGUUUUCUCUUAGUGUCGUGUCCCAACUAUCUGACAUUUCCUUUUUAGUUUCCUAUUCGUAUCACACCUAGAUUGUCUGGUAUUUCCUUUUUAGUUUCUUGUUAGUGUUGCGCCCUAACUAUCCUACAUUUUCUUUUUAGUUUCUUGUUAGUGUCGCGCCUUGACCGUCCGACAUUUAUUUUUUAGUUUACCAUUUGUGUCGCACCUUGAUUAUUCGACCUUUCCCUUUUAGUUUCCUGAUAGAACCACACACCGACUGUUUGACAUUUUCUUUUUAGUUUCUCGUUCGUGCCGCGCCUCGACUAUUCGACCUUUCCUUUUUAGUUUCCUAUUAGUGUCGUGUACUAACUAUCUGACAUUUCAUUUUUAGUUUCUCGUUUGUGUCGCACACUGACUGUCUAACAUUUCCUUUUCAGUUUCUUGUUAGUGCUGCGCCCUAACUGUCUAACAUUUAUUUUUUAAUUUCCUAUUUAUGUCGCUCCUCGACUGUCUGACCUUUCCAUUUUAGUUUCUUGUUAGAUUCGCAUCCCAACUGUAUGACAUAUUUUUUUUAGUUUCCCAUUCGUGUUGUGCCUCAACUGUUUAACAUUUCUUUUUUCGUUUCCUGUUAAUGCUGCACCCUGACUGUCUGACGUUUCCUUCUUAGUUUCUCGUUCAUGCCACGCCCCGACUAUCCGACCUUUCAUUUUUAGUUUCCUAUUAGUAUCGCGUCCUGAAUGUCCGACAUUUCAUUUUUAGUUUCCCAUUCAUGUUGCGCCCUGACUGUCCAACCUUUCCUUUUUAGUUUCCUAUUAGUGUUGCACCAUGACUGUCCAACAUUUCUUUUUUAGUUUCUCAUUUGUGUCUCGCCUUAACUGUUCAACCUUUUUCUUUUAGUUUCUCGUUCGUGUCGCGUCCCGACUAUUUGUCAUUUCCUUUUUAGUUUUCUGUUACUGUCGUGCCAUGACUGUCUGACAUUUCCUUUUUAGUUUCCCAUUCAUGUCGCACCUUGACUGUCCAACCUUUCCUUUUUAGUUUCCUAUUAGUGUCGUGCCUUGACUAUCCGACAUUUUUCUUUUAGUUUCUUGUUCAUACCGUGCCCCGACUGUCCGACCUUUCAUUUUUAGUUCCCUAUUAGUGUUGCACCUUAAUUGUUCAACAUUUCUUUUUUAGUUUCUUGUGUUCCUUUAGAGUGGUGCCUUGACUAUUCAGCCUAUUUAUGUCUCUUAGAGCCACACCCUGACUGUUUGGCCUUUCUAUGUUCCUUUAGAGCCGCACCCUAACUGUCCCACCUCUUUUAUGUUUCCUAGAGUUGCACUUUGGCUGUUCGACUUGUUUAUGUCAUUUAGAGUUGUGCCUUGAUUAUCCGACCUUCCCGUGCUCCUUUAGAGUGACACCCUGACUAUCUUACUUUCUUUAUGUUUCCUGGAGUCACACCUCGACUGUCUUUCUAUUUAUGUUUCUUAGAAUUGUGCCUUGACUAUUCGGCUUGUUUAUGUCAUUUAGAGUCGCGCAUUGAUUGUCUAACCUUCUCGUGCUCCUUUAGAGUCACUCCUCGACUAUCCGACCUUUCCUUUUUAGUUUCUUGUUAGUGUCACGCUCUGACUGUCCGACAUUUCCUUUAUGUUCCCUAGAGUUAUGUCUUGAUUGUUUGACUUAUUUAUGUAUUCUAGAGUCGUGCCUUGAUUGUCUGACCUUCUCGUGUUCCUUUAGAGUUGCGCCUUGACUGUUUGACUUUUCCUUUUCUUUUUAAAGUCAUGCCCUAACUGUACGGCCUCUUUAUGUUUCCUUUAGUAUCAUGUCAUGACUGUUUGACCUCUUUAUUUGACAUUAGGUCACUCCCCCAGUCAUUAGUUUCAUUUUCUUUCUUUAUCUCAUUUUUGCUCACCUAUUCACCUCUUUUGAUAGCUUGGUCCUUGGUGUUUUACAUAGAUAUUGUCACUAUCCUAUUUAGUCGAGCCCUCCUUAAGAUCCAUGUGGAUUUUUCAUGUUUCCCUACUGGUAGAUCGAUGAGCAUAUUUCGUGACCUUAGAAAGGUCACAUCGUGCUGGGACAAAUUUGGUGGUCUUUCUUGUUUUUUAGCAGAACCCACUUUGUUUUAGUUGUGUAUACACUUACUUUACUAGUGGACUCUACUGAAAAGGGAUAUAUUUGUAAACCCAAAAAUUUGUCCCAAUUUUAUUUUUAUAUUAGUUUUUGGUUUAAUUUUAUUCUAAAAUUUCAAAUUUGAUUAUAUUUAAAUUUUUUUUUUGGCCACUCACACCCUUUAAUUCUUAAUUUUUAUUAUUUUGUUUUAUUUUUAUUUUGUAUUUUAUUUAUUUAUUAAUUAUUAUUAUUAUUAUUUUCAUUUUCUUAUUUUCUUUUUCAUUUUUUCAUUUUUUUCACUUUCUCAUUUCUCCUUUCUCUUCCCACCAUUUUACCACCUACCCUACCCUCACCCACACUCUCUCACCUACCCAUUCUUCUUCCAAUUUCCCACAACCAAAGACGCUUUCUUCCCCUUCCCCUUCACUUUUUUUUUUUUUUUUCCACUUUUUCCUUGGUUUUUCUUUCUCCCUCCUACACUCACACGACGUCACCAUUAGACUAUCUUUUCCCACUUUAUUUCUUUUUUUUUUUUUUUCCCAUGAAACCCACAAUACCCAGACCCAAUGCAUCUUGCUACCCAACCUUCCAUUGCACUUAAGGCUUAAAACUUGUGAGGUAAAAAUUUUAUUUUUAUGUUGUUUUAUUUUGCUUUGUUUUUAUUAUUAUUAUUGUGGUUAUUUAUUGUGGGCUCAUUUUUUUGUUUUGCAUGAGCCCAUUCCACUACUAGUAUUAUGUUGGCUAAGCAUGGAUUUAUGACACGUGGAUAACCAAAUUUCAUGGAAGAAAAAAAUGCUCACAAAGACUAUAAAUGGGGCAUUGAGCUUGUUGUAAGUUUGUUUGGGUAUAUUUUAUUUCUCCACUUUUAUUUAAUUUCAUUUCUAUUGGUUCCUAUAAAUAUUUUUUUAUAUAUAUUUAUAUUUAUUGGACAUAUAACAGUUGAUAACUCAGAAAUUUUGUUUUAAUAAAAGAAAUAGUUCAAUAAUCAUGUUUUAAUAAAAACAAUAGUUUAUUUUUUUUAAAAGGGGUUUUAUUAAUAAAAAUUUUAAAAAUUAUUUUUAAGAAAAUACGAAAAACAGUUGUUAAUAAAAUUAAAAAAAAAAUUGUUUUUAAUAACUACUGUUGAGAAAUUUAUUUGUUUAAUAAAAAUUGUCCAUAAAAUUGACUUUUAAUAAAAUUGCCCAAAAAGUAAUUUUUUGAAUAAAUUCUCUUUUCUUAAUUAGAAUGAAAUUAAAAGUAAUUUUUUAUAAAUAGAGUUUUUUAAAUAAUUUUUUUUAAUAAGAAUAGGAUGAGAGUUUUUUUUUUUUAUAUUAAAUUUGUAGAAUCGUUUUCUUAAUGAAAUUGAAUUAAUUUUUAAAAUAAAUUUGUGAAAAAAAAUUAUUUCUUUUGUAAAUAAUCAAAUUGAAAUACUUUUGCAAAUAAAGUUGUAAAAUUUCAUUCUUUUUCUAAUAAAAGUCAAAAUCUUUUCAUUGCCAAAUUAAAAUUUUGUAAUAAAUUCUUUUGUUAUUUUCUUGGAAAUUGAACACCAAAUAAAAUUAAAUAAAAUAAUUUGUUGCAAAUAAAUAGAAACUUUUUAUUCAUAAAUAAAUAAAUUGAAAUCAUUUUUUUGGAAAUAAACUUCUUUGAAAUUUAUUGAAAAAGUAAUUUUUGAAACAUUUUUUUUAUGAGUUUAAAAAAUCAAUUUGCAUAUUUCUCUUAUCAUUUAUUUUGUACAUUAUUGUAAUUUGAUUUUAUGAUUAUUUUUCUGUUUAUUGAUUUGUGUUUGUAAUCUUGGUAUCUAGAUUAAUUAAUUUAUUGUUAUGAUUCUCUCAAUUCGUUUAGUAGAGACCAUAGGUAUAUGAGUUUAGACGGGUGUUACGGUUUUUCACCGUACCUUCCCAAUAGGUAACUUGACCCCCGAAACUAGACUUGGUUUUUAUAGACAUGUCUUUUUUUUUUUUUAUAAGUCAUGUAAAGUUUUCUUUUUUAUUUUAUUUUCCCUUUUAAAAAUAAACUAAAAUAAGUUACGAUUCCAACUUUUAAAAAAAAAANNNNNNNNNNNNNNNNNNNNNNNNNNNNNNNNNNNNNNNNNNNNNNNNNNNNNNNNNNNNNNNNNNNNNNNNNNNNNNNNNNNNNNNNNNNNNNNNNNNNUAAAUGAAUUCAAAAUAAAAUAAUUAACAUUAAUUGAAUUAAUUUACUUAUUAAAGUUUUAUUUUAAUAUUUCAUAUUUUUUUUUAUAAAAUAUAAAAUACAAUAUAUAAAAGUUUCCUUCCUAUAUAUAUAGCAUAAAUGACCAUAUGAUUUUAGUGUCUUUAUUUUGAGCACUUGGCUCCAUUCUAUCUUAUCAAAUGCUUGGUAUUUUCCUCCUUACUUAUCUUCUCUUUUCUCUUUGCUAAUGGUGCAUGUUAAUGACAAAGGAUGUAGAGGAUAAGGACAAGGCCAUUCUCCCACACAAGACCAACCCAAAAAGUUGUGUUUUCAUGUAUACAUGGACUUGUUAAUUUUACAUCAACUCAAAUACAGAAAGCAAAUGACCAAACGAACUCGAUCCCUUGAUGAACAGGCUCAGGAAUGAUUUUCCCACAACUACACCAUGUCAGGCAAAAUUUUCAAUCUUUGUAGGCUGAUCAGAACAAAAAAUUAAGUAAUUACUGCACCCACUUAGAAAUUGUUUUUUCAUUUCUAAGAACUUCUUAUGGUAGUUUCAAGCCAAGAUGUGUCUUAAGUCGUGGGUUUCUUUCAAAUUUAGAUUUGUUUUCCAUCCUCUACAUAGCAUAAAAGAUCAAAUAGUUGGGUGGUCAUGGUGUUUGUUUUUUUUUUUUAUUAAAUAUAAAAAAAAUUAAAAUAUUUGAUUUUUUUAUUUAAUCAAAAGUGAUAAAUUAGUAUCAACUAAUAUAAAUAAUUUAAAUUUAUUAAUAAUAAAUUUACUUUAAUUUUAUUGACUGAUAUUAAUAGAUUGUUUUCAAAUCGAAUAGAAAAAAUUAAAUAUUUUAAAAAAAUUUUAUUUAAUUAAAAAACAAACAAGAAAAUGUCACCUAGGGUUACUGCUUAAUAGGUUAGUUUAAGCUCGAUUGAGUUGAAAACAUAACUGAAUACCUCAAAUCUGAUUGGAUGGCAGGCAAUCCAAAUUGGAAAUAAACCCCAUUUGAUUUAAACCAGAUCAAGCUUACAAAAACAUUAAAAUUAUAUUGGAGUCAGGAGAGGUGGGGCUAAUUCCAUGGCUAGCUACGAUCAUUAAUUAAAUAUUAUUUCUACUAUUUGUGGUGAUGCUAUCGUCAGAAUUCUCGAUAAUUCUAGACUCUUACUUUUGUUAAGGUCUAAAAUCAAGAUUUGAGCAGUGCUGGAGGCGAAUCAUAAUGGGGAGCUUUGUUGGCAUCGUCUCCAUUCGAUGGCUUAAGGCCAACUAAUAUAUAAAAUAAUAAUGAAAUUAUUGUCACUUGUACGGACGUUUCCUUUCUUUUUGAGAAUAAUAUUAGCACCUAGUAUGAAUCCUAUUAAUUUAAUCAACCUUUACAGUUUCUUCACAAAUGAUUGAAACAGGGCCAGAGCAAGACUUAUAUUGCCACAAAGAGAAAAAAAANNNNNNNNNNNNNNNNNNNNNNNNNNNNNNNNNNNNNNNNNNNNNNNNNNNNNNNNNNNNNNNNNNNNNNNNNNNNNNNNNNNNNNNNNNNNNNNNNNNNUUUUUUUUAAAAAAAAUUUUACCCCCUAAAAAAAACCUUUUAAUUUUAAAAAACCUUCCCAUUUUUUUCCAAAAUUAUGAAACCAGGGCCAAAAAAAAAUUUAUUAGGCCAAAAAAAAAAAAAAAAAAAAAGGGGGGGGGGGGGGGGGGAAAGAAUACCCCUCCCUUCAUCUCUUUCUUCCUUGGGCUUUGUUUUCUUUUUGUUUUCGUUUUUAACUAUUUUAUUCCCGCAUCUUUGAACUCCAUAGCAAAUCCUUCCUCCUUUUUUUUUUUUUUUUUUCUCAUUAUUAUUACUAUCGUAAAAAAAACAUGAUAUAUAUAUAUUGAGUCCAAAUUCUAUAAACUUAAAUUUUUAAUAAAAUUGACAAUUCAAUAUAGAAGCUCUCGGGUUUGUCCUUCUUUCCAUAAUUUGCAUUUCCUUUAUUUAUUAAAAGCUUAAACUUUAAUUCAUAUGGGAUUGAAGCAAAACCAUUCAAAACAUGAGUUAAAAAAAAAUAAAUAAAUAAAUAAAAAAAAAAAAUAAAAGAAAAAUAGGACUCUUAGCCAGAAAAAAAAAAGUACAUCAAAUACGGGUUAGUGCGCAGGAUGAUGAUGAUUAGUUUAUGUUAUACAUGGUGAAAGUGUAAACGGGAUGGGUGUUAAAGAUAAGGACCCAGAUAAAAAAUGACAAGAAGGAACUCCAUGUACUUGGUUUACCAAUGCUCCAGCAGUUGCGAAAGAAGGUUUUGAUCUAUAUGUAAUCAAAAAGUACUGAUUUUAAUAUUUGAUCAACUUGUGAAGAGCCAAUCAGCUUAGAUGAACCCCAGAUAGAAUACCCCUAGCCAUCCCUAUGGCAUGAAGAAUGACCACUGCAGUGGAUAUUGGCACACUUAAUGCGAUAAGUGCCAAAAACCCUAAAGCCAAACUGGGCCUAAUAUUCAUCAAGUAAGAUUGCAGCAACCCCACUGCUUCGCAUACAUCUUCAUUGUAAUGAUCAUAAUAUCGCUUCUCCCACUCCAUCCAAUCCGAUGGGGGUGAUUCACUCGUCUCCAACAUCUUCAUUUCCCGAAUGCGCAUUCUCAGCACAAUCAUGUCUUCAUCCACCAGCUUGCCUCCAUAAUCUGGUCCACUUUUUCCCGUACUCGCCGCAACGACCUUCCUCACAUGUGUUUUCCGGCAAGACCGCACAGGAGGAAAAGGCAAGGUGCCGAGGGUAGGAGAAGAGAGGGAGGUUGAUUCCAUUACUAUAGUAGAACUGAUUUGCAGUGAAAUUGAUACGAUGUGAAGGAAGACAGGGUCAUAGGAACACACUUAUAUAAGGGUCCAAAAUCGUGAUUACUUCGUGAGUUGAAAUCUUAAGAGCUAAGGGUUGGAGCCAAAACCGUGUGGGGAGACACAUGGCAUCAUUAUGUAUUGCAACGCGGGGUGGUGCCGUGUGGUUCAGUCCAAUUGAGUAAGAUUGAAUUCAACUUUUGGGGCCAGGCUUCAGAGCAACAAAGAAAGGCCUUGUAUUAUAUAGAAAAGACACAAAGAUGAUUUGACACUGAAGUGAGCUCACCAUGAGGAGAUGCACCGAAAAAGCCUUGUGGUCCAGAAUCCAGAUGAAGCCCGGUUGGUUGUAGGUGUAUGUCAAAAGUUGAUACGACAAUUGUGCUUAGGGCCAAAAGUUGAUAUUGGAACAAACUUUACUUCAUACGAAGUAAAUUGGAUUCGUACAUUAAUUUGUUAAAAUACAAAAAAACCAAUGUGAUUAAUAUGAAUAAUGGUGGAGUCAAUACAAGGGGCAUAUACACUCAUUUAUUUAUUUAUUUAUUUAAACCAUUAGAUUAUUAAGAUUGUUUUAAAAAAUGAAAAAUAAAAUAGAAAUUUUGUCCAUGUAAAAAAUUAAAUUUUAAAAGACUAAAAAAAUACUUUGAAUUAAAUGAAUAACAUUUAUUCAACUACUAAUGGUAAUUAAUAUACUAGAAUUUCAAUAAAUUUUUUAAAAAUAAUAAUUUUUUUCUCUUACAACUAUUAUCUUAAUUUAUUUUUCAUUAAUUUAAGGUUGGUUAUUUUUUAUUUUGAUUUUAAAAAUUUUAGUAUUUUUUAAAAAUUUAAUUAAAUAAUAACUCAUAUAUAACUAAACUAUAUAAUUAUAUUAAAUUAUAUUCUAUUUAAUUUUGAAUAUGAUUUACCGUUACCUGAUGGUUCUCAUUAGGAAAUUUUUUAUUUAGUUUAAAUUAUAAAAGAUAACAUGAGUUAUUAGAAUAUUUUAAAUUACAAUAGUAACAAUUAAAUUCUAAUUAAUUAUUUUGUAUAUUUUACUUUAAAUUUUAAUGAUUAUAUGGUUCUUAUCUACCAUGUGAUAAAUAUUUUUUUUUUUUUUUUUAUAAAAUAUCAUUUUAAACUUAUUUAUAUUUAGUUAUUAGAAGUCCUAAAAUUUAUUAGAAAAAUUAUUGAAUUCUUUAAAAAAUUUUAAAAAUUCCUUUUACUAAAAAAAUAUAAUUAAUGAGACUACUUAACAAUAUAUCUGAUAAGAUUUCUUAAUAUUAUUUUAAUUCUUUUAAAAAAUUACUUUGAAUAUUUUUUUGUUAAUUUUAUUAUAAAGUCUAAACCUUUUUUUAUCUACCGAUGUUAUUUUGGUUUUUUUAAUAUGAUAUAUUGUGUACAUUCAUAACUAAUAUUUAAUAUCUAAAAUUACUUAAUUUAAUAAAUAAGAACAUCUUAUUGACUACAAAUAUUUCACAAUAGUUAUUAUAGUGCUUAAAAUUUUCGUGGUCGGCCACUUGAUUUUUAAGGCAUUUGUGCUUCUUAUUCAAAGCACUUGUACCAAUGGUAUAAGACGUGUACAAGAGACCUUAUUACGGAUAUUCUUCAAUCAUUUCUUCGCGAUAGCUCUUUAGAUACAAAUAAUAAAAUAAAGGGAAAUAUUAUUUGCACACUUACACAUAUGACACGCAUGCUACUUUCAUUUUUUUUUUUUUUUUUUUCACAUUUGCACAUUACGUAUGAGAUAUUUGUGCUAAUUAUACAAUAGAGUUGUGUCAUUGCAAUCAUGGAUUAAAAAGUUGGGAUAUUUUACCAAAAUAUCAGACUUGGAAGGUGGUCGAUAGGAAUCGGUUGUUGAUUACUGAUUGGAAUAAAUUUCAACAAAAAAUAAAAAAUUUUGGUGAAAUAUCGUCAAUAUAUCAUACUAAUGAAGGACCAAAAUUUCAAGAAAAAUUAGACUUGUAUACCCGCAUGGGAAGAAAUUUGGCAAAAAAAAUCGUCAAAAAAUUGGUCAUGUAUAGUUGAUAAAUCAAUGAUUUUUUUUAAUUACCAAUUUUUUUUUAAAUCCAUGUUUCUUGUUUUUCUAUUUUUUUUUUCUUUCUAAUUUAUCUUUUAUUUUAAAUUUACAUUAACCUUUUAUUUUAUAUUAUCAUUUUAUUUUUAAUUAUUUUUCAUAUUUAUCUCAUUUAUCCUAUUUUAAAAAAUUACUAUUACUUCACUUUUUCUUUUACAUAUAUAUAUCCUUUUAAUUUUAAAUGUUUUUUUAAAUAUAAAAAAUAUAAAUUUAUUCAAAACUUGUUAAAAUAUAAAAAAAAAGUUCUAAUAUUUUAUAAAUUAAAAUUAAUUUGAUAAGAUAAAUUAUUAAUAUAAUUAUUAAUAAUUUUAAUUAGUUAAAUAAAUUGAUGUUAAUGGUAAAAGUUUGUUAUCUUGUAAUAAAAUUUUAAAUUUUAAAUUUUAAAUAAAAUAUUUUAUAUAAAUCAAUUUAAUUUUUUUAUUUAAAAUAUAAUAAAACAUAUAUUUUUAAUAAAAAUAGUUUUUAAAUUUUAAAUAAAUGAAUAUCAAUAUAUUAAAGGAAUUUAAGCUAUGUUUUUUUUUAAAAAAAAAUUGAUAAACAUUAUUCUUAAUCAUACUUAUGUUAAGUAUAUUUAUAAAAUUACUUCAAUAUGUGUAUUCUUACUUAUUUAUAAUUUUUUUUAAAAUAUUUUUAUGAAUUUUGAACGAUUUCUAUUUUUUUCAGUACCAAUAUUUUAUUGAUAUUAUUUUGAUCAUAUCCGUAAAAUUCAAGUACAUCCGUAUUUACCGAAAUUUUCAUCAUUGAUUGCAAUAAGAGACAUCUUUUCGAUCCUUCUCUUCUUGGAAUUUGAUUAAGUUUUAUAAUAAAUUAAUGAAAAAUAUCAUUUAUACAAUUAGACAUGUGUAAUAUGUGUAAUAACCCAUAAUUCAUCUUAUUAAAUAUAUUUUGUAUGACAAGUCUAAUAAUAAUAAUAACAAUAUGAAAAUGGUCAUUUAUGUAGGAUCCUUCUCGAAUCUGCCACGUGGCUCCCUCUCGCUAAAUCACGCGGAUAGUCCCCUUUGUGGCCCAUGGCAUUACUCAUUCCACCCGGACAGAAGUCAUCGCUCAUUCCACCCGGACGGAAGUUCUCGCUCAUUACCACCCGGACAGAAGUUCUCGUUCAUUCCACCCGGACGGAAGAUAUCACUCAUCCCACCCGGAAGGGAAUUCUGCAUGGCCGACGUUCCACCUUCUUCGGAUAUUUCGCAUCCAGAGCCUCCGGUGGAUGGGAGAGGAGGACGAUUCAACUUUCCCGGACAAACAUGUCCGAAUCCUCUGGUAACGCUUACCCGGACAGCUUACCCGAACAGCUUGGCUCGUCAGACGCUCGUGAUUCGCCGGAUCCAUUUCCGCCCACAAUCAAAAAGCAACUCUGACAAUAUUGACGACCAAGUCUCCUGAACUGUCAUUCAUCUUCAAAUGCAAGAUACAUUCGACAAGACAUUCCCAAGUCUUUUCAAGUCUCCUGACACAUCCCUGAUAUUUAAAGUCAUAAAUUGAGGCGACAUCCACCGCCUGAAUACCUUCCUGACAACCGUCACCUUACACCAAAAACGUCAUGAUUACUUCGCCACCUUAUGAGCCGCAAUCAUGACGAUGGGACCUGCUAGCCCAGCAAGUACACCUUCUCUGCCUUAUAUAUAAGCUUGAAGGUAAUUCUCAAAGGGUAAGCAAUAGAAAAAUCGCUGAGGAACACUCCCGCAAUUGCUUUUAAACAACUUCCUAAAUACUAACUUAGGCAUCGGAGGAUAUGCCCGGAUAACCCGUCCAGACAUCUUUUUGCAGGAGGAAGGAGGAAUUACUACAACGUGUUGAUCGAGAUUCUGCUGCUGGUAAUUACUAUUAUGGCAGGGGAAUUUUGCCAUCAACAUUGGCGCCGUUUGUGGGAAACGUCUUUUCUUCUCAAUAAAUCCUAUACCUUCCAACUAUAAAGAUGACUUUACCCUCAAGAAGUCGUUCUUCUGCCAGAGGUGACAAAGGUUACUUCGAAUGGCAAAAUAGUAUGGAAAGACGACAGUGAGAAAACGAACGGUAGAUGCAAAUUCUACUCCAAGAAACAAAGAAGCUUAGGGAAGAAAACAAUGUCUUGAGGAUCCGAAGCUCUCCCCAACCUCAGCACUAUCAGCGGAGGUAGGACCCCUGUCGCAACCAAGGAGCUCCAUUCCCCCGAGAGGCGAGCCCAACCCUCGAGGCACAUGAAGCAUGGCCUAGCGAAACCUCGGUGCACACUCACCAUGUACGACGAGAUGAAAGUUCAGGCUCUACUUGAGUCUCGUCUAAGAGACAACACGACAAAAGGCCUCAAAUAUUUGACGCAAUGGGCGCGCGUCUGGGACCCCAAACACCCUGCAAAAACAGGCCUCACACCACCAUAUCGCUGGAUGCACACUCCGAGCCUUCAAGCUCGCCUACUUUACAAGGACAUGCCGCCCGCUCACCUGUGGCGCGGGUUGGUAAAAAUCCCUCGCACCUAGCCCCUCCGGGCUCUAUCAGCAGGCGCUUGGACGACAUGCUCUCCACGCCUUUCAGCUCUCGUAUCAUUAAAUAUGAACCCCCACGAGGGUUCAUCGUCCCGAAAUUCUCCACGUAUGAUGGAUCCAUCGAUCUCUUUGAUCACAUAAUGCAUUAUCGGCAGCUCAUGACCAUUGACAUAGGGAAUGAUAUGCUGUUGUGCAAAGUUUUCCCAGCCAGCCUACAAGGCCAGGCUCUUUCGUGGUUUCAUCGACUGCCCGCGAACUCGAUUGACAAUUUCCGGGAUCUAUCCGAGGUCUUCGUGGGGCAGUACUUAUGCUCAGUCAGGCAUAAGCAAAAUAUCAGCACCUUGCAGAACAUCAAAAUGCAAGAAAAUGAAACUUUGAGAGAGUUCGUGAAGCGUUUCGGACAAGCUGUCUUACAAGUAGAGUCAUAUAGCAUGGACGCAGUCUUCCAAAUUUUCAAACGGAGCAUAUGCCCAGGGACCCCCUUAUUCGAUUCCCUUGCCAAAAAACCUCCUACAACAAUGGACGAUUUAUUCCGACGAGCAAGUAAAUACUCCAUGGUAGAGGACGACGUCCGGGCCGCUACACAGCAGGUCCUAGUCGCUCGCCAAGCUGUGAGAAGCGAAGCCACCAGAAGCUUCAAAGCACCUAACCAUCCUAGGACAUCCAGCAAGGGGCAAGAUGAGUGACGCCUGCCGCUCAUUCGAACACUUCUGACCACGUCAUACGAAAAACUGCUUUCUAUGAUUUGCGAUCUGCCCGGAUUCAGAUGGCCGAGACCCAUAAGAUCGAGCCCCUCAGAGAGGGACCGCAAUAAAAGAUGUGCAUAUCAUAAAGAUCAUGGGUACUCCACUGAAGCAUGCAGAAGUCUCCAUUAUCUAGUGGAUGAUCUCCUAAAUGCAGGACACCUAAAGCAGUGUAUUCGCGCAAUGCCGAAAAAUGAAGAAUCCUCCCAUGGUCAAGGCUCACGCGCCCUAGCGGCUCGUGUUAGAGCCAUGAUCAACUACAUACACGGAGGACCCUUGGAUGACGAGUACAGUUCCAAAAGAAAAAGACAGAUUGUUGCGGGCAGCCACUGUUCGAGAACACAUAAGCUCCAUCCGGCCAGGAUUAGCCAGCGGAAGCACCCACCUCAUAAGACUCUGUGUUGUCCGGCCCACUCUGGUCCAUCCUCGGGUGGCAAACCCUGGGCACCAGAGGCCCUAUAAGACUUUGCGCUGUCCGGCCCAUUCCGGUUGUGAUGCCCCUGACUGACACAGUUCGGUGGUACGGCUGGGCACUAGAGCACAAAACGACUGUCCGGCCCAUUCCAGCUGUGAUGCCCCUGAUUGGCAUUCCCGGGUGGCAAACCCCGGGCACCAGAGCAAAAAAGGCAGAUGGUAUCAAGAGGGCAACAAUAAGGGGUAAGAGCCUUGUCGCCACCAUGAGUUCGAAUCUUGGGGACGUCACCCACAAGGGCCAAAUAAACAAAUGGCCCCAUAAGACUUUGCGCUGUUCGGCCCAUUCCGGCUGUGAUGCCUCUGACUGGCACAGUUCGGUGGUACGGUUAGGCACCAGAGCAUAAAACGAUUGUCCGGCCCAUUCCGGCUGUGAUGCCCCUGACUGGCAUAGUUCGGUGGUAUGGUUGGGCACUAGAGCACAAAAUGACUGUCUGGCCCAUUCCGGCUGUGAUGCCCCUGAUUGGCAUAGUUCGGUGGUACGGCUGGGCACCGGAGCACAAAAGGCACUUAGUUGGGCUAUCUCAUCCUUAGCCUCGUGCAGGCGGGCUGCUGUAAAUUCCUCCCGGCUCUUAGCCUCUUCUAGCUCAAUUAGGAGAGCCUCGUUGGCAUCCUGAGACCUCUUUAGAGCUUCGGCACUCUUCUCAGAGGCUCUCCGGGCAGCAGAUAAGUUUGCUUCGGCCUACUCUAGUCUCAAGCGCAAUUCCUCCUCGCCGUCCAUGUGAUAGGAGACAAAGGCCUUCAUGUGAUUAGCAAUCCGCAGUAGGUCUGAAAAUAACUCGCGUUGUUGAACCAUGCCGCAGAUACCGCUCACCAGUUGUAGAAAAACCCACAACGAGGAAGUGCCACGUGCCAUUGGUCUCCAUAUGAAAGAGAAAUUUUGUAAAGAUAGCAUUUUUUAUCCCACAUUUUCUGCACAUAUCAGAUAAGCGAGAUAAAAGGGGGCAUUGUAGGAUCCCUCCCGAAUCUGCCACGUGGCUCCCUCUCGCUAAAUCACGCAGAUAGUCCCCUUAACGGCCCGUGGCAUCGCUCAUUCCACCCGGACGGAAGUUCUCGCUCAUUUCCACCCGGACGGAAGUUCUCGCUCAUUCCACCCAGACGGAAGUUCUCACUCAUUCCACCCGGACGGAAGAUAUCACUCAUCCCACCCGAAAGGGAAUUCUACACGGUCGACGUUCCACCUUCUCCUGAUAUUUCGCAUCCGGAGCCUCUCGUCGGAUGGGAGAGGAGGAUGAUUCAACUUCCUUGGACAGACAUAUCCGGAUCCUCUGGUAACGCUUACCCGGACAGCUUACCCGAACAACUUGGCUCUUCAGAUGCUCGCGAUUCGCCGGAUCCAUUUUCGCCCACAAUCAAAAAGCAACUCUGACAAUACUGACGACCAAGUCUCCUGAACUGUCAUUCAUCUUUAAUGCAAGAUACAUUUGACAAGACAUUCCCAAGUCUUUUCAGGUCUCCUGACACAUCCCCGAUAUUUAAAGUCAUAAAUUGAGGCGACAUCCACCGCCUGAAUACCUUCCUGACAACCGUCACAUCGCACCAGAAACGUCAUGAUUACUUCGCCACCUUAUGAGCCGUAAUCAUGACGAUGGGACCCGCUAGCCUAGCAAGUACACCUUCUCUGCCUUAUAUAUAAGCUUGAAGGUAAUUCUUAAAGGGUAAGCAAUAGAAAAAUUGCAGAGAAACACUCCCGCAAUUGCUUUCAAACAACUUCCUAAAUACUAACUUAGGCAUCGGAGGAUAUGCCCGGACAACCCGUCCGGACAUCUUUUUGCAGGAGGAAGGAGGAAUUACUACAAUGCAUUGAUCGAGAUUCUGCUGCUGGUAAUUACUAUUGCGGCAGGGGAAUUUUGCCAUCAACAAUUUAGGCUUUUCCUAAUGAUUAAGUAGUAAAAGUGAAGUGUUUGUCAAUUUUGUUUUUUCCUAACUUGGUCUCAUCAUUUCGCUUAUAUGCGUUUCAGUGCUAUCACUUAAAUGAUUCACAUAAUAUUUUUUAAAUAUUUAAAUAAUAAAAAAUAUAUUAUUUUAAAUUAAAUUAUUUUUUAGAUUUAAAUAUUAUUACUUAAAUUUGUUGAUGAAAAACUUAUCAUAAUUUAGUUUUGUUCUUAAUUUAAUUUGUAACAUGAUUUAUUUAAUUUUAAAACAUGUUAAAUAUUUGUACCCAAACUUAUUUAGAUAAACAUUAUUUUUUUUAAAAAAACUUUUAAACAUAAAAAAUGUUUAAAAAAAUUUGAUUUAGAUAAUAUCUUUUUUUUAUAUAUAGAAAAAUUAUCAUAAUUUAAUUAAAAAUAAUAACAUUUCAUAAUGAUAUAAUUUUUGACUUCUUAAAAAACCUAUUUGGAAAAAUAUUAUUUUUUUAUUUCUUAAAAAUAAAAAAUACAAAUAGCCAUUGUUCUAAAUUAAUUUGUUUUUUCAUGUAUUUAUUAUUAUAUCAAUUUAAUAAUAUAUAAAUGUUUGAAUUGAUACCUACCUCUCCCUUAUAUCCUCAUUUAUGUCAUUAAUGUCUUUUGAGUUGAUACCUAUUGAAAAAGUUAAGAAUUCUAUUUUAUAUGUAGACUUGCUCUUAAGCGGUAGACUUAUAUUCACAAAGUUAAACAAAAAAAAAAAAUUCCUCUUUUUGACUCUCUAUUUUCGAUCUCCUUUUUUUUUUUCCCUCAUUUUGAGAUUUCUCUACUCUCUCUUAUUUUAAGUUUAUUUAUUUUUUCUCUAUUCCUUUUUUUUUUUUUUUGGUUAUUUUUCUCAUUUUGAGAUUUUAUUCAGUUUUAUGUGACUCAUUAUUUCCUCACUAUCUAUAUUUUUUUUAUUAUGAAAUAUUAUUUGGUUUUAUAGAGUUCACAAAUGAUAGAAGUUAGCAUCAUGAAAGGACUUAGGCUUCUCUUCACAAUUAUGAUCUUGUUUAUGAUUGUUACAAUAUACCAAUACUCUCUCCAACCUAUGAUUGGCUUUCCUUUCGGUAUGUAAUCUCCUCAAUGUCAUGAAACAUUAAGUUUCCAAACAUUGUGAUCAUUUUGAUUUUUCUCUUCUAAAUCUCAAGAAGCAUUGAGUUUAUGGAUUGAUUUGCAAAUUGAGAGUUUUAUUAUUAUUAUUAUUUUUAGAAUUGUAUUGAAUUGUUUAUUUUAUAAAUAAAUACAUUUCAAAGUUAUAAUAAAUAUUUACUUCUAAUAUCUUUAUUCUAGUUUAGUUAUAGUUAUUUUAUUCUAUCAAUUUGAAAAAAAAAUUUAAAUUUUUGACGAUUUAUGUAUAUGGUCUUAACAUUUUUCCUAUAUAGAAAGGUAUGUUUUAGAAACACUAAAUGAUAAAAAGAUAUGAUAGAGAUAUAAAGAGAAAAAGUUGGGAAGAUAAUGUGACAAAUAGUUAUUUAUGUAUUUUAUAUAUUUAUUUGUUAUUUUAUUUAAUUUUAAAAUAUUUAAAGGAAAUAAUUUUUUAUCAACUACCCUCUUUACUUUUUGAAUAAUGAAAUAUGGUUAAAAAUAAAAAUUUACAAAGGGAAACUUGUAUUUUGGGAGGCCCAUUUGAAAAUAAUAUGGAUUUCAAAACCCUAGAAUAGGAAAUAUGAUAUUCAACCAAUAAUAUAAAAAUUAAUAUGGUUCUUGUGCACUUUGUGCUGAGUGGACUUUUGAUACCCACUUUGCCUUUGCCCAAUCUCCAUGUUAGCAUCCAGGUUGAGAUAGCAGGCAAAAGGGUUAAAAAAAAAAAUUACAUAAAUUUCCUUAACAUCUUUCCUUUUACUUUCUUACCACCCGUACUGAAGCCAAAGACCCCUAAAAUUGAAACCAUAAACCCUCUUUGAUCUUCCUCUAAAUCCAAAUAACCUAAAUGUCGUGAAACCCUACCUAUGAUUUUCUCAUAUAUCCCCAAAAUCCCUAUAAUCCUGGAAAACUAACCCUAAUCCUUAUUCACACAAGUCGAUGUCGUAGAUUAGAGAGUGUGGGGAAACCCUAACCUUUUUGUCUAAAGAUCCAGCUCCGAAUCUCUAUCUUUAUCAUUGUCAUCAGGUGAUAUAUUUUUAUGUUGGUAUAUUUAUGGUGGUUUAUUUGUGUUAAUUUUUUUUUUCACAUCGAGAAAUGAGGGUGUGUCAAAGCAUGACUUGAAAUCUACAUAUUCUCUCUUUCUCUCUGUACAAAACUUCAUCUUUCUCUGCAAAUUCCUCUCAAUUAAGGGCUUCUUUCAGAGAUUCGAUUCAUUUGCUGAUCUUUUGCAUUGUUUCUCAUAAACCUUUUUUUUUUUUUUUUCUUUUUGUUGGAAAAUGUUCUCAGAUUUUGAAGGUAAGAAAUUUGUUUAUUUUUAAUAUUGAAACAAAACCCAAUUGCAGUAAUGAAUUGAAGAUGUUAUUAUUAUUAUUAUUAUUAUUAUUAUUUGUUAUUUGUUUGGUUAAUUUAGUGUUUUGUGGGUUGGUUGAUCUUAAAUUUUGUUUUUGUUUGUUUGUUUUUUGUAUUAAUAAAUUGAAGAUGUUUUUUUUUAUUAAUUUUUUGUUUGGUUAAUUUGGAGGUUUGUGGUUUGGUUGAUUAUCUCUUAGAAAUCAUUGAUCUUAAUUUUUAUUUUUAUUUUUUGGAAAUUCUAGGAAUACCUACAAUUGAUGUGAUUUUGUUUUUUUUUUUUUUCCUUUUUAAUGCUUGGUGGUACUGGGCUUAAGUUUGUUAUGGAGGUUUGGGUGGGCAUUAUUGAAAUUAGUGGGUUUAUUUUGAGAAAUUUAGUUUUCCGGUGGAGGAAUUUAUGCCUUUGAAAUAGUAAGCAUUUAGUUGAGGAAUUGUUUUAGGGUUAAAACCAUACUAGAUUUUAAUUUUGUUGUUUCUACAUCUUUUAAAGAAUGAUUUUAGGCGGUUAGAGUGUGUUAUUUUGUUGUUUUAGGGUUUUUAGGUUGAAAAUUGAUAUUAAUUUAUGUUUAUUAGAUUGAGUUCAAUUUUUUCCCAUGAAUUUAUCUGAGAAUCCAUGAUAUGUAAUUAUGUUUUGAGAUGGUUUUAUACUAAUUAGUUUUAUUUGUGUCUGUUUUUGUGCAUUUAUUUGAUAACUUUUUUUUUUUUGCUUUUGUAUUUUGAAAAAUGGUUUUUGGUUCAUAACUCUUAGAAUUAGAAAGGUUCAAGCCAAGUUGGAUGACUUAGCUCUGUUACUUUGGAUUUAUUUUAUAUUCAUUUUUUUGGGUUUUGUUUUUGGGAUCAUAUUACAUUUGUGAGUCUUUAAAUUUGAGAUGACUCUUAUUUUAUUUUAUUUUCUGUCAAAUGGUACUGUGGUUUUCAGACUACAUAAUAGAUGUAGACAUAGGCAUUAUCGAAGCUUGGAGACCAUUGAUGCAGUUCUUUUAAUUACAUUCCUUUUUACCAUAAUUCAGGAUUGGCUUUUGCUCGAAAAUAUUGAUUCUUCAUUUUGGUCUCCUUCAUAGUUAAUGUAAGCAUCACUAUUUCUACAUCUUUGUUAUCUUUGUAAAUAAUUUUUUGGCUCGAAUUGUAUAGCAUACUCAUACAAUUCAAAGUUGCAAAAGUCCUGACCCACAAAUUACCAUCUCAUGUGGAUUUGGGAGAUAAGAAAUUUACAAGUUGAAAUACAUUGAGCUUUGACAAUUCUUUCAUAUUGAAAACCUUUUUAUUUGUACAAUAUAUUCUGAUGGCAUUUCAAUAUUUAUGUUUGUAUUUCAUUUUCUUUUAAAUUUUUAAGUAAAUUCAUGGGUCACAAAGGCUACCAUGGGCUUCAAAAUUAGACUUUGAGAAUCAUUUCCUUAUUAUAAUACGAAAUGCUUUUGGAAGCUAGUUAUAGAAUUCAUGGGGAAAUGCUUUUAAAUAGAACAUUUUUUUCCCUUCAAUCUAUUACUUUUAGGAAGAUUUUAACUCAAGUCGUUUCAUAUGAAAAAAAUUGUCAAAUCCAUUUUUAUGUGAAAUUAUGGAUUUUAAUUAGUGUUUUGCAGAACCCUAAUAUUAGGAAUAUUAUUGUUUGUGUUGGAAUACUCAAUUUUCUCUUCAAAUCCUUGAACCCAAUGUACCAUCUCAAACAUUUCUUUUUGUUUUACAAAUGAAUGUUGGAAAUAGGAUAGGCUGAUGAAGGCCAAAGAACCAAUAACCAAUUUGGGGUAGAUUUGGAGAUCAAUCACUGAAUGGUUUAGAUGAUUUCUUUUUCUAGUUUCAUUUGAUUUUGAGUAGAUUCAAUGGCUAUACUUAUAGUAAUAAAUACACAGUACCCUACUUUUCAUGGUGAUCAUGUUAGACUAUUUUUUUUUUUUUUAUCAACUUCUACAUGUGGCUUAUGCCAAGAAGUGAAAGCCAUUACUCAUGGCAAACUCCAUUUUAGGACUUUUGUGAAUGAUGGAUGGACCUGAACUUAAGCAUUUUUCAUGUCUCGAAGUUAAAAUAUUCGUUUAUAUGUUUGUUUUAUAAGUUUGUAAGAAAUUUGAGUAUUAAUUAUUUAGUAUAAAUUUUAUGCUCAAAUGGCCUUGCAAGAAAGUUUAGCUAAAUUCAAGAAGCAACAAGAGAAGUGUCGGUUGACUCUCACUAGCAUUGCAACCGAAGCAAGAUCCCUUAAGCCUAGAGUACCUUGAGACUCAUGUUGGAGCAAUUGAGCCUAGUGAUCGUUCUUUGGUAGCGAUGAUGCAAUUGUUAUUGGUGGUAGUCUUUGUGUAGCUAUGAAUUUACUUGUUAAUCAUUUUGUAAAAGUUUGAACGUUAGCUGUGUAUUCAAAUACUUUGAUCCGCUAGUUCUUUUGGAAAUGCUGGUGUUUUUCUCUGUUAUUUUAAGGUGCAUAUUAGUUACUACUAUUAGUGGAAAGAAUAGACAAACACUUGAUUCCUACAUCUUCAUCAUGGUUGAAAAAAUUAUAUGAUAUUAUAUGAUUUAUUAUAAAUUUUACUCUCAAAUAUCAAAGAUGUGUAAUUUAAUUCAAUUGGUUUUUUUAUUUUAUGAGAUCAAGGUUUUGAUUUCUUUAUGAUAGUGCUAUUGCUUGACCAGAUUAGAUUUAUCAAAGAUAUUUAUCCAAUUGAGAUUUAUGUGGAGAAUUAAAAUAAUAUUUUAGAAUUAGAUGCUACUACUUUUGGUUUGGACUAGUGAUCUUGUAGCCAUCUCUUGAUGGAUUUCUAAGAACUAUUGUAACUUGGGACUAUUGUUCUUGGUAAUAUCUUUGACCUCAUUUGGAGUGAUGUUUUUGCCUUUUAAAAAACUAGAAUAGAAAUGUUUAGAGAGGUUACAAACUCAAACACUUUAAAAUUAUUUAAUCUUUAUAUAUAUAUAUAUAUAUAUAUAUAUAUAUAUAUAUAUAUAUUUAUGAAAUUAAAAUGAGUUGAAAUAAGUAUAAAAUUAAUUUAUUGACUUUAAUUCUAUUGUAUUUAUUUUCGGUUUAAGGCAACCCUAAAGCAAAACUGCAGAUAGCAUAUCCAAACAUCUCCUAAAUAAUAAUGUUAUGUUGUUUUCCAUCUACAAGCAUCGCUAGAAUUGGACAAAAAACUUUCACACAUAAUAUCAAUUUCUCUCAUUUCAUCCUAGCAUAAAAAUAAAGUCAAAUCACAAUUGUGGCCCAUGACGGGAGGGAGAAUAUUAAGUCUCUUCCUCUUAUGAUUCAAAACAAGAAGAAAUUUUUUUAGCAUAACAACAAUUUUUUUUAAACAAAAUAAAAAUAAAAAUCACUUAGGCCAUUGUCAUGAAACUAAGAAUAUUCAAUUAUAUGAUGAAAAUAAGAAGCUUCAGUUCCUUUCCAUUUUUCAACCUCAUCAGGUAUUAGGCCAUUGUUCUAGGUUCAUCCCAUUGAAGUUGCAAUGAGAAAUAAUUUGUGAAGAAACAUUAUAAACAACAAUAAAUAAGUAGAAAUUCAUAUGUCAAGACUCUAUUAAAGGCUUACUCAAAGUUAACGAUUUUGAUGAGUUGGAUGGAUGAUUGAGAUUUGGGGCCCAUUCAAAUUUGCCAGUUUGUGUGACUAGGUACUGACACAUUUUUUUUUCUCCCUUUUAAUGUUCCAAAACUAUAAAAUUCAAUGGCUUAGAUUUAAAUAUCAGAACCAUACAAAAUUGACAAUGUAAGAAACAUCAUAUUGAAUGGAUCUUGUGUGUCUGUGUGUUGGAACUUUAACAUCAUACUAAAAUGCAUAAUAACUUUGUUUACAAUAAACUACACAAGUUAUUUUUUCAUAUUUAAAUUUACCAACACAAUUUUAUUUGUACAAAUAAUUGAGGUCAAUUCUUUAAAGAACUAGACUCCAAAAAUUGAUUGUUGAAAGCUUUUAUUUACAUGCGAGGAAAGCUUUUAUUCUAUCUUAAAUAUGCCAAUUAUUUUUGAAAAGUAGCAGGCCUACAUCAUCAAAGCAGGAAAAAUAUGAGUUUUCAAUUGUAGUUGCAAGGUUGUGACAUAGUGAAAUAUCAUCAUUAAAGAAAAUUAGAAGUGAAAGGUCAUUGGAUUUAAGGGAAAAAGUGCGAGGGUAGGAGUUUUAACUCCACAUGAGGACUCACAAGAUUUUUGUAAUCUUUUAUCUUCAUAUUUUAAACUAUAAUGAUGGUAAGGGGGGAAGAGAGUGAAUAAUAGGUAGGAUUAUAAAGAAAUCUUCAUUUUACAUUUAAUUGCAUACAUAGUGUUAAUUUCCAUCACAAAUCAAGUGUAUGAAGAUUUCACAUAAAUGGGAAAAUAUUAGAAAAAGAAGAGGAAAAUAGCUAAGAAAUUGUGAAACAUAACCGUUUGAAAAACUUCAUCACAUAAAUCAUCCAAUAGCACCAAGUCAGUGUACACUUUUGUUAAUUCAAGUUUAUUGAUGAAUGUACAUAUGUAUAUGAAAUAUUUUGCAAGGAAUGUUGAUCAUCAACUACAUGUUCAUACUUUGGUUUUCCAACUGAUGAACAUUCAUCACUUCUCAUCCAUCUUAGUUCAUAGAACACCAAAGCUCGGACAACUUCCUUUCUAGAAGUAUAUGCUUUGUAAACACUCUCCUUAUAAAGGAGCACAUUCUUUUGACAUUCAACCAAAGAAUCGUACACUCCAUGUUUGCGACCAACAAACACUACAUAAUAUGUUUGCUUGUUUGUCAUCUGAUGACAUAAUUGUUGUUGGUUAUUUUUUAAUAAUCAAUCAAGUAAUGACUAUUGCAAAAGAUAAUACAAAACGUAUAUAAUUCAAACAUGUAUACCACAUUUUAGGAUAAUAACAGUGAUGAUUAACCAAAAAAUUCAAAAUAUAACAAGUAAUGUCUGGGAUUCAAGUUUCGAGGCUUCACACAGGUAGUACCCAACUUUAACAAAGGUAGUACCUAAGAUCGGUUAAGGUAGUACCUAAGGUUGAUUAAGGUGGAACCUAAGGGUUAUUAAGAUAGUACCUAAGGUACAGUGCCCAAAAUACCAAAGGUGAACCACUUGACCACACCAAAUAAUCACAUAAUGGCAUGCUCUAAGGGUCACAAAUGAAGUUCCAAGGCUUCACACAAGUAGUACCCAACUUUAACUGAGGUAGUACCUAAGGUUGGUUAAGGUAGUACCUCAAGUUGAUUAAGGUGGUACCUAAGGGCUAUUAAGGUAGUACCUAUGGUAUAAUCCCCAAAAUAACAAAGGUGAACCAAUUGACUACACUAAAUAAUCACAUAAUGGUAUGCUCUAAGGGUCAUAAAUGAAGUUUUGAGGCUUCGGAUAGGUAGUGCCCAACUUUAACUAAGGUAGUACCUAAGGUUGAUUAAGGUGGUACCUAAAAGCUAUUAAGGUAGUACCUAAGGUAUAGUCCCUAAAAUACCAAAGGUGAACCACUUGACCACAUUAAAUAAUCACAUAAUGGCAUGUUCCAAGGGUCACAAAUGAUGUUCUCAGACUUCACAUAGGUAGUACCCAUCUUUAACUAAGGUAGUACCUAAGAUUGGUUAAGAUAGAACCUAAGGGCUAUUAAGGUAGUACCUAAGAUACAGUCCCCAAAAUACCAAUGGUGAACCAAUUGAACAUACUAAAUAAUCACAUAAUGGCAUGCUCUAAGGGUCACAAAUGAAGUUUUGAGGCUUUACACAAGUAGUACCCAACUUUAACUAUGGUAGUACCUAAGAUCGAUUAAGGUAGUACCUAAGGUUGAUUAAGGUGGUACCUAAGGGCUAUUAAGGUAGUACCUAAGGUAUAGUCCCCAAAAUAACAAUGGUGAACCACUUGACCACACUAAAUAAUCACAUAAUGGUAUGCUCUAAGGGUCACAAAUGAAGUUCCAAGGCUUCACAAAGGUAGUACUUAAAGUCGGUUAAGGUAGUACCUAAGGUUGAUUAAGGUGGUACUUAAGGGCUAUUAAGGUAGUACCUAAGGUACAGUCCCCAAAAUAACAAAAGUGAACCACUUGACCACACUAAAUAAUCACAUAAUGGCAUGCUCUUAGGGUCACAAAUGAAGUUUUAAGGCUUCACACAAGUAGUACCCAACUUUAACUAUGGUAGUACCUAAGAUCGGUUAAGGUAGUACCUAAGGUUGAUUAAGGUGGUACUUAAGGGCAAUUAAGGUAGUACCUAAGGUACAGUCCCCAAAAUAACAAUGUGACUUGCAACCAGAUAUGCUAUAAGUUCCAUCUAGAUUCAAUGCGACUUGUAGGUUAUAUGGUUAUUUGGGAAUAAUAUGGUUUCCACAACCCAACACAAAAAUUCAAGUCCACUAAUGACUCCAAAAUCAUUGAUGUGCUCCAUUUCAAACAAAGGAACUAAAGAACAAUAAAUAAAAAUUAUUUACCUUCAUAUUUCAGUUUGGGGUUAGGGUAAAAUGCGACUCAAGUCAGCAACUAAGAAGAAGAGGGAUGAUGUAGUGCUUUUGGUGAUGAGAGGACGAGUUUUGAGCAUGCCUAAAUACCAAUCUAGAAAUCCAAUCUUGGAGGACCGUGAUGAUGAUGAUCAAAACGAAUAGGCACAAAGUAGAUUAAUUGGGUUAAAGAUUUCUAAAUCCUCAAUAUUUUCGAGUUGGUGAAUCAAUGGAAAUGAAGAUGGAGGUAAAGUUUUAAUCUUAGGGUUUCUUUAGGUUUCAAGAGGGAUAAGGAAAAGAACAAAUGAGAUCUUGAGUUUUCUUUGGUGCUUGGUGGAGAAAGGUUUUUUCUUUUUUUUUUUUUUUUUUUUUUUUUUUUUUUUUUUUUUUUUUUUUUAACAUGUGAACGCUUGCUUACCUUGCAAAAAAGGAGGGUAAAUUUGGCAUUAAAAACCACAUAAGCUCAAAGUGCAUGAAAUCCAAAAUAUUUUUAAUAUUAAUAUGGUUAACUUUAAAAAGGGAAAGUUGGGUUUCUAUUUUACCAAUAUUUCCAUAUUAGCCCAUGGAAACCAAAUAAACCCAUUUACAAAUGUCUUGUUUAUUUAAAAUAAUAAAUUUAAUUUUUCAUAAUUAUUAAUUAUCUUUUGAAUCAUUAUUUAUUCUAAGCCAUGCAAUAUUUAAAAUUGGAAUUUAAAGAAUUAAAAAAAAAAGUCAUUCAAUUGAAUGACACGAAUAUAAAAACUUGAAUUUAAAGAAUUAAAAAACCGUAAUUCCUUUGAAAUGACACAUGGAUAUGAUACCAUCAUUAUUACUUAUUAACAAUUAAUCAGUAAACUUAAUUUUAAAAAACUAAAUUAUUUAUACAUAUCUGUAGACCCCCUUUCAAGAGCCAAAGACUAUUAGUUUUUUUUUUUUUUUGAGAAAUUUUUAUAGCAUUGGAAGGAUGUUGUCUCACCACCUGGAGGAGCUGGCAGCACCUUAGAUAAGUGGGGGACCCUUUUCCCUAUGCAUGGGACCAGCUGUAUGGACAUGGCAAAAAGCAGGGUUGGCCAUGAGGGUAGGUGAAAGAGGCCAUGUUGGCUGAUAGAGGAACAAUGGAGAUGGUAAUGGCUUGCUGCGGAAGACAAAAAUACGGGGUUUGAGCUUGAGGGGGGGAGAGGUAAAAAAAGGGAGGCAAGAUGGCUGGAAAAUGGCAGAGAGAGGAAGCUUCCUUGAGCUUGGUAAGUCUUCCAUCUCUCAACACCCUGCUUCACCACCUGAUGAUAUAUGCAUAUUGUUUAUUGUUUGUCGUGGGUAUCAAGAGUCACAGGUCCGCAUAUGAUCACUUUGCAUGAUAUGCUCUGUUUCUUUUUCUUAUUUGUUUCAUCUUGACACCUCGAAUCCCCUUCUAUGAAUAAUUGUUUUGUUUUUGUUUUGGAUUGGAUUGGAUGUUUGAUAUUUGAAUCGUGGGUUCCUAGUUUGUCCCACUCAGCUGUAACCCGUUCAUCAUCCAUGGAAUAUGGUGGUGCCAGAUAACUCCUCAAGUUCUUGCUCUGUUUUUAUUCAUGUAUUAUUUUAGCCAUUGCAUACCUCUCAUGCACGCGGCCACCUUCCCCACCCCAUUUCCAACGACUCUCUCUUUCUCUUUCUUUUUCCCUUCCUCUUCCUCCUCCUCUUCAUGCAUCUCUUCUCUGGUGGCGCGAGGCAUGCAGCGUUUUCAGGCAUUGACGGAGGGUGGCGCUUACUUGAGGCUCACCCCCACCACCACCUCUGCGCUAGCCAAGGUGCCCUCGGAAGCAUGCACUGCGGCGGUAGGAUGCUUGCCCUCCACCAGGAUCUGGCACCGCCGGCACUACAAGAUCAACGCUAAUCAGAAGCGGCAUGCAAUGGCUUCCUCCAUUGUCGUCUCAGCCGCCUCCUCUCUGACCGUCCCCAUCACCCCGACGCCUUCACCGGUGGCGCAUGGUUCAACACGACUAGCUUUGGCUAUGUAGGCGGUUGCACUAGCCACCACAACGAUAACGUUUUCAUGGAUGUUGCUAGAUAGCCGCCACCCCUUCCCUCUCCAUUCUGCCGCUACUGGUGGAGAUGAUGAUGCCCAGGUGGAGGGGCGGGUCGUGAUGGUGAUGGAGUCUUGGGUUUGCCCUUGGUGACGGGUUUGGGUUUAAGUUGGAGCCCAACCCAAGCAUGUUGAUGGAGGGCAAUGUCUUCUCAACUAAGUGGGCUAUGAAGGUGAUGGAGCCUUGGGCUUGCCCAUGGUGACGGGUAUGGGCUUAAGUUGGAGCCCAGGCCCAAAGUUGCUGAUGAAGGGCCUCAUUGCUCCUUAAGCCAAUCACUCUCAUGGCUCAUGUCCAUUUUAAGAUAGCCCAUUUGGCUACUUCAAUUCUAAAUAAGUUUUUAAACCUCUAAUCUUCGUAAUUAAUUAAUUUAUUCAUUCAUUUUUUUAUUUUUCAUCAUAUUUCACUUUACCUAUCUUGUUAACUCAACUUAAACACAAUUAAAAGAUAAAUCAUUAGGAUGGAAUAUUGUUUUUUUUUAAGCUUAAAAUAAUUUGUAUUUCAUCUUCCUUUCUUUAGGUAUGACUAAUCAUCAUAUAUGAAAAUUUUUAUAUAAUUAAUUUAUGUUGGUCUCAAUGAAUUUUCUACAUUCCAAAUUUUAAAUCUCAUAUUCAAAACUUAUGUCAUUUAAAAGCCAUUUAUCGAAAAUUCCGUCUCCCUAAAUUAAUUUUCAAUCUCAAGAAUUGCUCCAUUCACUUUCAUUCGUUUAAAAAUCCAAUGUCCUAAUUUAAUUUUCAACCCUAAAAAUCCCACUAUUAUUUUUUAUUCGUUUAAAUGUUAUUUUCGUUAAUUAGUAUUAUUAUCUCAUACCUAUUUAUUUAUUUAAAGUCCAAUCUUUCAAAAAUCUAACGUCUAAAUUUAAUUUUCAAUCACAAAAUUUCUACUAUCCAAUUUCGCUCAUUUAAAUAUUAUGUUUGUUAAUCAUUAUUAUUAUUUCGUAUGUAUUUAUUUAUCCUCUUUUAAAAAUCUCAUUUAUUAAAGUCUAAUCCUUCAAAAAUCCAAGAUCCUAAUUUAAUUUCCAAUCCUAAAAAUUCCACUAUUAGUCUAAAUGUUAUUUUCCUUAAUUAGAAUUAUUAUCCUACAUUUAUUCAUUUAUUUAAAGUCCAAUUCUUCAAAAAUCCAACGUCCUAAUUUAAUUUUCAAUCUCAAAAAUUCCACUACUCAUUUUUUAUUCGUUUAAAUAUUAUUUUUGUUAAUUAGCAUUAUUAUUCCACAUUUAUUUAUUUAUCCCAAUCAUUAAGUUUAAUCCUUCAGAACCCGACUUCCAAAUUUAAUUUCCGAUCUCAAAAACUCCACUGUUCAUAUACUGUUGUUUAAUGAUUAUUCUCGUUAUUAAUGUUACCCCAUCCAUUUAUUUAUUUAGUUAUUCAUAUAUCAAAGAUCUCAUCUCUAAAUAAAUUCUCAAAUUUUCAAUCUCUAAGUUUAAUCCCCAAUCUCUAAAAAUUCCAUUUUUCGCAAUCGUUUACCUGAUCUUUAUUAUUUCACCAUCGUUAUUAUUACAUUCAUUUACUUAUUCACUCAUCCACUUAUCCACUUAUUUAAAAUCCUCCCUCUAAAUAAUUCUUCAAAUUUCCAAAUCUCUAAAUUCAACUGCCAAUUUCCAAAAUUCCCAUCUUCGUGAUUAUUUAUCCAAUUGUUAAUAUUUUUUGUUAUUUUAUUCAUUUAUUUAUUCGAUUGUUCGUUUGUUUAAAAUUCCAUUCCUAAGUAAUUCAUCAAAUUUCCAAUCCUUAAGUCCAAUUUCUGAUUUCUGAAACCUAACUUCAUCAAUUACUCACCCAAUCAUUAUUAUUUCGUCAUUAAUAUUAUUCCGUUCAUUUAUUUAUUCACUUAUUCAUUUAUUUAAAAAUUCCAUCUUUAAAUAAUUUUUCAAAAUUCUGAUUUCCAUAUUUAGUUCUUUGAAAUUCCAAUUUUCCAAUUUUUUAACUUAAUUUUCAAUUUCCAAUAUGCCAAUUCUCGCAUUUAUUCCGUUACUUAUUAUUAUUAUCAUGAUUGUUAUCAUUUUAUCUGUUUAUUUCUAAAAACUCCGCCUUCGAAUGAUUUCCAAUUUUUAUAAUUCAAUUUUCAUAGUUUCUACUUCUCAAAUAACUUUCAAUUCUAAUUUCUUUCAAAAAUUUAAUUUACAAGGUCCCAAUUUUCGUAAUUUAAUUUUUUAAAAUCCCGAGCUCUCAAAUCAUUUUCAAAAUCCCAAUCUCUUUCGAAUUUAAUUUCUAAAAUUCUCAUUCUCACAUUUAAUUUCUAAAAGUUUGAUAUUCAAAUAAACUCUAAAACUCCAAUUUUCAAGUAAUCCUUCAGACUCCAAUUUUUCAAAUAAAUUUCAAAAAUCCAAUUUUCUCUCAAAUAGUUUUACUCUGGUUUUCAAACAAUCUUCUGCUCCUCUUGAUUUUAAUAAGUUUGAAUGAAUUUUUCAUAAUUCCAGAAUAAUGGAAUCUGUGACAUUAAUUCAUGCAAAAUAAACGAGUUUUGGUGGGAGCCCUACAUAAGUGAUUUUAUGAUUGAUUGAUUGAUUGAUUUGAUUAUCACACAUGAUUGAUUCAUUCUGCUCUAUGGCACACAUGAGAUUAUUCUUUUAAUCGUAUGCUAACCCUCUUUCCUGAUGGCGCAUUGAUCGAUUGACGCCAAGGUAUGCCCUGUUCUCACUUCGGUCGUUCUUUAUUGAGUGUUUUGAUUCCCCCAUGUGCAUGAUCACCCUGAGUAUUCAUUGAUUUCCUCAUCAUUGCCACAUUAGCUUCAUUUUAUUAGUAGAGACCCGACUUUAGGGACUUAGAGGGGUGUUAUGGUUUUUGCCGUACCUUCCCAAUAAGUAACCUGACUCCUGAACCCGAUCCGGUUUUUCAUAGACCACCUUUUCCAAAAUAAGGAGUCACACUUAGGGUUUCUUUCUUAUUUUGUUUACCCUUUUAAAAAUAAAACAAAAAUAAGUGGCGACUCCUAGUCAUAUUUUUUUAAUAAAUAAAAUCAUUUUGAACAAAAAUCGAGCUCGCCAUCAAGUCGAAAUCGCUUUGUAUAAAAUACGGGGUCCACAAAAUGGCGACUCUACUGGGGAUCAUAGAAGGUCAAACUUGAACUUAAGAUGAAGCAAACGUGGCUUUUGAUGAGUUGAUCAGUGGGUACCUGUCUCUUGAUUGUGCUUCAUUGCCAUAUUCGUUGGAGAUAUUGACAUGUUGAUUGUGUUGAUUGCUUAUCUUGUUUCGUUAGCAUAGUGAUUCCGAUAUUUGCCAUGAUUGUUUUGGUCGCCUUGCAUGUAUAGAUUCAUUGUUAGCAUGAUGUAUAUUGAUUCAUUUCGAUAUCGAUUGAUUUUGCACAUUGAUUCACUAGCUUGUAUAUCCUCUUGAUUGUCUUUGAGCAUGAUGUAUAUAUGUAUCACUUUUCAUCUGUUUAUUAUAGCUUGUGUGGGCAUGAAUGAUAUAUCAUGUACUCUGCUUGAUUGUAUGUUGCGUGACUGCCCUCCCCUUGUGUGAUUGCAUGUCAUUUGUCUAUGUGGGUCGCACAUCUAUCCCCUUACCUCCAACUCUCUUGGUUUUGGUUAUUCCUUUCAUCCCUGUUCUCACUAUUGCAAGUGUGAGACCUUCUAUGUGCUUGCUCUCUGACCGAGCCAGAGAUUAGGAGUAGGGUCUAGCGACGGGCUAUAUCGAUGCAAGAGAGCAUUCUGGAGGAGAACGACACUUUGAUGUCGAUUGGAGUCCGAUCAUUGAAGACCUGUAUAGCCCAGAGUUAGGUUUCAUGGAUAUUUGUGUGGCCAGUGUGUCUCAUUUCCUGUUUUAGCUUCUUAAGGUUAUCAGAUGCACCCACAUCGUUCACUAUGCACUCUAGUUGACUUUUGAGCGUUGAGAGUUUGAGAGGUUUCACCAUAGGAAACCCCCUAGGAUGUCGAGGUAGUGCAUGUGUGGAGGUGAUGACCACCUUGCAUGGAAGCGCCCCGUCUCUUCGGAGGCGUGCAGAGGGUUGCGUACCACUGGAGGGUAUGAUAGCCUCUACUAGGGAUCUUUUAAAGUCCACCCAUAUCCAUUUAGAGCCGCCUUGACCUCGUAGGUUGAGCCAUAGAUCCUUCGAUUAGGACUCCCUCCCUACACGUGGGUGCAUCUGAGGGCUUUCAAAGCCUCUGUAGUCAUAGCUUGGAUUCCGAUACUCUUUCUUCAGUCUCCAGUUGAGAAUGCACAAAGAUCAAUACGAGUUUGAGGACGGUCGAACCGUCCGUCUUCACUUGGAUGCCUUGCUUGUUUUGGUUCAGAUUAUCAUUUCUUCCAUGCUUUCCCAGGCCAUAUCCUUGUUCAUUUCUUCAUGCUUUGUAGGAUCAGAUCUUUGUUCUCAGUCUAGAUUUACCUUCUUGGAUUAGAGUAGAGGGGAGAUUGGUUCGGUUUUCAGAGAGAUCGGGUAUGGAUCAGCAGGUCAUUACAGUUGAUCAGUUUACGACCGCCAUGGCUUCUAUCUAGGAGGCUUUGGCUAGUCACAGGCAGGAGAUUGGUAGCCAGCAGAGCAGACCGCCCGUAGUUCAGGAUGAGACACUUCAUGAUUCGUUGCCACCUCCACCGCCACCUCCUGUUUCGACAAUGCCUUAGGCCUCACCUUAUGUAUUGCAUAGGCAUUCUGAGGUUGCUCUACCUGUAGUCGUUCCGACCACAGUCAUUGAUGACGCUCAUGCAUGUAUGGACCUCAUUGAGCAACGCAUGAGACAGUUGAGAGUAUCUGAUGGCUCCGCUAUUUGGGAUGAUCUCGAGGGUAUGCCCGUAGCCAGUUUGCUGGCUAAGUUCGGGAUGCCCGUCAUUGAGAAGUACAUGGGCAUUGGUUGUCCCCGCAUCCACCUUAGACUCUACAGCACAGUGAUGCGAGCACAUGGAUUAGACGAGUCCCAGAUGAUCACUUUAUUCCCACUAUCUCUGAGUGGGGCGGCCUAGCGUUGGUUUGCAUCCCUGGAGUCCUCACGAUGCCUGACAUGGGACGACUUGGCCUAGGAGUUUUUACGACAGUUUUCAUUUAACACUGUUGUGGAUGUAUCAAGGAGAGAGCUCGAGGCUCUGAGAUAGAGGACAGAUGAGUCCGUUUCCUCCUUCAUCUCCCGCUGGCAUGGGAAGAUUGUCGAGAUCAUUGAUAGGCUUUCAGAGAGAGAUAAGAUACAGAUGGUUUUGAGGAGCCUACAACCUAGGAUUGCCAGGCAUGUGGUCGGGGUACCAUUCACAGAUUUCGGUUCUCUGGUUUUGACUUUUCAUGAUGUCGAGGACAGCAUCUCGAGAGGAUUGUGGACUGAUUCUUCCCUUAGUGAUGUUAAAGGGAAGAAACCCUUCGGAGGAAAGAAGUCAGUUGAUGUGAGCGCCAUCAGUUCUUCCAAUCAAAGGCCUCCUAAGCGACAUUUGCCAGUUCUGCGGCUUCCUGAGACUCAUUCUUCUUAUCCACCUCAGCAGUACCGGCCUCGAGCACCUCGUCCGACUUAUGAUUAGGCCUACAUAUCGCAGACUUUGGCUUUGCCUUAUUAUGCCACACAGGGCAUUGAGAGACCCUCAAUUUCCUACACGGCCACAGGACAACCAUGCUAUGCUGCUCAGUUCAGUGCGAGACCCACAUCGCCCUACCCUAGGCCUAGAGCCCAACAGACCUCUGCCCCUUUUUCCUUGAUGACGCAAAGAUAGUUUUCACAGUUAGGCAUGCCGUUGAGCCAGGCUCUUUGGAAGCUUACAGAGGCUGGGUUAUUGACUGCUCUCACUCCUAGGCCACCACCUCAGCCUAUUCCACCUCAAUUUAGGAUGGAUCUGCACUGUGCAUACGAUCAGGGGCCCGGACAUGAGACCGAUCGCUUCACCGCUUUGAGGCAUGCCAUUCAGGAUUUGAUCGACCAGGGUUCGGUGCACUUGGGUCAGCCAAGUGUAACCAUGAGCCCAUUACCGACUCACACCACCAUGCGGUUCCCCAUCCGACUAAUAGCAUGCACUCCAUCGAUUUUGUCAAGUUUGAUGACCGCAUCCAUAUGCUUAGCUGGGAUGAUUCUGAGCCAGAGCCCAUAGUGUCAGAUGAGAUUUAUGAGAUGAGCGGAGUGACUUUGGGACCUCGGAUGCUUGUUUCGUUCAGACUAGUCCCCGAGACGGCAUCAGUACAAACGGCCACUGUCGAGCCACCGACUUUCCCACAUUACAAUGUUUAGACGUCGUUUGUUUUGAUUCCAAAUGUCUGAUUACUACUCAAAAAGUGCUAUUUUAUAGCUUAUAAUUAACUCUUUUAAACAAUUUUGAGUAGUAGUUAUUACCUUUUAACUCAAUUGGCAUGUUAAGCACCCUUGCAAUCGUUUCUAAUCAAAUUGUGUUAAGUUUUGGUGUUUUGAUAGCUUUUUGAUCACCAAAGCAAUCUAAGAUAAGGGAGAGUUCUAUAUAAUCCAUGGCAAAGCAAAUGGAAGCUCAUUUACAUGAAGAAUUCAAGAUUUGGAGCUUUGUAGUCCUUUGCCAAAAGCAAAUCAUGAAUGCAAGGAGGGAAAGCAAAGAGAGAAAUCUAACAUGAAGAAUUCAAGAGGACAGCAACUGUUGGACACAUUUCAAGUACUUUCUGGAGUCCAUUUCAUACAUACUAUAUGCCAUUUUGAAGCUCGGGAAGUCAGGAGUCGAACGCUUUAAACAGUGCACAAAUUGGAGUUGAAACGAAGAAGUUAUGGCCGUUUAAAGACAACUGCAUCAAGCUGUGCGAAAAUUUCGCAGCCCAAAGCCCAUUUCGCAGCUGCGAAAUGAAAUCCACUUGCAAAAUUUCACAAGGUGUUUCGCAGCUGCAAAACCACUUCCAAGCACAUGUGUGCCACUUCGCAAGUUGAAAUUCCAUCUUCGUAGUUGAGAACCACGUUGCGAAAUCACCUCCAAGCUGCGAAACAAGUUGCAAAUCAUCUCCAAGUUGUGGAAUCACCUCCAAGUUGUGAAAUCACAAAUUCAACUUGCAAAAUCAAAAUUCAAACUUGCAAAAUGGACAAUUCAAACUUGCGAAAUCCACCUGUGUAAACUCAUAUAUUUGUCACCGACUAAGUUAGAUUUUUUCUCAAGAUAUUUUGUGUAAAUUUCUAUUUUCUCCUUGUAAUCAGUCAAAGAUAUUAUUGGGAUAUUUCUUAGAAAAUAUCUUCUCUAUAUAUAUGUUUGAACCAAUGUAAAGAAAAAAAGAAGAAUCCAUCAUAUAUCAUAUAUGUAAUCGACGAUAGUAAGAAAUAUAUUUUACAGAGCACUUGCUCUGCUUUUCCUUCAUAUUUUUGUUUUCUCGUUAUUUUUAUUUCUAGCAAAUCAAACUCUGAGGAUGUUUCCUCUGAGGAUGAGUGGCUAGGCUUUUUGUCUCUUGGAGUGAAGAAAGCCGAGUAAGUUUUUGAAUGCAAAAAUUGGAAGUUUUGUUGUUUCAAAUUUUUAAUGAAGAGGAAGUGUGACCCGUUAAUGGUUUUUAUCUUUUUAGUUAACUUAAAACUCCUUAAAAUCACCUGGGCCAACACUUGGUAAGGCAAGUGGUCUCCAUCCAUUGAGAUACACUAGUUUAUCUUUUACGAGCCUUUGGGAGGUGGUUUAAAGGUAGGAUUUUCUAGAAUAGCCAACACUUGGUAAGCUUUUGGACUCCAAGGAGACAUCUAUUAGUUAUCUCUUGCGAGCUUUUGACGGGUAAUCCAAGGUUAAAGAUCACCUUGAAUGGAAAAUGCUAGGUGAAAGGUAUGAGCCAUUGCAAGAUGCAUCAAUGAGAAAGAUUUAGUGUUGAACCCAUUAAGGGGAAACAUCUGUACCACACCGAUUCGGGAAAUAACUAUAUGUUAAAUCCCCAAUACGAGGAAAAGAUUCAAGUGACCAGAACUCCCUUUUUGUAUAAGGAACAUGAGCCUAGUGAUCUGAAACUCCAAGAAACACUUUCUUUGUAAUUAAAAUCAGUUACUAUUUUUAGUUAGCUUAAAACCAACCUUUUCAAACAUCUUUAUGUUUUCUUUUAAAGCUAACCUUGAAAUGAAAAAGCACCAAUUCAACUUUGAAUUAAUAUCAAUUGUGGAGUGAAAACCCAUCCCAGUGAACGAUCCUAGAGCCACUAUGCUAUGCUAGCUGAGGCUAUCCUAGUACAUAGUGUAAUAGGUUAUAAAUUUUGUUGAUUACUCCCGUCUAAGGACCAAAAUCAAGGUACACCAGCUGGGCAUGAAUCAAAUGUGGUUCCAUUGCCGGGGACCAUUGAGAGAACAAGAAUAAGCUAGUACACCAAUUGGGAACGAAUCAAUGUCAGUGAGGUUCAGGCUCCAUAUGUUGAUGAUGUUCACACCUUCGACGUACAGUAUGUUAUCUGCGGGGGUAGAGUGGUAUGACAGCAGCCCCCCCACAACCGCUAGACCCUUGGAGGGGACGUCCUCCCAAGAGGAGGUUAGGAGAGAGGACGAUGAGAUUUUGAGACAGUUACAGAGCACUCAGCUCGCAUUUCCAUCUGGAGCUUGCUAGCAUUUUCCAGUACUCACUGAGAUGCAUUGAUUCGAACCCUAAGCCAGAUCAGAGUCGAGACUACCACCUCCCCUGAGGGAUUGAUUCAUAUGAUGACGGCCGACAGAGCCACAUGCAUUGUAUUCUCCGAUGAUGACUUGACACCGGAGGGCUCGGAUCACAUGCGUCCACUCUAUAUAUCUGUUGGUUGUUCAGGCCACUGAGUCUCAUCCGUCCUUCUGGACAAAGGCUCGACCCUGAACGUCUGUUCUUUGGCCACUGCUAUUGCCCUCGGCUAUGCACCAUCGGAUUUCAGUCCCUCCACUCAGACCGUUCGCGUAUAUGAUAGCACUUGGUGGGAGGUCAUGGGUACACUAGAGAUUGAGCUACUGAUUAGUCCGACCACUUUUAUUACCGUGUUUCAAGUUUUGAGGAUUCCUACAUCCUUUAACCUGCUUCUGGGCCGACCAUGGAUCCAUAGAGCUGGAGCCAUUCCUUAUUCCCUUCAUCAGAAGGUGAAGUUUAUUCACGAUGGCCAGGUCGUCGUGGUGCAGUCUGUGGGGAAUAUGGUCAUUUAUGCUUAGCUUGUACUUGAUAUUAGUCACACUGAUGACGAUCUUUUUUUGAUCGGAUUCACCUUUGAUGAGGUGCAGACUCUGGAGAUGGAGGAUUUCUGUCGAGACUUUGUAGCCAUGUCUUUCAACCAACACAAUAGAACGGUGGUGCUCGAUAUUAUGCGGAGUAUGUCUUAUCUUCCCGACAUGGGGUUAGGGCGGCGUCAGCACCGGCCUAGUGAGUUCGUGGCCUUCCCUGAUCACGACGUACCAUUCGGACUUGGGUUCAUCCCCACUGAGGUCGAUUAUCAUUAUAUGGCGCGAUUGCGCAAGGAGAGGGUGAGAACUUGACUGACUCAUACACCAUUUUAUUAUCCUAUUCGCCCAUAUGCCAUGAACCUAGCCGAUUACUUUGUGAGGGCAUUGGAGCCACAUACACCAUCUGAUGGGAUCAUCGGAGGACUUAGCACCACCCAGGAGGCCGAACUUCAGCGACAUAGUAGACGGAGCCGCGCCACAUAACGAGUAUGUCGAUGAGAUGCUCAUGAUGAGCUUGAGCCAUAUCGAGGAGAUAGCCCCGCUUGAGCUUGCUUCACCAUUUGAUCUCUUCGGGGUGUCCGUCCUUGAGAUCGUCGAGGGGAUCCAGGUUGCCCCCGCUCCGAAGAUUGCUGAGGAUGUUGUAGUUGUUGACGGUUUGUUUGAUGGCUUUGUUGGCCUAGUUGAGGGAGCGUCCGACUUUGUGGACCCACCUCUUUCCUUUAAUGUUUUAUCGGGAUUUGUCUCUUGUCAUGACGAUGUUUUUGACUCUUCAUCUAUGGAUUUGAGCAUCUUUGAGUAUUUUCUUGUCUCUCACGUUAUUGAUUUAUUUGCACCAUCUUCACCCACAACACAAAUAUUUGACAUUGACGAUGAGAUCGCACGGCAUGAUUCAGACGAUGACUCAUCUUCUAUUUCCGAUUCGGAUCCCAUUGAUCAGAGAGUUUCGCCUGCUGUAGGGGACACAGAGACUGUUGAUUUCUGCACAGUAGAUCAGCCUAGGGAGUUGAGGAUCGAAUCAGGUUUAUCUGUUGAUGAGAGGGAUAGCCUCAUCCAGUUGCUCAAAGCAUACUUGGACGUUUUAGCAUGGCCUUAUGAGGACAUGCCAAGCCUUGAUCCAUCUAUCGUCCAGCAUCGUUUGCCACUUCUACCUCAUGCCAGACCGGUUAAGUAGAAAUUGAGACGAUUGCAUCCUCGUUGGAGCUUAUAGGUCAAGGAGGAGAUCUAGAAGCAGCUCAGUGUGGGAUUCUUGUCAGUGGUCGAGUACCCGGAGUGGCUGGCCAAUGUUGUCCCUGUUCCUAAAAAAGACGGCAAGGUGAGAGUCUAUGUUGAUUUUCAAGAUCUCAACAAGGCCAAUCGUAAGGAUGAUUUUCCUCUUCCACACAUCGACAUCCUAGCUGACAGUACAGUAGGUCAUUCGAUGUUGUCCUUUAUGGAUGGAUUUUUUGGGUACAGUCAGAUCUUGAUAGCUCCAGAGGACAUGGAGAAGACGUCCUUCAUUACUGAGUGGGGUACUUAUUGUUAUAGAGUCAUGCCAUUCGGAUUGAAGAACGCAGGGGCCACCUAUCAGAGAGCGGCAACCACCAUUUUCCAUGACAUGAUGCACUAGGAUGUUGAGGUUUAUGUAGAUGACAUGAUCGUGAAAUCCCGAGACAGAUUAGAUCACCUAGCAGCUUUGGAGAGGUUUUUUGAGAGGAUCCGAUAGUUCAGAUUGAGACUGAAUCCCAAGGAGUGCACUUUCAGAGUGACUUAUAGGAAACUCCUUGGAUAUAUGGUCAAUGAGAGAGGCAUAGAGGUAGAUCUGGACAAGAUCAGAGCCAUCCUUAACAUGCCUGCACCGAGGACGGAGAGAGAUGUCAGAGGCUUCUUGGGUAGACUUUAGUACAUUAGCAGGUUCAUUACCAGAUUGAUAGACAUCUGUGAGCCCAUUUUUCGACUCUUGAGGAAGAGUCAACCUACUAUUUGGAAUGAUCAGUGUCAGCGCGCAUUCAAGAAGAUCAGAGAGUAUUUGUUGUCACCUCCAGUCUUGGCGCCUCUUUCGCUAGGCCGCCCUUUACUCUUAUAUCUGUUAGUUUCAGACGUGGCAUUAGGAUGCAUGUUGGCUCAGCUCGAUGAUUCGGGUAAGGAUCGGGCCAUUUACUAUCUGAGUAAGAUGAUGUUAGACUAUGAGGCGAGAUAUGUCAUGAUUGAGCGCUACUACUCGGCAUUGGUUUGGGCCACUCGACGACUGAGACAUUAUAUGACAGAGUAUUCAGUGCACUUGAUAUCCUGUCUAGAUCCUCUGAGAUAUUUGUUUGACAGACCCGCCUUGGUCGGUCGCCUCAUGAGAUGCUUGGUACUUCUGACCGAGUUUGACAUCUAUUAUGUCACUCAGAAGUCCAUCAGAGGGAGUAUUGUUGCAGAUCACUUAGCCUCAUUACCAGUUUCCGAUGGUAGAGCCAUUGAUGAUGACUUCCCAGACGAGGAUGUUGCUGCUGUGACUAGUCUAUUAGGAUGACGCAUGUACUUCGAUGGCGCAGCCAACCAUUUUGGAUACGAGAUAGGCGUCUUGUUGAUAUCCCCUCAUAGUGAUCACAUUCCUAAAUCUGUUCGUUUGGCAUUCUCGGAUCGACAUCCUGCCACGAGCAACAUUGUUGAGUAUGAGGCUUGUAUCUUGGGAUUAGAGACAACCCUCGAGCUCGGGAUUAGACAAAUGGAGGUGUUUGGCGACUCCAAUCUGGUAUUGAGACAGAUUCAGGGCGAGUAGAAGACUAGAGAUGUGAAACUUAGGCCUUAUCAUGCAUAUUUGGAGAUACUGGUUGGGAGAUUUGAUGAUUUAAGGUAUACAUAUCUACCUAGAGCGUAGAACCAGUUUGCUAAUACCUUAGCUACUUUAGCUUCCAUGAUUGACGUUACUGCUGAUGCCACUGUUCGCCCAUUGUUGAUCGAGUCAAGGUUUGCUCCUGCGUAUUGUUGUUUGAUUGAUGAUACGGAGAUAGAUGAUGGUCUGCCUUGGUACCAUGACAUAUAUCACUUUCUGAGAUUUGGUGUGUAUCUUGAGGCUGCCACGGCCAAGGAUAGGAGAGCACUGAGACAGUUAGCCACCCGAUUUGUGAUUUGUGGCGAGACAUUAUAUAGACGAUCAGCUGACGGGAUGCUAUUAUUAUGCUUGGACCUAGCCUCUACCGAUAGAGUGAUGAGAGAGGUUCAUGCAAGAGUCUGCGGACCACAUAUGAGAGGACAUAUGUUGGCCUGUAAGAUUAUGAGGACUGGUUACUUUUGGUUGACCAUGGAGACAAAUUGCUGCCAGUUUGUUCAGAGAUGUCCCGAGUGUUAGAUACAUGGAGAUCUCAUUCACGUGCCGCCCUCCGAGUUGCAUGCACUGACUUCACCAUGACCAUUUUCCGUAUGGGGUAUUGAUAUCAUUGGGAAGAUUUCACCGAAAUCUUCCAAUGGUCAUGAGUUCAUCCUGGUCGCCAUUGAUUACUUCACCAAGUGGGUGGAGGCCGCCUCGUAUGCGAGAUUGACAUCAUCUGGAGUUGCUAGUUUCAUUAGGUCACACAUUAUCUGCCGCUAUGAAGUCCCUCAUGAGCUGAUUUCGGAUAGAGGGGUACAUUUCAGGGCAGAGGUCGACACCUUAGUGCAGCAAUAUGGCAUCUGACACCAUAGGUCGUCUGUGUACAGGCCGCAGACGAAUGGAGCAGUAGAGGCCGCGAAUAAGAAUGUUAAGAGGAUAUUGCGGAGAAUGGUUGAGACUUCUCGGGAUUGGUCAGAGAAGCUUCAUUUCGCACUGUGGGCUUAUCGGACUUCUUUUCGCACCUCUAUAGGAGCCACACCCUACUCUUUGGUAUAUGGCAUGUAGGUAGUGCUACCCGUUGAGAUUGAGAUGGGUUCAUUGAGAGUAGCACUAGAGCAGCAGAUUCCUAAGGCAGAUUGGGUUCGGACUUGAUUUGAUCAGCUCAAUCUCCUAGAUGAGAGGAGAUGAGAGGAGAUUGAGAGCAGUCGACCACAUUUGUGCAUAUCAGAGAAAGAUGGCCCGCGCUUUUAAAAAGCAGGUCAAGCCCCGACCAUUACGGAUAAGUGACUUGGUUAUGAAAGUUAUCAGGGGAUUGAUCAAAGAUCCUAGAGGGAAGUUCAGACCCGACUGGAGCGGACCUUAUUUCAUCAGGGAGUUGACCCCAGAGGGCGUUGCAUGGUUGAUGGAUUUAGAUGGAAACCGAUUCUCAGAGCCAACCAAUGUGGAUCAGCUAAAGAGGUACUAUGUUUGAGACCAUGGUCGCAGGAUGGGUGGUCAUCAUUUCGGUUAACCAUAUACCUUGUUAUUCCCUUUUGAUACAUAGUCCGUUGUUAGCCCAUUGAGCCUCGCAUGUGCAUUAUAGCAUUUCUUUCUUAUCGCCUUGCUCACAUUUUCACACCGGGAUAGGGGCCCUUUAGUGUAUGCAUGCAUUGUUUGGGAGUUUCAUGAGCCUUGGACCUAGGAGCCCGUUCUUCUCAUUGUCUUUUCCUAUCACUGCACCUCUGCAUUUUCAUCUCAUCUCAUUGGUUGUGUUCCUCGUCUCUUCUUCCUUAUCCUAUCUACUACUUGUUUUAUUUCAUAUUCUCUCCACCCUGAGUGGUGAUCCUCCUCAGUUCAUCACAUGGAGGAUAGUCACAUCAUUUCCACCAUCUAUCUCAUGGACAUUGGUUUAGAGAUCCUUAGUUUGAGAAAGUCAUCUCGUCAGAGAGAGUUUCUGUUGCCUUAGAACUUGAGAUGGUGUCCAUCCAUUAUCGACAUCAUCCUUAGGGUUCAUUUGUUUGUGUUCAGGGUAUGUGUAUUUGUAUAUAUGUAAAAAAAAAAAAAAAAAAAAUUGAAAUGAUGAUGAAAAAGAAAAUGAAAAGAAAAGAAAAAUAAACACAUGUGUGUAUGUACGAAGUAUUCUCGAUCAUUGAGUGUGUAUAUUGAUAUCUGAGGGUCAUUUUUAUCGAGUAUGUUUGUUAUUGAGAGUCCGUAUGUGAGCUCUUUAGGAUUCUAUGUUAUUUGUAUUUGCUUUGUCAUAUCUCCUUGAGAGUGAGAUGAGUGACCUUCUCCUAAGGACUCCGAGUCAUUAUCCUUUCCAUCAUUACAUUCAUUAUUGAUGUGACUUCACUUCAUGUUUGAUUUGAGUCGAUGACCACCUUUCUUCGUAUAUUCAUUGUUUCACUAUCAUCUUCAUCAUUGCUUGUGAUUCAUCUCAUUCGCUUCACCCCCCUUGUUCUUUUCUUACACUGACCUAUUCCAGAUUUGACGUUUCCUUUUCAUCAUUCCUGCAUAUCUCGUUAUCAGUUUGAUUUGCCUUAUUGUCUUAUUAUUGACAUCAUAUUUGCGUUAGGCUUCCUCAGGUCCAUGGCUCAUGGGAUUUACUAUACAUGUUGCAUUUCAUAUAUGAGGGCAUAAGUUUAUGAUCAUUGGGUAUUUAAGCCUAGUUUUCCUUCAUUUCUAUUACCCUAUCACCCUAGCCUACGUUACGUCCCGCGUCUUAAGACCACCCUGAGGCCAUGAGAUCAGAUGUCAUCUUCGAUAGCCUCUACUUGGACAGGUGUUUGAGAUCUGGUUGAUAUUUAGAUAUCGUCAUACUUCUUCUUUUGGGAGUCGCCUCUUUGAUGGGUAGGUCUGAUUCAGUUGUGUUCGGAUUACCGGGAUCAUGCGUUUGACGAUGGAUGAUUUGGUGUCACCCGAUUUUUGACCUAUCGUACCUCUGGUGCCACACUAGGGCAUAUCCCAUCUCAUUUAGAGGUUUAUGGAUCUUCAUGGACUUGCAUGAUCAUCAUCACUUACUGGAUGCUCAUUGAGACGUGGACAUGAUUGUUACCUUAUCAUGAUUCCUUAGUGGAGCCUCCCGAGAGCCAUCUAGCUAGGUCCGCACUUCUUGGCACUUAGAUGCCAUCAUGCUUCUCCAUUCGGGAGGUACAUCUUGGAUUUGUGGACAUGAUUCAAUUAUGGAUUCGGAUGACCAAGACUACAUGUUUGAUGAGAGAUGGUUUUAUGUCACUUGUUCUUCUGACCUGUCACACAUCCGAUACCAUACUGGGGCAUAUUUCCAUUUCGGACGAGAUUUAUGGAUCUUCACGGAUGUCGCAUGUUCGAUGAUAUUUGAUUUCAUGUCGCCCAAUCUCCGACCUGCCAUGCGUUCAAUGCCAUAUUGGGGCAUAUUACUGUUCAGGAUGAGAUUUAUAUAUCUUGGUAGAGUUGCGCACUUAUCCCCAUUUGCGAGACGUACAUCGAGACAAUGAUCUAUUUGCUAUCUUUACGAUGAUUCCUCCGUGGAGCCUCUCUUGAGUCUUUUAUCCAGAUUCACGUUUUUUGAUAUAGUCAUGAUUCUUGGACGGAGUUAUCUCAGGCGCAUGGAUUCCCGCGUCACCAUUUCAGCGGAGUACAUGUUAGAUCCUUUGUACGUCCCCAUGGAGUUAUCCUUGAGUUAUCAGGACAGAUCGGAUAUAUCUGAUGCCAAUGCCAUACUGGGGCAUAUUUCCCUCAUUUAGCUAUGGAGAUGAUCAUUCUCUCACAGAUUUGUUACAGCUUUCAUUACUCGUCGAGAGAUGUUGCAUUUGCUUCACUGGUCACUAUUCCUGUGUUUUUUGUCGAGGUGAGCUUUCAGUGGAGCACGAUGUUCGGGUUUUGAUCGCCUCACUAUCUAGGACUAUUCAGUAGAUUGUUACUUUGGGAUUGAGACCUCAUGAUUUAGUUGGGAGGGUUGUGAGACUAUCUCAUAGUCGAUUUGAUUAUCCCGACUCGCUAGUAGAGCAUCGUUCGAGACUCGUAGAGUCCCUUUCAGCCAUUUCCAACGGAUUGAGAUUUGCAGUGGCAUGCCACAAUGGGGCAUAUUCCCCCCCUGAUCAUUUCCUUGCAAUUUGGCAUUCAGAGCCAUCGGUUAUUCAUGGUUUAGGACAUUCAGAGUCAUCAUGUCACACUUUCAGUUCGGCGUUCAGAGCCACUUCUCCAGUUUUGGCGUUUAGAGCCACCAUCGUUUUUCAUGUCCACUGGCAUUACACGUUUAACCUUCAUGGUUUCGUAUUCACCCUCACCUCACCUCGUUACCCUAUGCUUAUCACUUAUUCAUUAUUGCUCAUCCAAAUCCCUGUUCCACUGCACAUGAUACAAUCUCUUGAGUUCACGACACGUACUUUGAUCGUGUUGUUGGGCACUCUGCACUUGUCAUUUUCGUGUAGUUCAGAUGGGGUAGUCUUCUUUGGGCAUAGUCUUUUCCGUUCUCUAGAGUGGUUCGACCGUUACUCAUUUUCGAUAUGGUUUUUCGAGUCACUUUUGGAGACGUCUUAAAGAGAGUUUGGGUCCUUAGUGUGACUUCAGAGUCAUUUUGAGACAUUAUUUCGUUUUAGGAUUAGAGCCUUUAUGUUCGUCUAUUGACCUGAGUAAGUCUGUGUUUCACUGGUGUCCCUAUGGGGGUCUUCUUGGUUCUUCGGUAGAAUUCACUUCAUUCUACUCACUAUUCACACUUUCUUUUCACUCUAGUGUUCAUAUUCCUUACAUUUGUAAAUUCUACCGAAGAGGGGCAUAUUUGUAGACCCCCUUUCAAGAGCCAAAGACUAUUAGUUUUUUUUUUUUUUUUGAGAAAUUUUUAUAGCAUUGGAAGGAUGUUGUCUCACCACCUGGAAGAGUUGGCAGCACCUUAGAUAAGUGGGGGACCCUUUUUCCUACGCAUGGGACCAGCUGUAUGGACAUGGCAGGAAGCAUGGCCAGCUAUGAGGGUGGGUGAAAGAGGCCAUGUUGGCUGAUGGAGGAAUAGUGGAGAUGGUAAUGGCUUGCUGCGGAAGACAAAAACAGGGGGCUUGAGCUUGAGGGGGGGAGAGGUAAAAAAAGGGAGGCAAGACGGUUGGAAAACGAUAAAGAGAGGAAACUUCCUUGAGCUUGGUAAGUCUUCCGUCUCUCAACACCCUACUUCACCACCUGAUGAUAUAUGCAUAUUGUUUAUUGUUUGUCGUGGGUAUCAAGAGUCACAGGUUCGCACAUGAUCACUUUGCAUAAUAUGCUUUUUUUUUUUUUUCUUAUUUGUUUCAUCUUGACACCUCGAAUCCCCCUCUAUGAAUAACUGUUUUGUUUUUUUUUUUUGGAUUGGAUUGGAUGUUUGAUAUUUGAAUCGUGGGUUCCUAGUUUGUCCCACUUGGCGGUAACCCGUUCAUCGUCCAUGGAAUAUGGUGGUGUCAGAUAACUCCUCAAGUUCUUGCUGUGUUUUUAUUCAUGUAUUAUUUUAGCCAUUGCAUACCUCUCAUGCAUGCGACCACCUUCCCCACCCCAUUUCCAACGACUCUCUCUUUCUCUUUCUCUUUCUCUUCCUCCUCCUUUUCAUGCAUCUCUUCUUCGGUGGCGUGAGGCAUGCAGCGUUUUUAGACGUUGACAGAGGGUGGUGCCCACUUGAGGCUCACCCCCACCACCACUUUUGCAUUGGCCAGGGUGCCAUCGGAAGCAUGCGUUGCGGCGAUAGGAUGCUUGCCCCCCACCAGGAUCUGGUGUUACCGACACUACAAGAUCGACGCCAAUCAGAAGCGGUAUGCAGUGGCUUCCGCCAUCGCCGUCUCAGCCGCCUCCGCUCUCAUCGUCCUCGUUGCCCCCGAUGCCUUCACCGGCGGCGUAUGGUUCAGCACGACCAGCUCCGGCUAUGUGGGCGGUUGCACUAGCCACCACAGUGGCAACGUUUUCAUGGAUGCUGCUAGAUAGCCGCCACCCCUUCCCUCUCUAUUAUGCCGCUGCUGGUGGAGAUGAUGAUGCCCAGGUGGAGGGGCAGGCCGUGAUGGUGAUGGAGUCUUGGGCUUGCCCUUGGUGAUGGGUUUGGGUUUAAGUUGGAGCCCAACCCAAGUAUGUUGAUGGAGGGCAAUGCCUUCUCAACUAAGUGGGCUGUAAAGGUGAUGGAGCCUUAGGCUUGCCUAUGGUGACGGGUAUGGGCUUAAGUUGGAGCCUAAGCCCAAAGUUGCUAAUGAAGGGCCUCAUUGCUCCUUAAGCCAAUCACUCUCAUGGCCUAUGUCCAUUUUAAGAUAGCCCAUUUGGCUGCUUCAAUUCUAAAUAAGUUUUUAAACCUUUAAUCUUCGUAAUUAAUUAAUUUAUUCAUUCAUUUUUUAUUUUUCAUCUUAUUUCACUUUACCUAUCUUGUUAACUCAACUUAAACACAAUUAAAAGAUAAAUUAUUAGGAUGGAAUAUCGGUUUUUUUUUUAAGCUUAAAAUAAUUUGUAUUUCAUCUUCCCUUCUUUAUGUAUGACUAAUCAUCAGAUAUGAAAAUUUUUAUAUAAUUAAUUUAUGUUGGUCUCAAUGAAUUUUCUACAUUCCAAAUUUUAAAUCCCAUCUUCAAAACUUAUGUCCUUUAAAAGCCAUUUAUCGAAAAUUCCAUCUCCCUAAAUUAAUUUUCAAUCUCAAGAAUUGCUCCAUUCACUUUCAUUCGUUUAAAAAUCCAAUGUCCUAAUUUAAUUUUCAACCCUAAAAAUCCCACUAUUAUUUUUUAUUCGUUUAAAUGUUAUUUUCGUUAAUUAGUAUUAUUAUCCCAUAUCUAUUUAUUUAUUUAAAGUCCAAACCUUCAAAAAUCCAACAUCCAAAUUUAAUUUUCAAUCACAAAAUUUCUACUAUCUGAUUACUACCCAAAAAGUGCUAUUUUACACCUUUAAUGCAUUAUGUUUUAAGCACUUUUGUGUAGUAGUUCUCCAUCUUUAGUCCAAUUGGCAUGUUAAGGACCUAGCAAUGUCUUCUAAUCAUAUUUGUGGCUAGUUUUAAUGUUUUGACAGCUUUUUGGAUCAUUAAGACAAGUCAAGCAAAGGAGAGAAGCAAAGAGAAGCAAAGUGAAAAAAAAAUCAAGAUGUAGCAGCUGCAGUCUUCUUUCACACUUUUGGAGCACUUCCCGAAGUCCAUUUUUUACAUACUAUAUACCAUUUCAAAGCUCUGGAAGUCAAGAAUCCAACGCUUCAAACCGUGCACGAUUUGGAGCUGAAAUGAGGAAGAUAUGGCCUUUGGAAGCAAACUGCUCCAGGUUAUGCGAAAAUUUCGCAUUCCACAAGGUGUUAUGCGAAAUUCGCAUAACAUUCGCAUAACCCAUGCGUGUUACGAAUUUUGCUCUGCCUUUGCCGACUCCACUUUAGAUAUUUUCCUUUGUAUUUUGUGAUGUAAUUUCCUUUCUUAUCCUUGUAACUAACCAAUCAUAAGCUUUUGCUUUUGUAAAGACUUUAUAAGGGGUGGAAAUCACCUCUUGGAAGAUAUAGAAUACGUAUUACGUUUUUACACUGAGAAUUUUACAAAGCUCUCUCGUUUCUCUUUUCUCUUUAUUAUUUUCUUUUCCUUGGAAGCCAAACAACCUCUAAGGAUGUUUGCCCGGAGGAUGGGAGGCUAAACUUUCGGUUUCUUGGAGUAAAGGAAGCUAGGUGAAAAGUUCAGAUGAAAAGGUGGAAAGCUUCCAUGCAUUAAAUUCAGGUAGUUGGAAUUCAUAAAUGGCUUCUAAAUCCAAAGUUUUGCUUUAAACCCCUUAGAAUCACUUUGAAUGACCAAUACAUGGUAAGCUUUAGGUCUUUAUGGAUGCCUAUUGCUAGAUCCAUAUUAGUCCAUUAGUUAUCAUGUACGAGUCAUUGGAAAGUGAUUCAAGGUGAAGACCCAUAGUGUCUUAAGCCAUUAAUGGACCUUGACUACCAUUUCUAUUGAUCUUUUAUGGAUUAAAUCUUCAUUGUCAAACCUAUACCGAUUCGGGAAAUAACUAUAGGUUAAAUCCCCAAUGCGAGGAGAAAAAUCCGGAAUUUUCCACUUUCUAUUCUGAACUUGAUCCUAGCAACCCUUAGCUCCGGGAGACUUUCUUUCUUCCAUUUUUAAUUAGUUUAUGUUAGUUUAGUUUCAAACACUUUCAAAACAAAUUUUAUUUUCUUUUAAACUUUAAGUUUUUGAUUAAGGAAAUCAUUAAAUACAAUUUCUAAUUUUGAGUAUAUCACUGGUAGAAUGAAAACCCAUCCCAGAGUUCGACCCUAGAGCCACUAUACUAUAGUAGCUUUGCUACGUUAGUAUGAGGUCAUAGGUUUUAUAAAUGUUUUUUAUUAAAUGACCCAUUUGGAGUUACACGCGAAUCAAAAUGGCGCCGUUGUCGGGGAUGGUGCCACAAUACAAUGAUGCAACCUUUUAGAGGCUACUUGUGAUUUCCAUCACAAGUUUGGUGAAUUCCUUUUUCACUAACUUCAUUUCCUUUCAUUUUAUUUUUGUUAGGUUUAUUUUCAUUUUCUUUUUAACCUUAACUCUUUUCUAGGUUUCUUUUGUUUUUUUUAUUUUUGUUUUAUUUCAGGUAAGUAGUAACUUGUGCAUGUCCUAUUGGAUUCGGGACCAAAAGGGAAGAUUAGUAAGGAUUGAGAAUCCUCAAGACACAGAGUUGGAUAUUUGUGUUAACAUCAUGGACCCUCCACCAGAGGAUCAGAAUUCUCAACAAGGUUAAGGGGGUAAUCCUAAUGCAUACCUAUCCAUGAGGGAUAGAAUGCAUCCACCAAGGAUGAGUGCACCCUCAUGCAUCCUGCCUCCUCUUGAGCAGUUGGUUAUAAGGCCCCAUAUUGUGCCCCUUCUACCAAAUUUCCAUGGAAUGGAGAGUGAGAAUCCAUAUGCCCACAUCAAGGAGUUUGAGGAGGUUUGCAAUACCUUUAGAGAGGGAGGAGCUUCAAUAGACUUGAUGAGACUCAAGCUAUUCCCUUUUACUUUGAAGGACAAGGCAAAAAUAUGGCUUAAUUCUUUAAGGCCAAGGAGCAUAAGGAGUUGGGUUGAUCUUUAGGCCGAAUUUUUGAAGAAAUUUUUCCCCACCCAUAGGACCAAUGGGUUGAAGAGACAAAUCUCAAAUUUUUCUGCUAAAGAAAAUGAGAAGUUCCAUGAAUGUUGGGAAAGGUAUAUGGAGGCCAUCAAUGCUUGUCCUCAUCAUGGCUUUGAUACAUGGCUCUUGGUGAGCUAUUUUUAUGAUGGAAUGUCUUCUUCCAUGAAGCAAAUUCUUGAAACCAUGUGUGGGGGAGAUUUUAUGAGCAAGAAUCCGGAAAAAGCCAUGGAUUUUUUAAGUUAUGUUUCUGAAGUGUCAGGAGGAUGGGANNNNNNNNNNNNNNNNNNNNNNNNNNNNNNNNNNNNNNNNNNNNNNNNNNNNNNNNNNNNNNNNNNNNNNNNNNNNNNNNNNNNNNNNNNNNNNNNNNNNCAUUUCCUGUUGAUUUAAAUGCAAACUUCAUAUGGGAUCCGGGCAAGCUAAAUCCGGAUCCAAUUUUUUUAUGGACUUAGUCUUUCUAAAGACUAGCUAGUCCAUAUCUUUUUGUUUUAUUUUUAAACUUGUUUUAAUUUUGAUUUCUUGCUUUAAUUUUAUUUUGGUUUGAUUUAACUUAGUUUUUUUUAUGAUCUUGCUAUGGGGGCUGUUUUGGGACAAAGAGUCUUGCUUUAUGACUCUAAGCUUCAUCUUUUUCCGGGAAAAUUGAAAUCAAGGUGGACGGGUCCUUUCAUAAUUCAUGAUGUGCAAUCAAAUGGAGUAGUGGAACUACUCAACUUCAAUAGCACUCGAACUUUCAAAGUGAAUGGGCAUCGUCUCAAGCCCUAUAUAGAAUCAUUUUCCCGAGACAAGGAGGAAUUCAUCCUCCUUGAUCCACCUCCAACAUGAAAAUACUUGGUUUAUGGUUGAACUUAGUCUCUUCAAAAACUAAAAAGUUCAUCCUCUUUUUGUUUUCUUUUAAGUUGAUUUUAAUUUAAUCUAGUUUUUUCUUGUGUUUUUCCAUGUUUUGAUUUUUAUUUUUGACUUUAAUGCCGUUCUAAUGUGUUUUGAAUUGGUUUUUUGUGUUAACAUUCAGGUGGGAAAUCUUGAAGAAUGAAGUCAUGGUGAAAGCAAGGCAAAACAGGGGAGAAAAAACCAAGUCUCAGCCAUUUUCGCACAACAUUUCCUGUUAUGCGAAAUUUUCGCAUAACACACCCCUUAUGCGAAAAUGCUUUUGUGGCAAUUUCCAAAAAAACAUGCUCUCGGUCCCUUCCCAAAAUCCCUUAUGCGAAUUUCACAGGAAUGCGAACCUUAUGCGAACCUUGUGCGAAUUCGUUUUUAGGACAAAUUUUCAAAACCAUGCUCUCUGUCUGGGUACUCACAGGAAUGCGAAAUUUUCGCAUAACAUAAGGGGUAAUGCGAAAUUUGCAUUUCCUCUUUAAAGACCGUGUUCUCCUCUUCCCAUGCUCAAUUUCUUCUUCAUUUCUCAUAGCACCUCUCUUCCAAUCACCAAAUCCCUUCCUUAAGUUUCUUUUCUUCAUCAUUCCCCACUCUCAACACCACCAUGGCAGCCCAUCUCCAUAACUCCACCUCAUAGCCGCGGCAAUCACUAUUCAUCACCGUCCACCCCUUCAAUUUUCAGCUCUUUCCACCAUCAAAAACCUCCCAAUUCCUCACUCAACACUCUAAAUCCAGCCCUCAACCAAUUUCAGCCUUGUAUUCACCAAUUCAAAACCUCAAGCUAAGCAUUCAAGCCACGUUUUCUUCAAAGAGAACCCAUGGCCGCCGGGUAGAGGAGCUCCAAUUUUCAAAAUUUUUUCGUGAAAAAACUCCAAUUUCCAAGCCUAUUCACCAUGAAAAAUUCUUUUCUUACCUUAGCCAGCAUUUCCCACCCUCAGAAGCCAAAAAUUUCCACAAUUUGAAUGAGCUUCAAAACUUCAAGUGGGCGUGUGAAUAGUGCAUAUGCGAAAUUUUCGCAUUCCAUCAUGUGUUAUGCGAAAUUCGCAUAACCCCCCCCCCCCCCCCCCCCUUUCGCAUAUGCACUAUUCACACGCCCACUUGAAGUUUUGAAGCUCAUUCAAAUUGUGGAAAUUUUUGGCUUCUGAGGGUGGGAAAUGCUGGCUAAGGUAAGAAAAGAAUUUUUCAUGGUGAAUAGGCUUGGAAAUUGGAGUUUUUUCACGAAAAAAUUUUGAAAAUUGGAGCUCCUCUACCCGGCGGCCAUGGGUUCUCUUUGAAGAAAACGUGGCUUGAAUGCUUAGCUUGAGGUUUUGAAUUGGUGAAUNNNNNNNNNNNNNNNNNNNNNNNNNNNNNNNNNNNNNNNNNNNNNNNNNNNNNNNNNNNNNNNNNNNNNNNNNNNNNNNNNNNNNNNNNNNNNNNNNNNNCAUAUGCGAAAUUUUCGCAUAACCCCUACCUUGUGCCAAUUUUUCACUUUUUCCAUCUCUGCCCUCCCCAAUCCAAAGCCUGUGAGCCUCAUUUCAUUAUGCCUAAGACCCGAGGAGGACAUACCUCAGCUCCCCAGAGCAGUGAGAGAGCCGCCCCUGUGCGGGCCCCACUAGAUGCGCCGCCACAUUUAGCUGAUUCUGCCUCUCAGAGCAGAUACCAUACGAGGAGAGCAUCUGCCACACCUGUGGCCCCUACUCAGAUUCCACCUUGGGGUCCUCCUACAAAGAAAGCCAAGACUUCAAAGCCAGGAGAGUCCUCUAGAGCACCUCGGGAUUCACAGUCUCAGCCGCCUUCCACCAGACGCCCUAGACCCAGCUCGCCCAUUGAGGGCAACUCAGAUUGCCGAUCCAAAGCAUUUCAUGUCGAGGCAUAUUUUGAGCACACUAUUUUGCGCCAGCAGACUGACUUGCGUGAUUCAUACAUCCUACUUGAGAGGUACCAUCUUGUACCCUUUAUGACUCCACCCCAGUUCUUUUAUCCUCGAGUAGUUUUAGACUUUUACUAGUCUAUGACUACUCGUGGCGUCCCGGUACCAGCCUCGAUACUUUUUACCAUUGAUGGACGCCAGGGUAUUUUGGGGGCUCGACAGAUUGCCGAGGCUUUCCAUAUCCCUUAUGCACCAGCUGAUCCCACUGCAUUUAGACACUGGGCCCCACUUUCUGAGUGGGACAUGGUUCGUAGCCUAUCUCGAGGGACAUCUUCCCAGAGGACCAUUUUCAGGAGGGAGCUUCCCCCAGGGAUGCUUCUAGUUGAUGUGGUGCUUCGCACCAACCUUUUUCCUCUUCAGCAUACAGUACAGAGGCGAGGGGCCAUUUUAGAGGCAUUAUUUCGUAUCUAUGAGGGCUACUACUUUGGUCCUCAUCAUUUGAUUAUGGCUGCUCUCCUCCAUUUUGAGGAAAAGGUGCAUAAGCGGCGUCUUACGAGGGCGGCCUCCAUUCAGUUACUUUUCCCUCGGCUGCUAUGCCAUGUUUUGGCACAUAUGGGUUUUCCUGCAAACCCUCAGGCUGAGCCCCGCCGCCAUUGUCGAGAGAGCUUCUCUCUUGAACAAUGGACUCAGCUAUCGCUCCAUCAGCAUUCCCCAGAACUUCUCGAGCCAAGGGAAGUCCCUCCUGCUCCAUCCACUUCAGCUCCCUCGGAGCCUGUACCAGAGGCAGCAUCAUCUGAUGCCCCACCUACUGUUCCUCCUACCGCAGAGCCGCCCAUAACCCAUGCGUGUUGCGAAUUUUGUGAUGUAAUGUGUGUUGCGCAUUACAUCACAAAAUACAAAGGAAAAUAUCUAAAGUGGAGUCGGCAAAGGCAGAGCAAAAUUCGCAACACGCAUGGGUUAUGCGAAUGUUAUGCGAAUGUUAUGCGAAUUUCGCAUAACACCUUGUGGAAUGCGAAAUUUUCGCAUAACCUGGAGUAGUUUGCUUCCGAAGGCCAUAUCUUCCUCAUUUCAGCUCCAAAUCGUGUACGUUUUGAAGCGUUGGAUUCUUGACUUCCAGAGCUUUGAAAUGGUAUAUAGUAUGUAAAAAAUGGACUUCGGGAAGUGCUCCAAAAGUGUGAAAGAAGACUGCAGCUGCUACAUCUUGAUUUUUUUUCACUUUGCUUCUCUUUGCUUCUCUCCUUUGCUUGACUUGUCUUAAUGAUCCAAAAAGCUGUCAAAACAUUAAAACUAGCCACAAAUAUGAUUAGAAGACAUUUCUAGGUCCUUAACAUGCCAAUUGGACUAAAGAUGGAGAACUACUACACAAAAGUGCUUAAAACAUAAUGCAUUAAAGGUGUAAAAUAGCACUUUUUGGGUAGUAAUCACUAUCCAAUUUCGCUCAUUUAAAUAUUAUGUUUGUUAAUCAUUAUUAUUAUUUUGUAUGUAUUUAUUUAUCCUCUUGUAAAAAUCUCAUUUAUUAAAGUCCAAUCCUUCAAAAAUCCAAGGUUCUAAUUUAAUUUCCAAUCCUAAAAAUUCCACUAUUAGUCUAAAUGUUAUUUUCCUUAAUUAGAAUUAUUAUCCUACAUUUAUUCAUUUAUUUAAAGUCCAAUUCUUCAAAAAUCCAACGUCCUAAUUUAAUUCUCAAUCUAAAAAAUUCCACUACUCAUUUUUUAUUCGUUUAAAUAUUAUUUUUGUUAAUUAGCAUUAUUAUUCCACAUUUAUUUAUUUAUCCCAAUCAUUAAGUUUAAUCCUUUAGAACCCGACUUCCAAAUUUAAUUUCCGAUCUCAAAAACUCCACUAUUCAUAUACCGUUGUUUAAUGAUUAUUCUCGUUAUUAAUGUUACCCCAUCCAUUUAUUUAUUUAGUUAUUCAUAUAUCAAAUAUCUCAUCUCUAAAUAAAUUCUCAAAUUUUCAAUCUCUAAGUUUAAUCCCCAAUCUCUAAAAAUUCCAUUUUUCGCAAUCGUUUACCUGAUCUUUAUUAUUUCACCAUCGUUAUUAUUACAUUCAUUUACUUAUUCACUCAUCCACUUAUCCACUUAUUUAAAAUCUCCCCUCUAAAUAAUUCUUCAAAUUUCCAAAUCUCUAAAUUCAACUGCCAAUUUCCAAAAUUCCCAUCUUCGUGAUUAUUUAUCCAAUCGUUAAUAUUUUUGUUAUUUUAUUCAUUUAUUUAUUCGAUUAUUCGUUUGUUUAAAAUUCCAUCCCUAAGUAAUUCAUCAAAUUUCCAAUCCCUAAGUCCAAUUUCCGAUUUCUAAAACCCUAACUUCAUCAAUUACUCACCCAAUCAUUAUUAUUUCGUCAUUAAUAUUAUUCCGUUCAUUUAUUUAUUCACUUAUUCAUUUAUUUAAAAAUUCCGUCUUUAAAUAAUUUUUCAGAAUUCCGAUUUCCAUAUUUAGUUAUUUGAAAUUCCAAUUUUCCAAUUUUUGAACUUAAUUUUCAAUUUCCAAUAUGCCAAUUCUCGCAUUUAUUCCAUUACUUAUUAUUAUUAUUAUCAUUUUAUCCGUUUAUUUCUAAAAACUCCGCCUUCGAAUGAUUUCCAAUUUUUAUAAUUCAAUUUUCAUAGUUUCUGCUUCUCAAAUAACUUUCAAUUUUGAUUUCUUUCAAAAAUUUAAUUUCCAAGGUCCCAAUUUUCGUAAUUUAAUUUUUAAAAAUCCCAAACUCUCAAAUCAUUUUCAAAAUCCCUAUCUUUUUCGAAUUUAAUUUCUAAAAUUCUCAUUCUUACAUUUAAUUUCUAAAAGUCUGAUCUUCAAAUAAACUCUAAAACUCCAAUUUUCAAGUAAUCCUUGAGACUCCAAUUUUUCAAAUAAAUUUCAAAAAUCCAAUUUUCUCUCAAAUAGUUUUACUCUGGUUUUCAAACAAUCUUCUGAUCCUCUUGAUUUUAAUAAGUUUGAAUGAAUUUUUCAUAAUUCCAUAAUAAUGGAAUUUGUGACAUUAAUUCAUGCAAAAUAAACGGGUUUUGGUGGGAGCCCUACAUAAGUGAUUUUAUAAUUGAUUGAUUGAUUGAUUGAUUUGAUUAUCACACAUGAUUGAUUCAUUCUGCUCUAUGACAUGCAUGAGAUUAUUCUUUUAAUCGUAUGCUAACCCUAUUUCCUGAUGGCGCAUUGAUCGAUUGACGCCAAGUUAUGCCCCGUUCUCACUUCGGUCGUUCUUUAUUGAGUGUUUUGAUUCCCCCAUGUGCACAAUUACCCUGAGUAUUCAUUGAUUUCCUCAUCAUUGCCACAUUAGCUUUGUUUUAUUAGUAGGGACCCAACUUUAGGGACUUAGAGGGGUGCUACAGUUAACCUGACUCCCGAACCCAAUCCGGUUUUUCAUAGACCACCUUUUCCAAAAUAAGGAGUCACACUUACAGUUUUCUUUCUUAUUUUGUUUACCCUUUUAAAAAUAAAACAAAAAUAAGUGGUGACUCCAAGUCAUAUUUUUUUAAUAAAUAAAAUCAUUUUCGAACAAAAAUCGAGCUCGCCAUCGAGUGGAAAUCGCUUUGUACAAAAUGCGGGGUCCACAAUAUCUCAUAUCUUUAUUACUACUUAUUAAAAAUAUAAAAACUAAUUUUCAAAUAUUAAAUUAUUAAUAUCGUACAUCUUUUAAUUUACCUCUAAAAUAUAAAAUAAUUUUUAAAACAUAAAAGAUAAUCUUAUAUUAAUAUUACAAUAUAUUUGAUAUAUUUAUUUAUAAAUAUUAUUUAUGGAUUAAUAUUGUAUUAUUAACUAAAUUAUUGCUAUAUAUUUUUAUUUUAUAUAUUAUUUUAAAUAAUUUUAAUUAUUUAUAAAUUAUUUAAAGGAAAUAAUUUAUUAUAUAUAUAUAUAUAUACAUAAAAAACUCUCAAAUUUAAUUUAAAUUUUCUCACCGAAUGUGGUAAAAAAUAAUUCACAAAAGUUUUGUGUAUUUAAGAUAAUAAAAUUAAAUUUUCAUAAUUACUAAUUACCUUUUGAAAGUGAAUGGGUUCUAAGUUUAUAUUAAAAAGAAAAAAGUCAAGGAUGACACUAAUAUGAAGUAAUGUGGAAUAAAUUAUUACUAAAUAUUUUAAAUUUAAUAAUUAAAAUUUAUUUUUAAUGUAUGAAUUUAGAUGUAAAGAAUUUAUUUUGAAGCAGUGAUAAAUAUAAAACUAAAAAUCUAGAUGACUAUAAAAAAAAUUAUAUGAAGGAGUGAAUGGCAGAAAACUAAUCAUUUAAAUGAUUAUAUAAAAAAAAACACACACAAUAUAGAUGUUAUUUCAAAUCUAAUCCAAUUUAAAGAACUUAUUUAAAAUAAUGAUUAUUAGAAAACAAAUAAGAAAACAAAUCCAUAUAUUAUUUUAGUUUUUAUUCAAUAUAAUGAUAAUACGUUUAUUGUUAAAAAAAUAAUUUCCAAACCUUAAAUUAUUGAUAUGCUUCAAAAAUUCUAACUUUGAAAAAUCUAUUUGAAGUAGUGAUUAGAAUGUAAAAAUUUAAAAGUCUAAAUGCCUAUAAAAAUCAAAUGCACAAAGUACUAACAUAAAAAUUAUAUAAUGAAAGCUAUUGGAUAUUUUGGUAAUUAUGGGCUUACAUAUUAACAUAUUGUAUAUUAAGCUAUCUUAUUUUUGGGCCUAAUUAAAUCUGAUCAAUUAAGUUAAUGAUGGGCUUUUAAAGCAUCUCUCUAUAUAUAUAUGGACUGUAUGGGUUUUGCAAUGUGUAGAGACCAAUUUUAUUUUAUUUAUUAAUGAUGAGCCAAUAAAUAAAAUAAAAUAAUAAGGGGUAUAAAUAGGGUUAUGGUCCCUAGUUUAAAUGAGAGGAGAUAGAGAAAUUACUAAUAAUUCAUAUCCCAUGAGUGAGUGAUUUCAAGGCUACAAUACUCGUUUCAGACGUGGAAGACAAAACCCAAGUACAUAAUCUCAAUGGAUUCAGGUAUGUUUUUCAAUAUCAUUAUCUUAUAGAUUUAACAUGAGAUUCUAACAUUUUUAUUGUCUAAAUGAUUAGAUUAUAUAAUCAUUAUGUAUGAUUUGUGUUUUUCCAACAAGUGGUAUCAGAGCCACUUUUGUUAAAUCUAUUAUGUUUUAAUUAAAGUUGUUUCAUGGUGGAUGGAGUUUUAUGAAUCUGAUUUCCAUUCAGUCAUCCACCAUUUUUUAUUUUUUAUUUUUGUGUUUGGUUGUAAGGAAAAUUUUCUUUAAUUUGGAUUCCCCAGAUUUUCCGUUGUAAAUAAUUUUAUAAAUUAUUAUUUUCAAUAAAUAUCAAUAUUUUUAUCAAAAUAUAUUUUCUAUAGGAUUAUUUGCAUAUUUUUCGAGAUAAAAUAUAAGAAUUUUUGAGAAUUUUGGGGAUAAAGAUGAAGUGGUUGGGUGAUAAUGACCUAUUUUUUUUUUGUCAUUAUCUUGUUACAUUUUGAUAAGCCUUUUUAAUAAGGUCACUUGAACAUUAUGCUUAAGUCUUUUAAUUAAUAAGGUCAUUUAGACAUUGGGCCUAAGUCUUUUAAUAGGGUCAUUUGGACAUUGGGUUUGAGUCAUUUAAUAAGGUCAUUUAGACAUUAGGACUGAGUAUUUUAAUAAGGUCAUUUGGACAUUGGGCUUAAGUCAUUACAUUGGGUUAUUUGGAUUGUUAGACCCAAGUCCAUUUAAGUUGGGUAAAGUAAUGGGUAGGAUCAGACAUUUGACCGACCCAUUUGACCAAUCCAGUUGGACCUUUGAUUGACUCGUUUGAUCAAUCCAACUAGAUCUUUAACUGACCCAUUUGACCAACCCAAUUGGAUCUUUGAUUGACCUGUUUGACCAAUCCAAUGGACCGUUGACCAAAAAAAAAACUUUUCAUGUUUAAAAUCCAGUAUUUCAAUAUAAAUUAAAUUGAAAUUAUAUGUCACCAAAGUGACCUUUAUUAUGUAAAUUAUUUAUCUUGAAGUAUGUGGAUUUUAUUAUGGAAUUCUAUGAGUAGUAUCUAAAUUUAUGCAUAAAAUAAUCGGCCCAAAGGAAGGCUACUUUUAGUUAGAUUUUAGACACUUGUGGUAUUAAAUAUGUGAUAUUUUGGUGAUGUCCAUGCAUGCAAUAAGUGAAUCCAAAGAUGGGCAUAUUGCUGAUAGGAUUUGUUACCAGUAUUUAUUAACUACUUUUUAUAAUAGUACCAUUUACAAAUUGUUAUUUUUGUCUAAAGACUAAAUAUCAAUGUUGUGUUAGGUAUAUUAUAAGAGCCCAUCUUAUUGUUUUUAUGUCAUAUGUAUACAUGUAGUUAAUAUUUACAUGCUUAAAGUAAAUGACAUUGUUGUAUAUUGUGAGCUUAUUAUUUUAUUUUGCAUACAAUUAAUGCUUCUGUUAUAUCUACCAACAUAAACAAUCUUCUAGUGCUUAAUGUCACUAACUUCGAAAAAUGGAAAGACCAUAUUACUAUUUUACUUGGGUGUAUGGAUCUAGAUUAUGCAAUCUGGACUAAAUGACCUCCUGCCCUUACUAAUGACAGUACUACAAAACAAAGGGCUAACUUGGAGAAGUGGGAGUAUUCUAACCGCAUGAGUCUUACGAUCAUGAAGCACUCUAUUAUAGAUACCAUCAGGGCAUAAUGCCUAAAGAGGAAAAUGCUAAGAGUUUCCUAAGCUAAAUAGCAUAUCAAUUUGUUGGAUUUGAAAAGGUUGAAACAAAAACCAUUUUGUCUAAGCUUGUUUCAAUGUGAUACAAAGGCAAAGGGAACAUAAGAGAGUGCAUUAUGGAAGUGUCUAAUCUUGUUACUCGAUUGAGGGCACUAAAGUUGGAGUUAUCUGAUGACAUUCUUGUGCACCCGGUCUUGAUCUCUCCCAUUGCACAAUUUAGUGCUUUUGAGAUAAGUUAUAAUACUCAAAAAUAAAAAUGGACUCUUAAUGAGCUCAUUGUUCAAUGUGUGUAAGAGGAAGAAAGAUUGAAACAAGAAAAGAUAGAAAAUGCUCACUUAGCUACUGCCUCUCAUGACAAUGUGGCAAUAGGAAAAAGAAAAGAAUAGUAACAAUAAAGGAAAAUGAGUUGCAGAUAGUGAGACCUCAUAGCCUAAGGUGCAACAGAAAUAAGAUAAGGUCAUCACUUAUUUCUUUUGCAAGAAAUGUGGACAUGUGAAAAAGGAUUGUCCUAAGUAUGCAAAAUGGCUCAUAAAAAAAGGUUAACUUCUCAACUUUGUUUGUUCUGAAGUUAACUUAGCUUUAAUACCAAAUCAUACUUGGUGGAUAGAUAUAGGUGCAACUACUCACAUAAGUGUGACAAUGUAGGGUUGUCUAAGGAGUUGAGUACCAAUUGGUGCUGAAAGAUUCAUCUAUAUGGGAAAUGGAAACAAAGCUCAUGUUGAGGUGAUUGGUUUAUUUAGAUUGCAAUUAGAAUCUGGUUGUUAUUUGGAUUUGGAUGAGACUUUUUAUGUACUAUCAUUUAGACAGAAUUUGGUAUUUGUUUCUUAUUUGGACAAAUCAGGCUACUCUUAUUCAUUUGGAAAUGAAAAAAAUGAGUUUGUUUCAAUAUUCAAAUAUGAUUGGUAUGGGUUCAUUGGUUGAUAAUAUAUUUAAAUUGGAUAUUAGUGUCUCACAUAUUAAUGAAUCCUUGCAUGUAAGUAAUUGUGGUACAAAACAUAAAUUAACUGAUGAGAAUUCUUUCAUGUUGUGGCACAAGCAUUUAGGACAUAUUUCUAAACAAAGGAUUUAAAGACGUGUGUCAAAAGGAAUUCUUGAUUCCCUUAACUUUUUGAAUUUGAAAAUAUGCAUUGAAUCCGUUAAGGGAAAACAAACAAAUGUAAAAAAAAAUUAGUGCCAACAAGAGUUCAGGUGUUGAUUCGACUCAUGGUAGCUUAGCUUUAAAGGCGUAUCAACAAAAUUUAUACCUUAAAUACUAUUACUAAAGUAGCCAAGCUACUAUAGCAUAGUGGUUCUAGGAUCGUUCACUGGGAUGGGUUUUCACUUCACAAAUGAUAUUAAUUCAAAGAUGAAUUGGUGCCUUUUCAUUUCAAGGUUAGCUUUAAAAGAAAACAUAAAGAUGUAAAUGUUUUAGAAAGAUUUAAACUAAUCUAAGCUAACAUUAAAGAUUAAAAUGAAAGGGUGUAAAAACAAGUUUCUCAAAGAUAGGAUAGCUAUGCUCUGGCUCUUAUGCAAAUUGGAAAUCUCAGGAUAGGCUCCUCGCGUUGGGGUUGCAACUAUGGUGAUGCUUGCUUCCCGAACCGGUAUGGAUUUAGCAAAUCAAGUUUUAAUCCUUUAAAAUGGCAAAACAGAUGGUAGUGAAUUUCAUCAAUGGUUAUUCACCUUAGACUUCCUUUAAAUGGCUCGUAAGAGAUAACUAAUGGUCUAAAGCCAAAAGCUUACCAAAUAUUGGCAACUCAAAGUCAUUCCAGGUGAUAAACUCACCUUUCAAUGGUCAUUGAAAUUGGUUCUAACAGAUUAAUGCAAAACUUGGAAUUGAAAACCUCACCUUCCAAUAGCUCGUAGGAGAUAACUAAUGGAUAAAAAUCCAAAAGCUUAUCAAGUAUUGGCCGUUGGAAGUUGUCCAAAGGAAAUAAAAACCAAACUUUGCAUUAAUGAACCAUUAAUGAAAAACGACUACCUUACCUUCCAGGUGCGAGAAAUUUCCAUGGGAUUGCAUCCAAGUCAUUACAUAACAUCCAUACUUUGAGAAACUAAAAGUUUUAGCCAAUCAUCCUCUGAGGAAAAGCCCUCAGAGGCUGUUUGGCUACUAAGAAAAUAAAAAUGGGGAAGAACAGGAGAAGAGAGAAAAAAACAGAGCAAGGCUCUGUAUAUUCUAUAUAUUGAUCGAUAUUACAUAUAUGAUUCCUUGAGAACAAGCUCCCGAGAGCUAUAUAUAAAGAAAACUACAAAACAAAAUAUUUGAGGUUAUUCACCCCUUUCCCAAACUUAAUAACUAAGGAAUCCUAUAAUUGGUGGGUUACAAUGAGAAAAUGGGGUUUUUGACAUAAAAAAUCUGAAGCAAAAUAUCCAAAAGUGUUGGUCGCAAAUAUCGGGAAGCUUCAGGAGAAUUUCGCAGGCGCGCAAAAUGGCUGCGAAAUUUCGCAGCCAAAGGCUGAUUUCGCAGCCCUGCGAAAUUGGCCUUCAGCUUGAAGUGAUCUGCUUCCAAUGGCUCUAACUUCUUCAUUUCAACUCCGAUUCGUGAACCGUUUGAAGCGUUGGAUUGUUGACUUCCUGAUCUUCGAAACGACAUAUAGUAUGUAUAAAUUGGACUUCAGGAAGUGCUCCAAAAGUGGCUGAAAUGACUGUCAUCAAGAAUGCUUCAUGGCAGAUAUUCUCUUUACUUCCCCUUCUUGCAUUCCGGAUUUGCUUAUGGCAAAGGACUUCAAAGAUUUGGUUCUUCAUGUUUUUGAGCUUUCCAUUGCUUUGCCAUGGAUUCCAAAUAACUCUCCUCAAUCUCAUAUUGCUUUGGUGAUCAAAAAGCUAUCAAAACACCAAAACUUAACACAAAUUGAUUAGAAUUGAUUGCAAGGGUCCUUAACAUGCCAAUUGAGUUAAAAGGUAAUAAAUACUACUCAAAAGUGUUUAAAAGAGUUAAUUACAAGCUAUCAAAUAGCACUUUUUGAGUAGUAAUCAGGUGUCUUGGAAUUAGUUCAUACUAAUAUUUGUGGUCCAUUCCUUAUGGGUUCUUGGAAUGUCAAUAGUAUUUUAUUACUUUCAUAGAUGAUUAUUCUCGUUAUGGGUACCUAUAUUUGAUUCAUGAGAAGUCUCAAUCGUUUGACGUUUUCAAAUCUUAUAAAGUUGAAGUUGAAAAUCAACUUGGAAAGAAAAUUAAAGAUGAUAAAUCUUACCGUGGUGGUGAGUACUAUGGUAGAUAUAAUGGAUUAGGUGAACAAAGUUUAUGACCUUUUGUGGCAUACUUACAAGAAUGUGGCAUUAUUCAUCAGUACACCAUGUCAAGGACUCCAAGUCAAAAUGGUGUAGAACAGGACCUUGAAAGAUAUGGUAAGAAGUAUGAUAAAUCAUUCUUCUAGAAUCACUUUGGGGAGAAGCCAUAAAAAUUGUAGUUUAUAUCUUUAAUCAAGUUCCAAGCAAAGCAGUAGCUAAAACCCCAUAUGAGCCAUGGAUUGGAAAAAAGCGUAGUAUUAGGCAUUUUCAUGUUUGGGGUUAUCCAACUGAGGCAAGACUAUAUAGGCCUAAUGAAAGAAAAUUGGACUCAUGAAUAGUAAGUUGCUACUUUGUUGGGUACUCAAAAAGGUCAAGGGGUUUUAAGUUUUAUGAUCCCUCGAGCAAAUCCUUUUUUGAGAUGGACAAUGCUAAAUUCAUUAAGGAUGUUGAAUAUAGUGGGAGUACUAGACUCAUGAGCUUUGUCUUUGAAGAGGAAUAUAUUAUUAUUCCUAUAGUUGCAAUUGAAAAUGUUCAGGUAACUAUGCUUGACAUUAUUCAGGAUGCAAAUCCAGAAAAUCUAGACACUCUUGAGUUACCUCCUACUCAUAUGAAGAACCUUUUCCUAUUGAUGAGGAGGAACAACAACAACCUCAAUUGGAAAUGCCAUUAAGGAGAUCCACUAGGUAGAGGAUAAUGGCAAUUCUAGAUGAUUAUAUCGUGUAUCUCCAAGAACAUGAGUUUGAUAUGAGACUAAAAGAUGAUCCAAUAUCUUUUAGUCAAGCCAAAAAAAGUGUAAACUCCCAUAAAUGGAUAGAGGCCAUGAAAGAUGAGAUGAAAUCAAUGAAAGACAAUAAUGUUUGGGAUUUUGUCGAAUUGCCUGGAGGAGCAAAACUGAUUGGUUGUAAAUGGAUUUAUAAGACCAAACAGGAUUCAAGAAGCAAUGUUGAAAGAUAUAAGGCACGUCUAGUGGCCAAAGGUUUCACUCAAAAGGAAGACAUUGAUUAUAAAGAGACUUUCUCUCUAGUUUCAACGAAAGACUCUUUUAGAAUCAUUAUGGCACUUGUAGCUCAUCAUGAUUUGGAGUUACAUCAAAUGGAUGUGAAGAUUGUGUUUCUCAAUGGUGACAUUGAAGAAACCAUAUACAUGGUGCAACCAUAGAAUUUAGAAUCCAAAUAGUCAAAACAUCUGGUAUGCAAAUUAAAGAAAUCCGUCUACGAUAUAAAGCAAGCAUCUCAUUAUUGGUAUUGAAAUUUUGAUGAAGUGAUUACCUCUUUUGGUUUUAAGGAAAACAUUGUUGAUCAAUGUAUUUAUCAAACAAUUAGUGGGAAUAAAUUUAUUCUUCUGGUAUUAUAUGUCGACGAUAUUUUGCUAGCAAGCAGUGAUAUAGGCCUGUUGCAUGAAACUAAGAGAUUUCUUUUAGAUAAUUUUGAAAUGAAAGAUCCUAGUAAUGCAUCAUUUGGGUUGGGCAUAUAGAUUUAUUGAGAUUGUUCUCAUGGUAUUCUUGGCUUAUCACAAAAGGCAUAUAUUGAUAAAGUUCUUAGUAGAUUUGACAUGAAGGAUUGUACACCAGGAGAUACCCCCAUUGCUAAGGGUGAUAAAUUCAAUUUGCUUCAAUGCCCAAAGAACGAAAUUGAGAAGAAAGAGAUGGAGAACAUCCCUUAUGCAUCAAUAGUAAGGAGUCUCAUGUAUGCUCAAGUUUGUACAUGUCCGGAUAUUGCGUAUAUAGUUAGUAUGCUUGGCAAAUAUUUAAGUAACCCAAUAAUGAUAUAUUGCAAGGCAACAAAAUGGGUCAUGUGGUAUUUCUAGAGAACAAAAGAUUUCAUGCUCACAUAUUAGAGAUCUAAUCAUUUAGAGAUCAUAAGGUAUUCUAACUCCGACUUUGUUGGUUGCAUUGAUAACAAAAUAUCUACUUCUAGCUAUGUUUUUAUAUUGGCUGAAGGAGCUGUCUCACGGAAGAGUGUUAAGCAAUCACUCAUAACUACUUCCACCAUGGAAACAAAAUUUAUAGUUUGUUAUGAGACAUCGAACCAAGCAAUAUGGCUACGGAAUUUUAUCAUUGGAUUGCAUAUUGUUGAUGGCAUUGAGAGACCAUUAAGAAUAAACUAUGAUAACAAAGUUGUAGAAUUAUAUUCUAAGAACAACAGAAGCUUGUAAAAAUCAAAACAUAUUGACUUGAAGUUUUUGGUUGUUAAGGAGAGAGUUUAGAGUUUUCAGGUGUCUAUUGAACAUACUAGUACAAACUUCAUGAUUGCGGAUCUGCUUAACAAAGGUGUACCACCUAAAGUAUUUCAUGAGCAUAUGGCUUGUAUGGGUGUGGUUCAUCUUGGUGAUAUGAUUAUGUAGUGGGAGUUUGUUAAUUGAUGUUCAUUAGUUAAUGAAAUGUUUUUUUAAUCAGACUUAAGUAUUAUUCUUGUUUUGCUUAUUGAAAACUCUGAAAUAAUGUUAUAUUCUUUCAAUUGCAGUUUUGCAUAAAGUUUGAAAGUGUGUUGAACUCUUCUGAGUUAUAAAGUUGGACCAGUUGGAAAUAGGCAUGAUAUUGGAUCACAUUACAUGGAAUUUCCAUGCUACACAUUCAUACUUGAUCUAUGUCAUUGAUUGUAUUAAUGUGGUGAUCAUUGUUGGGUCUAGUUAUAAAACAUGUAAUGAAGAUCAUUUUGGUUCUAUAUUGGUAUAAUUGAUGGACCAGAUUGUUUUGAGAUACUUACAAUUAAAAUAGCAAAUAUUGAGCUCAUUUUUGUAAUGUUCAAUUGUUUAAUGACAUAUGUGGCCCAAGUGGGAGAUUGUUCGAUAUUUUGGUAAUUAUGGGCCUACAUAUUAACACAUUGUACAUUAAGCUAUCUUAUUUUUAGGCCUAAUUAAAUGUGAUCAAUUAAGUUAUUGAUGCGAUUUUAAAGCAUCUAUAUAUAUAUAUGGAUUGUAUGAGCUAUGCAAUGUGUAGAGACAAAUUUUAUUUUAUUUAUUAAUGAUGGGCCAAUAAAUAAGAUAAAAUAAUGAGUAUAAACAGGGUUAGGUUCCCAGUCUAAACGAGAAGAGAUAGAAAAAUUGCUAAUAAUUCACAUCCCAUUAGUGAGUGUGUAGACUUGUAUUUUUGCUCGAUGCGUUCCUACUCGACAAUGAAACUCGUUUUUUUAUUUAUUUUGUGAAAAUUUUGAUUUAAAAAAAAAAGACUUGGAGUCGCCACUUAUUUUUGUUUUAUUUUUUUAAGGGAAAAAUAAAAUAAGAAAAAAAAAACCCUAAGUGUGACUCCUAAAGGAAAAACAGGUUUGUGAAAAACCGAGUCUAGGUUUAAUGGUCAGGUUACUUAUCGAGAAGGUACGGUGGUGAUCCGUAGCACCCUUUUAAACCCGUAUACGUACGACCUCUACUAAAUGAAUUAAGGGAAUUGUGGCAAUUAAUUAAGUAAUUAUGGAUACCAAAAAAAAUAAUCGUGCAAAUGAGUAUGUACAAGUCAUAGUGAAAAUUAAUAUAUAAAAAAAAAUAAUGAUGAAAUCUAAUUGUCGGAAUACACAAAAUAAAUGACAAGAGGAUUAUGCAAAAAUAACCUAUUGAACUAAAUAAAAAAAAAGAUAUUAAAAAAAAUAUUUUUCAAGAAAUUUCAAAGGAUUUUAUAAAAAAAUUAUUUUGAAUUAAUAAUUUCAAUUUAUUUAUUUACAAAAAAAAGUCAAUUUAUUUUAUCAAUUUUAUCUGUAUUUAAUUUUCAAAAAAUGUUAUUUACACUUAUUGUAUCAAAAGAAUUUAUUACAAAAUUUCAAUUUGGUAACAAAAAUUAUUUUUACUUGUUUUUACAAAAAAUGAAUGAAUUUUUACAAUUUGAUUUAUAAAAGUAUUUCAAUUUGUUUUCAUUUAAGAAAAGUGAUUUAUACAAAUUAUAUAUAUAUAUAUAUAUAUAUAUAUAUAUAUAUAUAACUUUAUUUGCAAAAGAAUUUUUUAAUUAAAAAUUAAUUUUUGGGACAACUUUAUUUACAAAACAAUUUUUGGACAAUUUUGAUGAAACAAAGAAAUUUUUGGAUAACUAUUAUUAAAAACAAAAUUUCAAAUUCUAUAAAAAACAUUUUUUUUUUGGAUUUUUCUAAAAUCAUUUUUUUGAAUUUUUAUUAAUAAAAAAUUUUCUUUUAUUAAGAAGAAUAUUUAACAUUAUUAUUUUAUUAAAACAUAUUUACUGAAUUAUUCAUCUUAUUUAAACAAAAUUUCCGAUUUGUUCGAUGUUCAAUUAUGUUCAUAGUAAAUAAAUAUAUAUAAACAAAUAUUUACACAAACCAAUAAAAAUAAAACCAAAUAAUAGUGGGAAAUAAAAUGUGUACCCAAACAAGCUUACAAUAGGUUCAAUGUCUUCCUACAGCUUUUCGAGUCCCACUUUCUUCCAUUAAAUUUCGUGCUCCACGUGUCAUAAAUUCGUACUCAACCAACAAUAUUCCAGAAUGGGUCCAUGCAAAAACAAAAAUAGUCCAAAUGUAAAUAUCCAAAAAUAUGUAGAGUCCAAAAUAACUAUUUAAGCCCAAAUUCAAACUUUAAAUUAGCCCAAUAAAUUUCACCAAUUAAAAAUGGGCCCAAAUUAACAAAUAUAACCCUAUAAAAAUAUCUAACAUGUCAUAGACCCUAAUUAAAGUUUCCAAAUUAAUAGCCAAACUAUAAGCUCAAUUAAUCAAACUCAAAACAUGAUAAAUUAAAAUAAAUUCCAUUAGACCUAAAUUUAAUAUCUCAUCAUUGCACAAAUCACAAACCAUCAUUGCACAAAUCAAUAAUAAUAAUAAUAAUAAUGAAAAAUGUUUAUGAUGGGAAAAUGAGGAAAUGAGAAAAUGAGACAAAAGAGAAAAGGUCAUCGCCGAUGACGAUUGGCUGGUGGUCCUGUCGGCGGGCUGUUCGUUAGAGGUGAUGGAGCCAAAACCAGAGAUUUCACUUUCGUGCUUUGAGCUAGCGUUGGAACUACUGUUGGUGGAGAUGUGAGAGGAGCCGAUGGAGAAGUUGCGGGAUGAGGAGUUACAAGUGGCAGAGUGGCCGAUGGUGUAGCUAGCUGCUAGUGGAUGGAUAAAAAAUUAUGGGAGAAAAAAAAUAGGAAAGAAUGGGGAAAAUUUUCGGUCUGCGUGUGUGUUUGGGGUAGUUGGAGUGUGUCUUGGGGAGAAGCAGAAGAUGGAGAAAAGUUGGGGGAGAAAAGAAAAAAUGCCCAAGAAAUGGAGAGGAAAUUGUGGAAAAAAAAUGGGGGAAAGAAAGAAAUGGGGGAUGGGGGAGGGGGGACGCGACCAUGAGAAAAAAGCAAAUAGGAAACAAAAAAGUGGGGGGAGUGUCAUGGGAAGGAGAAGAAGAAAAAUAAAAUAAAAAAUAAAAAAUAAAAAUGGGGGAAGAAGUGAGAGAGGAGGCAUGUGGCCGAAAAUGGGUGUCGGGGGAGAGAAGAGGAAGAAGAGAAUGGGGAAGCCUAAAUAAGGGAGCCGGUUAUAGUCUUUUUUUGGGAAUUAGGGGGAAAAAUCUAAAACACAAAGAGGAAAAAUGAGAAAAGGGAGAAAAAUGAAGAGAUGAGAGAAAGAAGUAGUCGACCACUAUGGAUCUUUUAGGAGAGGGCUCCCAAGCUGAAGAAAAAUGAGGAAUAAGCAAAAAAAUGGGAGAGAAGAAGAAUAAUAAAAAUAAAUCAAAUCAAAUCAAGAAAGAGCUAGCUAGGGUUAUGGUCGUGGGAUGAAGGGUAUGGGAAAAGAGAAAGAGAGUGGGUGGGGUAGUUAGGGGAAGGUAGGAAGAAAGAGGAGAGAUGAGAGAGAAAAGAAAGAAAAAAAAUGAAGAAAAGAAAAAAAAGAAAAAAAAAGAAAAAUAAAAAUAUAAUAUAAUAUAAUAAUAAAAAAUAAUAAUAAUAAUAAAAUAAAAAAAUAUACAAAAAAAAAAGACCUAAGAAUUAAAUGGUGAGUGGGUCAAAAUACCACAUGUAAUUAGGAUUUAAAAACUAAGAAUAAAAUUGGGACAAAUUUUGGGGUCUACAAAUAUGCUCCUCUUCGGUAAAGUCCAUGAGUAAAGUGAGUGUAUACACAAGCGAAACAAAGUGAACUCUAUUGAAGAACAAGAAAGACCACCAAAUUUGUCCUAAUAUGCCACGAACUCUCUUAAACCAAAACAAGAACAAAGAGACUCUAAAACCCUACAAAUUUUUUUUUGGCAAAAACAGAAAAUCCUAAAGUGCCUCUAAAGUUUCAUUAUGGAUCCAUAAUUCCCUUUAAAAAGGCCUCUAAAAGUGGUUUGAAAAUUGAUGUCGAAAUCAAGUAGCAGUCGAACCACCAAAGAGUGUAGGAAUGAGUACAAAGGGAAAAACCAUACGUGUACCAUAUGAGGACAUAAGGCGUAGAGUAUCUAACAAUACAAUCAAGACACAUGCUACAAGCUCAUUGAGCUAUAUCCUACACAAAAGAUGAGAAGAAAUUCUAGAAUAUCGUAAUGAAGUGAGAAACACAUAUGCAACAAAUAGAGAAGUAAGAUGGAAUGCGAAACUGUGAGAACAAAGCAUGUAAUGCUAGUGAUCAUGAAUAUCAAGAACUGUGGCUCUAAAAGACAAGACUGACUCUAAAUGCUAAACUAAGAAAAUAAUGGCUCUAGAAGCCAAACCCAAAAGCUAACUCUAAAUGCUAAAUCAAAAAGCCUAUAGGUGAAGUCCUACGGUGGUGAUACAACAGAAAUGCCCAUAGAUGCCAUCUAUGGUGAUGAAACUCUCAAAAGUCCACAGAUAAAAAUCUAUGGUGGUGAUAAUCUCAAAGGUCCAAGGAUGAAAAUCCGUGGUGGUGAAACCGAAAUGCCCAUAGAUGUCUGAUCUAUAGUGGUGAAAACUAAAAUGCCCAUAGAUGUCUGAUCUAUGGUGGUGAUAAACUGAUCAAGGCCCAUAGAUGAAAAUCUAUGGUGGUGAAUUUGAAAUGCCCAUAGAUGUCCAAUCUAUGGUGGUGAAUCUGAAAUGCCCAUAGAUGCUUGAUCUAUGGUGGUGAAUCUGAAAUGCCCAUAGAUGUCUGAUCUAUGGUGGUUAAAACUGAAAAAAAUACUCAUAGAUGAAAAUUUAUGAUAGUGAAAUAACUAUAACAAAUGCCCAUAGAUGCAAAUCUAUGGUGGUGAAAAUUGAAACAAAUGCUCAUAGAUGAAAAUCUAUAAUGGUGAGAUAACUAUAAUAAAUGCCCAUAGAUAUAUGAUCUAUGAUGGUGAAAACUAAAAUGCUCAUAGAUGUCUAAUCUAUGAUGGUGAAAACUGAAAUGCCCAUAGAUGAAAAUUUAUGGUGGUGAAACUGAAAUGCCCAUAGAUGUUUGAUCUAUGGUGGUGAAUUUGAAAUGCCCAUAGAUGUCUGAUCUAUGGUGGUGAAAACUGAAAUGCCCAUAGAUGAAAAUCUAUGGUGGUGAAAUUGAAAUGCCCAUAGAUGUCUGAUCUAUGGUGGUGAAUUUAAAAUGCCCAUAGAUGAUAAUCUAUGGUGGUGAAUAUGAAAUUCCCAUAGAUGUCUAAUCCAUGGUGGUGAAUCUAAAAUGUCCAUAGAUGUUUGAUCUAUGGUGGUGAAUCUGAAAUGCCCAUAGAUGUAUGAUCUAUGGUGGUGAAAACCGAUCAAGGCCCAUAGAUGAUAAUCUAUGGUGGUGAAUCUGAAAUGCCCAUAGAUGUAUGAUCUAUGGUGGUGAAAACUGAUCAAGGCCUAUAGACGAAAAUCUAUGGUGGUGAAGACCACUGAAACAAAGGGGAUGCCCUAAACAAACUGACAGUAGGGGGAUGCCCUUAAACAAGCUGAAAGAAAUGGGAGAAUGACUUAAACAAACUAGAAGAAAGGGGGAUGCCCUAAACAAACUGAAGAAAGGGAGAUGCCCUAAACAAACCGACGGCAGGGGGAUGCCCUAGGUGAUAGUAUGAGGAUGUCCUAAACAAACUGAUGAAAGAGGAAUACUCUAAAAAAACUGAAGGAAGAGAGAUGCCCUAAACAAAUUGACAGUAAGGGGGAUAUCCCUCGGUGAUAACUUGUAAAGAUCGACAAAUGGGUCUAACAACCAUGAAAUCAACAUGAGAUGUGGUAAACCCAAAAAAGGGGGUAUACCCUAGUAGAAGAGCGCUAAAAGGGGUAUGCCCCAGUAUGACGACUCGCAAAUAUCAAGAAAUACAUCGAGCAGUGAGAAAAUCUACAAAAAAAAAUUGAUGGACUCAAGGAUGGGGGUAUACCCCAGUAGAAGAGCGCUAAAGGGGGUAUGCCCUAGUAUGACGACUCGCAAAGAUCAAGAAAUAGAUCGAGUAAUGAGAAAAAUUGCAAAAGAUUUGAUGAACUCAAUGAUGGGGGUAUGCCCUAGUGUAAGAUAGUAAACAACAUAAGACACAAAAUGUCACCAUACAAGACACUCUAGGAUAUGCUUAAUGAUCAUGCAAUGAAAAAGUAUAACAUCAAAGAAUAAAUGCUUAAAAAAGACCAAUGCAACAUUGAAACUAUGCCGACAAAGCAAAACUAAAACAAGAAACUAAACAAAAACUAACCAAGACUCUAAGUCUAAAAUGUAAGCAAGUCAAGACACGACAUGUCAACUAUCAACAUGAAAACAUAAUCACAAAUAUAUCAACAAUCUAACAGGCCUUACCAUCAUGGAAGAUGUUGGACCUAAUGUCCAAAGGCAUGUGAAAACUCAACCAGAAAGCUCAAGACUAGUCUGUAUCCUCCUCUGAUAAAGAGAAAAGGAUAAGGUCAUGUAAGAUGAUGAAAUAUGUGGGCUCAAAAGAUGUAAGACUUUGAUAAGAUGGAUGUAGGUAUAAUGGUGUCAAAUGUAGGAUGUAUGGGUGUGUAACAAAGGAAAGUGGGUAUCCAAGUCGAACCAACUAUGUUGAGAAGACUAAACCCAGGGUGUCAAUAACUCUAUGAUCCAUCGAAAGCAACAAUCAUAAACAGGAGGUGGAGUCUCAAUGUCAAAAUCAGCAAGGUGGCUAUGCCCCAAUAUGAAUGCAUUCUCUCAAAAUGGGUAAACUCUCAGUACAAGAUAAUCUCUGGAAAGUAUGUGUCUAGCAUAAAUUGUCAUCUCACAAAAUCUAUCACCAAUAAGUGGGCUAUGUCCCAGUGUAAGCAUCUCUAAAGCAAACAUAGAUGAAAGGAGUACAAACAAUCAUACAACAUCUAAUCAAAAUGAGUAUCCGCUCCUCAAAGUCAUUAUGGUAACGUGAAGAGAGUAUCUGACCUCAUAUAAAGAGAGAUCAUGUCCCAAUGUGAAAAAGAUCAAGCAAAGUGGUAUGCCUCAACAAAAAUGCACUCUAACAUGAUCAUGCCAAGAUGUAAGCUGGUAUCUCUAAGAUCAAUCACCAAUGAAAGGGUUAUGCUCUAAUAUAGGGCAAUCUCUAAAAUGAAUAAACUCCGUUGCAUGCUAUCACAAGUGUCUGUGUCUUGAUCUAAUCAUUUUAAAAAUCUGUCAAUAAUGAUGAGAAGGUUAUGCUCCUAUAAUCACAUCAAAGAAAUCACCCAGUCAUAUCUUGUACUCUAAUGUGAAAGGAAUUUAAUCACCUCCAAGGAACAUCUAUGCCUCAAAAACCAUCAUCGACUGAGAAAGGUAUGCCCCUAUGUAAGGUACACCAGAUGAAAUAUACCAAUCAUGUCUCAUGCUCUAAUGUGAAAAAGAACGUUUGAUUUUCUUCGAGGGAUGGCCAUGACUCAAUAAUCCAUCAUCGACUAAGAAGAGUAUGCCUCGGCAUAAUGGUCAUCUAAAAUAUCAACCUUCGACCAAGGAAGGUGUGCCCCAAUGCUAUGUAUCAAGAAGAAUGGUUGCAUAUCCAAUAAAACUCUCUAAGGUGACUAUGCCACAGUGUAAGGUCAUACCAUAACUCCUGGUUCAUCACAAUCAGAAUGCUCUUGAACCAAUCCUAAGUAUCGCCCACAUAAGAGCUAUCAAACACAAUGUGUGAUGUCAUGGCCUCAGGGUGGUCUUAGGACUCAAGACGUAACAUAGGUUAAGGUAAUAAGGUGAAGAAAUGAAUGGAAACUAGGCUCAAAUACCCAAUGAUCAAAACCCCAUACUCUCGUGUAUAAAAUGUGAUAUGUGCAAAGAGUCUCAUAAACCAUGGAUCUAAGGACAUCCAAUAUGAAUAUAUCAGUGAGGAAGAAAGAAUCCAAGAUGAAUAUAUCAAUGAUGAAAGAGAAAAAAAAAGAAAAAAAAAAUAUCGAAAUACUGAUGAGAUGUAUAAGAAUGAUGUGUGGAAAAUAUCGAACACGGAAUGUAAAUCGAUAUGAACAAAAAACAAUGUAGGCAAGAUGAAUGAAAUACCAUGAGAAGAACAACUAGAUCGAAGGAAAAUGAAUGAGCACUAAUCCACUCAAAUCAAGUCAUGAAGAAAAGUCAAAUCACCAAUGUAUGCAAUAAUAGAGAGAAAAAUGAUCCGGAGUCCCAAGGAAAAGGUCACUUGUCUCUCACACAUAAAAUACAUAACGAGAUAAGCAAAAGGGGAAACAAAAGGAGAGGAUGACAUCUGAGAGCUCACAUACGAACUCUCAUAAGCAACUAACUCAAUAAAGCAACCUCAAUGACCAAUAUACAUACUCAAUGGAGAAGGACACUGUAUACAUACGUUUAUUUUCCUUUCUUUUUUUUUUCUUUUACUUGCAUAUACUCUAAAUAUCAACAAACGAGCACCACUGAGAAUACACAAUGAAAUGGAUAUACUCCCAAACAACGAUGUAGACAAACUCUCUUUGAAAAAAUGACCUACUCAACUAAGGAUCUCUUAACCAAUGUCCAUGAGAUAGGAGUGGAGAGGGAUAUGACUGUUCUCCAUGCAUUGAAAUGUGAAAGAUCAUCACUCAUGGCAUAGAAAGAAACGUAAUGACAAAGAUAAAUGAUAGAAUAGAGGAAAUAAGCAAAGAAGUAUGAUGAAAAAUGAUGGUAGGACAAAAAAUAAAAAAAAAAUAAUGAAGAUGAGUCAAUAAGUCCAUGGCUCAUAAGACUCCCGAAUAAAGCAUAUAUACAUGGGAGGACCCCUAUCUCUGUGUAAAAAGUGAGCAAGGCUAUAAGAAAGAAAAUGUUAUAAUGUUCAUGCUAGGCUCAAAGGGCUAGCAAUGGUUCAAAUGUCAAUAAAGGUAAUAGGGUGUGAGUUAACCAAAAUGAAGGCCAGCCAUCCUUUAACCACAAUCUAAAACAUCAUGCUCUUAAAGCCUUAAAUGAUCGAUACCGAAAAUCGAUGUCUAUUUGAUAUAACCGUGUCAACCCUCUAGAAUCGUGUGCCAAACCAUACUCCAAAUGCUCCAUAAUAAUCUCAAAGGUAAUCCUCUCAAAGCAAAGUAAACGACGAUCUCAUCAUGCACAACUACUCAUCACAAGCCAACUCUCAUCAUACAAGAUCAAUCUUUAUACUCAUGGAGAAUAAGCGCCAGUCUCAUCAAGCAAUCGACCAAUCCUCACAUCAUAAGUCGCCCAAAGAUCAUAAGUCAUCCCUUGCCAUACAAAAUCAACCCUGGGCUUAAACUCCUCACACUUUAUCUGGACAGAUCAAAGAGGAGAUGUGCAAAGCUAGAAAAACUAAGGAUGGAAAGGUCAUAUAAUGGUGUCAAGGGUGAUGUUGUGUAAAGCUCACAAUGGAUGGAUGUAGUUUAAAGCAAAGUCAAGGUGUGAGAGUGGGUAAGACACUACUCUGAUAAUAAGAAGAUGGGUCACAAUCUCAAACUCCCUAGGUCAAAUCUCUGAUCCUAGGCUAAUAAGCUCAAUAUCCUCCAUGAUAGGUCAGCCCUCAAGACCACAAUGCACAAGUAAAUAGAUAUCUUAAGUCAAAAGUACAACACAUCAUAUGAUAUAUGGUCCUGCGAUAGCAAUCUAAAACUGGAAAUAUGACAAGAACUCUAAGGUCAUAAAAGUGUCCACUGUGAGAUGGCUACAAAUAUGACUAAAGAAUUUUUUAUUAAUAAUCCAGAAAAUGAAUGAGGCGUGAAAAAAAACACUAUCAUGAGAUCAACACUCCAUUUAUAACAAAAUAUCCUGAAACCUAGCUCUGUGCCAUAUAGGUCUUCAAAGAUCGGCCUUCAAUCAACAUCAAUGUGUCCACCUCCUCCAAAAUGCUCCCAAACAUCGAUAUAGCCCAUCGCUAGACCCUACUCCUAACCGCUAACUCGGUCAGAGGAACAAGUACACACAAGGCCUCACAUUUGCAAAUGUAAGAACCGAAAUGAAAGAAAUGACCAAAACUAGAGGGUUGGAGGUAAGAAGAUAGAAGUGCGACCCACAUAUACAAACAACACAUGCAUCACACAAAAGAAUAGUAGUCAUGCACCAAACAGUCAUGCAAAUAAUAGGUAUAUCAUCCAUAUCUACACGCAAACUAAGUAAGAAACAUGAUAAACAAGAUAGGUAUAUAGCAAGAAUAAACAAUAUGUUGAGAUAAACAAGAUAAUAUACAACAAAUAGAAUCAACCAUGCCAAGAUGAAUGAGAUAUACAAAAAUGAGAAUAUACAUGUAAAAGAAAACAAGAUAAUCAAACAAUAAGAAGAGCCACUAUGCAAAAGCAGGUAAAAGAAUCAAUCGAUAUAAUCAACAUGUGAACAUCUCCAAUGAACAAUAAUAACUAAACAUGCAUCAUGGAUAAACAUAUCAAAACUCUCAACGUGUAAUCAACACCUAAUCAUACAAAAACACAUAGAGAGGAGUAUCCACUAAUCGACCAAUCAAAUGUCACAUUUCCCUAAACACGAGUUCAAGUUUGACCCUUUAAAGAGUCCCUAGUGGAGUCGCCAUUUUGUGGACUCGCAUUUUUGCUCGAUGCAUUUCCACUCAACAACGAAACUCAUUUUUUUAUUUAUUUUGUGAAAAUUUUGAUUUUUAAAACAAGACUUGGAGUUGCCACUUAUUUUUGUUUUAUUUUUUUAAGGGAAAAAAAAAAAGAAAAAAAAAAACCCUAAGUGUGACUUCUGAAGGGAAAACAGUUCUGUGAAAAACCGAGUCUAGGUCUGGGAGUCAAGUUACUUAUCGAGAAGGUACGAUGGUGAUCCAUAGUACCUUUCUAAGCCCGUAUAUGUACGACCUCUACUAAACAAAUUAAGGGAAUUGUGGCAAUUAAUUAAGUAAUUAAGUAACUAUUUUAUCAACUUCAUUUGUAUUUAAUUUUCAAAAAAGGUUAUUUACACUUGUUGUAUCAAAAGAAUUUAUUACAUAAUUUCAAUUUGGCAACAAAAAUUAUUUUUACUUGUUUUUACAAAAAAUGAAUGAAUUUUUACAAUUUCAUUUACAAAAGUAUUUCAAUUUGUUUUCAUUUAAGAAAAGUGAUUUAUACAAAUUAUUAAGAUAUAUAUAUAUAUAUAACUUUAUUUGCAAAAUAAUUUUUAAUUAAAAAUUAAUUUUUGGGACAACUUUAUUUACAAAACAAUUUUUGGACAAUUUUUAUUAAACAAAGAAAUUUUUGGACAGCUAUUAUUAAAAACUAUUUUUCAAAUUCUAUAAAAACAAUUUUUUUGGAUUUUUAUAAAAUCAUUUUUUUGAAUUUUUAUUAAUAAAAAAUUUUCUUUUAUUAAGAAUAAUAUUUUAAAAUUAUUAUUUUAUUAAAACAUAUUUACUAAAUUAUUCCUCUUAUUUAAACAAAAUUUCUGAUUUGUUCGAUGUUCAAUUAUGUUCACACUCAAUAAAUAUAUACAAACAAAUAUUUACAGAAACCAAUAAAAAUAAAACCAAACAAUAGUGGAAAAUAAAACGUGUACCCAAAUAAGCUUAUAACAGGUUCAAUGUCUUCCCACGGCUUUUGGAGUCUUACUUUCUUCCAUUAAAUUUCGUACUCCGCGUGUUAUAAAUUCGUACUCAACUAACAAGAUUGUAGAAUGGGCCCAUGCAAAAGCAAAAAUAGUCAAAAUAUAAAUAUCCAAAAAUAUGUAGAGUCCAAAAUAACUAUUUAAGCCCAAAUUCAAACUUCAAAUUAGCCUAAUAAAUUUCACCAAUUAAAAAUGAGUCCAAAUUAACAAAUAUAACCCAAUAAAAAAUAUCUCACAUGUCAUAGACCCUAAUAUAAAGUUUCCAAAUUAAUAGCCAAAAUAUAAGCUCAAUUAAUCAAACUCAAAACAUGAUAAAUUAAAAUAAAUUCCAUUAGACCUAAAUUUAAUAUCUCACCAUUCAAACCUAAUUUAAUAAACAAACCCAAAUUCACAACAAAAAUUAAGUCCAAUCUAUGCUAACCCAAUUCACAAUCAAAACCAAACUCAACUUAAUAAAUAAAUAACUAAAUAAAUUGAACCUAAAAUCACAAACCAUCACUUCACAAAUCAAUAAUAAUAAUAAUAAUAAUAAUGAAAAAUGUUUAUGAUAGGAAAGUGAGGAAAUAAGAAAAUGAGAAAAAAGAGAAAGGGUCGUCGUCGGCAAUAGCUCGUCGGCGGCGACUGGUCGGUGGUCCUGCUGGCGAGCUGUUCGUUAGAGGCGAUGGAGCCAAGGCCGGAGAUUUCACUUUCAUGCUUUGAGUUGGCGAUAGAACGACUGUUGGUGGAGAUGCGAGAAGAGCCAAUGGAGGAGUUGUGGGAGGAGGAGUUGUAGGUGGCGGAGUGGCCGGUGGUGCAACUAGUUGCCAGUGGGUGGAUAAAAAAAAAAUUUGGGAAAAAUUCUGGCCUGCGUGUGUGUUUGGGGUAGCUGGAGUGUGUCUUGGGGAGAAGUAGAAGAUGUAGAAAAGUUGGGGAAGAAAAAAAAAAUGCCUAAGAAAUGGGGACCAACCGUGUGGGAGUAAAGGGAGAGAAUUCAGAAGAAGAAAAGGAAGAAUGGAGAGGAAAAAAUGGGAAAAAAAUGGGUAAAAGAAAGAAAUCGAGGCCGACCAUGAGAAAAAAACAAAUGAGAAACAAAAAAGUGGGGAGAGUGUCAUGGAAAGGAGAAAAAGAAAAAGAAAAUAAAAAAUAAAAACUAAAAAAGAAAAAUGAGGGAAGAAGUGAGAGGGGGACGUGUGGUCAGGAAUGGGUGUUGGGGGAGAGAAGAGAAUGGGGAAGCCCAAAUAAGAAAGCCGGCUGUGGGUUUUUUUGGGGGAGAGAAGAGAAUUGGGGGGGGGAGGGAAUCUAAAAAACAAAGAGGGAAAACGAGAAGAGAGAAAAGAGGGAAGAGAUGAGAGAAAGGAGCAGCCGACCACUAUGGGUCUUUUUGGGGGAGAACUCCCAAGCUGAAGAAAAAUGAUGAAGAAACAGAAAAAUGGGAGAGAAGAAGAAUAAUAAAAAUAAAUCAAAUCAAAUCAAGAAAGAGCUAGCUAGGGGUAUGGUCAUGGGAUGAGGGGUAUGGGAGGAGAGAAAGGGAGUGGAUGGGGUAGUUAGGGGAAGGCAGGAAGAGAAAUGAGAGAUGAGAGAGAAAAGAAAGAAAAAAAAUGAAGAAAAAAAAGAAGGAAAAAAUAAAAUAAAAUAAAAUAAUAAUAAAUAAUAAUAAUAGUAAUAAUAAUAAUACUAAUAAAAUAAAACAAUAUACAAAAUAAAAAACUAAGAAUGAAAUGGUGAGUGGGUAAAAAAUAUCACGUGUAAUUGAGAUUUAAAAACUAAGAAUAAAAUUGAGUUCAAAAUCAAUGUAAAAAUAAAAUUGAGACAAAUUUUGGGGUCUACAGAGUGAUUUCAAGGCUGUAAUACUUGUUUAAGACAUGGAAGAUAAGACUCAAGUACAUAAUCUCAAUGGAUUCAAGUAUGUCUUUCGAUAUUAUUAUCCUAUAGAUUUAACAUAAGAUUAUAACACAUUUAUUAUCCAAAUGAUCAAAUUCUAUAAUCAUUCUGUAUGACUUGUGUUUUUCCAACAAAACCAACAUCAUUCAAACAUCAUUAUAUGCACUCCUCAUGUGAGUUCAUUGAAUAUAAAAAAUGUUUUUUUUUUUGUUCUCUCACCACAUUACAUAUUAUUGUGUUGUAUUGCCUUUGUCUAUAAGGGUAAAAGUAUUUAACAUUUUUUCUUUCCUAAAAUACUCCUAUUCAUUUAUUUAAUACCAUAAAGCUAUUCAAUUUCCAUUAUUUUAUUUAUAACUUGUCAUAAAAUUAUUUUAAAUUGUCCCCACAUAUAUUAUUAAAAAAUUCAAAUCCAACUUUAUUUAUUUUUAUUAUAUUCUUUAUUUCCGCCAAUGUAUGUUAUUAAAAAAUUUAUUCUACAUAAAUAAUAGAAGACAACAUCUUUUCUAUAAUUUUCAAUAUAUUUUAUUAUUAUUUAAUAUUUUUCAAUUAAAGAAUAUGUAAGAAUAUACAUAUAUGUAUAACUUUUUAUAUGAAUUUUAAUAUUUCAUUUUUAUUAAAAUUUGUUAAAUAAAAAAAGAAUAAUGGAUGAUAUUCUUAUGUAUGAACAAAAACAUUAGGAAUUUAAUGAUUUAAAAAAUUUUAAGAUUUAAAUACUUAAUUGACCAUUUUUGUCUUUUCAAUAGUAUAAUUUAAAUUUGUAGUAAUACAUGUAUUAUUCAUAUUAAAAAGAAGAAUUCAAAGGAUGUAAAUUAAUUGAAUAAAAUGAAUGUGAAUGUAAUUGAAGAGAUUAAGGUUAUGUGUAAUGUAAAACAUACUUUGGGAGAAUAUAAAUUGAUUUGGAAAGUUAAGAAUAGAUUUAUUUUUAUCCUAUUUAUAUAUCAUAGGUGGUUUAUGAAAUGUUAUGUAUUCCCUCUUUCAAUUUACAUGAAUACAAAGGGAUAUGAUACAAAUCAUUACAAUUUAUUUAAAUUUAAGUCUUAAACAAUAAAUUAAUUUUCAAACAUUGUAGCUCCUAUGGUAACUUGAUAAAUUUUGUUUUAAAGAAUUUAAUAGAGAACUAAAAGUGUAAAUAACUAUAUAAAAUAAGUAUAUAAUCUAUAAGAUUAUAUAAUUCAACAUUUAUAAGAAUAAUAACUAAAUUAAUUUUAAAAAUAUAAAAUAAUUCAAAUAAUAGUAAAAGAUGAUAUUGUAUUAUUAUAAUAUAUUACAAUGCAUUAUCUAUUAAUAUAAUCAUAUAUUAUAGGAUAAUAUAUUUGAUACAUCUACUUAUAAAUAUUUUUUUAUAGAUGAAUACCAUAUUUUUAACUAAAUUAUAGUUAUAUUAGGUCAUUAUAUAUAUAUAUAUAUAUUAUUUUAAUUAGUUUUAAUUUUUUUAGAGAAAAAAUUUAUCUUGAAGUUAAUUAAUUACACACACACACACACAUAUAUAUAUAUAUAUAUAUAUUAUGUAUAUUAUAUGUAUAUAUAUGGUAACUCUUAGAGGAGGGUGAAUGGGUGUAUUUUUAAAAAAAUUAUAAUUUCGGAGUUAAAUUUAUAACUCAAUUUAAUUCCGGGAGAUAUAAAAAAUAAACAAAAUAUCCAAAAUCAAACAAACAUGCAAAGGACAAGAGAAUUUUUAAAAAAAUUUUUUUUUUAUGUGGAAAACCCUCAUACUAACUAUGAAGAUAAAAAAAACCACAUGGUUUAAGACCUCUAAUCUAGAACCCACAAUUUGAUAUCAAAUUACAUAGAUUUAUCUUAUUGUUUACCUUAAGACUUACUCUCCAGAACCUACAACUUGAUCCAUGUUCAUGAUGUGGUAAUCUCUAAUUGCUUUAAUGAAUUCUCCUCAGCCUCGCUGAAGGGAUGCAUGUCUUCCAACAACCCAAGAUUUAAGCUUUGAAUCCUUCCAUAAGAGAUUGGGAAUGGUAGGGUAAGUUAGGUUGAAUCCCUUUAUAAGUGUCCAACCCUAAAAAUUUAUAUAGACCUUUAAGCCCUAGGAAAUUGGUAUCUCGAAUUUCCAAAUACAAUAUUUGUGAAUUUUCAAAAAAAAUAUUUUAUAUAUUCUAACAAAUUUGGAAUAAGCGCUUGAGUGCAUUCACUCACCACUUGAGCAUCUCGGGUGCUUGAGUACUACUAGAGAAACACUUGAGUGGUUUUAGUCUUUGAGCGUUGCUUCCAUCACUCGAGUGUCCCAUGUUUUUCCAAAAUAUUAAUUUCAGCCUUUUUAAAGCACAACAAAUAUACCGAUCCACGUUAACCUUUGAUUGAACACUUAACUUGUCACUAGCUAAACCUUUUUAGACUUACUUGUGACUUUCCGGUUGAGCCUAAGGACCUUGAAUCUUCAAUGUAGAGUAAGUCACUAUAUAAAAAGUCUUCUAACCCAUAAAAUAAAUUGGAACAAAAUUGCCAACAACAAUGUAAAAGAUCUAUUGUUUGAACAAUCUCUUCAUUUGUCAAUUUUAUGACAAAAUAUCAUUACAUAAACCCCCCAAACUCUCAAAAUGGAGUUCACAUAACACUUAACAACUCUCAUCUAAAAACAACAUGAGGAAAGACAAAGGUCGAUCACAUCAAAAUGUAAAGAUUUUCUACCAAAAUUGUAACUUACACACACAAAAACAAUUACACCAAGGGUAAAACAUUUUAUGACAUAACGAGGAAGCAAAACAGGAUAGUAAAGAGAUAAGAUCAAUGUGAAAAAUCCAAAGAGAAACACACUUGAUUACAUGUAAAUCGACCAAACAUAUGAAAAUCUUUGCAAGUAGCAAUUAGUCAACAGAAGAGAGCACCAAGUGUUUUCACCAACCAUAAUAUACAUGAUGAGGAUCAUGUAAUAAAGCUUCCUAUGCAUAUUGUGGUUUAAAUAAGUUCGAAAUAACACUAAGAGAUUUUUCCUAAGAACUAUUUGUGUCAAGUGUCUUUCUGAAACUUUCAAAACAUUUAACCAAAUAGUAAUUUAGUUUCCCCAAUAUCUUAAAGUUAGUUUUUCCUAAUAUUUCAAAAAGAAAAAUAAACAUUCUCUAUCAAUAAUGAAAAUCUCUCCAUAGUUCUUCCCCUAUGUAAUAAUACUUCCCAUCAAUAAUGCAAAUCUCCCCAUAGUUCUCCCCUUAUGUAAUAUGUUGCUUCUUAAUUAACAUUUAAUAAUUCUCUCAUUUUUUGUCACAAAAUGGGCAAAGUAAGAUGAACAAGAGAAACACAUUUUUUUUUUCUUGGAAAAUACCCACUCCAUUCAAGCACAAAACCAAAACUUGAACCUUAGCUCUUUGGAUCAAUAGUUAUUUCCCUUCUCUCGUUCAUUUUCUCAAGAACUAGACAAAGCCCUAAACCACAAAACAACACAAGAAAACAAAACACACAAUUAUCAAUGGAAAAAACUACCAGCAAACCCAAAAAGUAAGUCCUAAAUUAGACGACCUACAAAAAGAAAAAGAAAAAAAGAGAACCUAGAUCCAACAAAAGAAUCAAAAACCCAGAAAAUAAAAAAUGGAAAAUAAACCCAUAUCCAAAAAAAGAAUCAUAAACUGAGAUCCCACUUAAUGAAAAAAUAUAUAUUGAAAAUGAUAUUGGAAACUCAAAACCAUUGUGUAGGAAGAACUCAUUUUAUUCAAGCCUUAGGACAAGAAAAAAAAAAGCAUGAAAAUAAAUAACAUCUAGAUAUGCAGAAACAAGAAUAAAUUUGUUGGUGAAGCUAACUUUUGUUUCUUGCUACUAGAGACGCUUUCAUUGGAGGAAAAAAAAAACACAGGUAAGGAAACAUAAAAAGUAGGGAAAAGAAAACAUGGAGAACGGUUGUUCUUUGAAUAGUGAAAAAACAACAAAAACAUUUUUUUUUUAUUCUUUGAAAUGAGGCCUUCUGAGAACAUGAGAACCAUAAAAAUAAAAAAAAUAAAAAAAAACACCUCAUUUCCCAAACAUAUUUUUAGUAAUUUUUUUUUUCAAGAAUAAAAAGCAAUUCUUGAAAACAACAACCAAAUAGACUCAUAGUUUCUCACCAUUUAGCACGAACAAGAGUAAGGAGAGGGGUGUCUUGGAAAGCCUAAGGUCGAUGGGGCGCUCUACCUUGACACGGCAACCCCGGAGAGUAGAAUAGAAACGAUUGUACGUGAGCUUCCUCAGAGUAGAAGCACUUUAAGGAAAAAUCAUCCAAAUUGAAAAGAUCCUAGAGAGGAAUGCCUCGUAUGGUCUCCAAAGACGUGGGAAGGAUUGUCUCCCUAGGACAAUGUUUACUAGUCAUAUGAAUAACUAAUGAAAACAAGAAAAACACAAAAAAUGAAGAAAAAUAUCCGACAAAAGUAAUAUUCUAGAAGUACUCAAAACAAAGUCCUAAAUAAUAUUGUGUAGACGAAAUGAUGAAAAACAAUAUGAAACAAAUGUUAGAAAGCAAAUAGCAACAACUUGAAAUGUUUGAAAUAGGUAAGAAGAUAAUAGAAAUUCAAAAUACGUGUUAGAUGGAUUUAUAUAGCCACUCAAGCUGUUGGAUGAAAGAUUAGUGCUCAAGUAGUUUAAGUGCUUGAAGUGGGGCAAAAAACAACUUAAAUACCACUCGAGUGGUACGAUUGUGGGAAGAGACAUUGGAUAUAACUUAUGGUCGCUUGAGCACAAUAGCUUGAGCGAUGAAGCCAAUGCUUGAGUACUGGAAGGAACGCUCAAGCACUUGAGACAAGGCAAAAAAGCUUCAAAAAAGAAAUAAAGCAUUAACUAAAUAAUUAAAGGGGCAAAAGUAACCAAUUGAAAGUAAAAGACAAAAAAGAACUUUUGGAAAACAAGUUAACCAAUCAAAUUAGGGCAAAUUUAAAUUAUAAAACUCGCAAAAUUAUAAUGAAGAUGUAAUAAUAUAAGUAGAAUGUCCAUAUAAUUUGUGUCAACCAAAAAAAGAAUGAUAUUCCAAAUGCAAAGAGCAGAGUUAAUCCUAAUCUUAGUCUAAAAAUUUGACGCAUAACUAUCAAAGUAUAAGAAGGUCAAGAUAAAAACAUAAAAAAAUGUUCAAGAGAAAACAACUUAUUGUCUAGUUUUAUAUUUUGAGAUUGAAUUCUUAGAAGGAAUCAAGUCAUGUCUUUAGUCAAAUUAGAAUUACAUCUAGUCAAUUUGUUCUUAGAUCAUCGGAUUUCUAUUUAACAUGACAUCAUUGAUCUACAUAUGACUGACCGAAAUUCUCUAUUGUAUCAAAAUACUUAACCUUUUUACGUAACAACUUUGGUCAAGAAAAAAACUAGAGAAAGAGUCACUAUGGGUUUUGUAGUACUUCAGGUAUUGUCCUUAGGGACUGGCUUAUGGAAAUUGUCAAUACUAAAAUAAAUGAAUUGCUUUUGUUUAAAUCCUAAAGUGAAAAACAAUUUGGGAAUUAUCUUUUAUGAAAUGGGAUUAAGUAAAUGAAACUAAAUUAAUAACAAAAUGAAUAUUGAUUUUUAAUUCAAUCAAUCAAGUUUGGGGCUUUCCACAAUCCAACUUAAGGUAUAUAAAUAGAGAGAACAAGGGUUUCUUAAGUAAAGUGAUCUUAAGGUUUUGGGAUCCUUGGCUGCUUGUGAUCAACUUGAGUUAUAUAAGUCAAAAUUGCAUCCGAAACCUAUUUUUUCAUUUUUAAAAUAGAUUCCUAAAAUCAUCAAAUGAAUGAGAUUGAUUACCAUUUUAAGAUUUGGCUUUUUAACCAUUCCUACUUCUUAUAGCUUUGUUUUGGGUUAAUAACAAUAGAGAAGACGAGGAUAACUAAUGAUCAAGAAUUACUAAGAAUCACUAGUAUCGGGUAAUAACCUAUUGUAUCAUUCCCUAAACUAACUCACAAGGAUAAGAUAAAAAAAAAUUGAUAAAUUGUCACCCAACCAAUAAUUAAUCUCAAUGUUAUAAUAAUUUACCCAUUGUCCCUAUAGGUUCCCUAGCCCUUAGGUUUUCAUGCUUCAAGCCCCAAGUUGGCUUCUUAGCCUCUUAUGGGAGUGAUGUCACAUUUACAAUUCAUAAUAAGGUAAAAAUCCAUAAUUUGAACCAAAAGGAACUAAAAACAAUAUAUUUAAUAAAGAAAAUAAAGAAAACAAACUUAAGUUCUCGUCUUCUUCCACUUUCAAUGUCAAACUCUCCGGAAAAAGAUCCAAGAUCCAAGAUUUCUAAAACCUAGAACUAAGAGAGUUUAUAUAAUAUCAUCAAUUACCUAACAUGUGACACACUCUCAUUGGCCACUUAUUACAAAAUAAUUACCUAAAAAUGACUAAAAAAGAAUUAAAUAGCCAAUUCUAGUAGUAUGGGGCCCAAUUAGGGCGGAUGGAGUGCCCUAGAUGCAAUUCUCGAGGUAGAGGAGGCGAAACAUCAAAGUAGCAGUGGGUGAAUUCGAAAUUGGGGUCAUUUAGAAUUGGAUUUUGAGUUCAUAAGUUGAAUUUCAAAAUGGCCCUUCAACUUUGCAUAGUUAUCUUCAAAUGACUAUAACUUCUUCAUUUCACCUUCAAUUUGUACAACAUUUGAAGCGUUGAACUUCUAACUUCCCAAGCUCAAAACAAUAUAUAGUAUGACUAAAAUGGACUUCAAGAAGUAGUAAAAAAAUUUCUUCAAAUUCAGAGUACAUGGUGCAAGCAGAUUUUGAGUUUUAAAUUUCCAUGCAGUUGAAUCUUGCUUCAUGCCUCAUUUCCCCAUGUUUUCUUGCCUUUUUUAUUACACCAUAAUGGUCAUUUAUAAUCUUCCAAACUCAUGAUAUCCUUGUCUUGCGUUUUCUCAUGGUCCAUGAGUCUUAACUCGUUUAUUUCAUCAUUUAACCCUUUCUUGAUCUUUCAAAAUCUAAACUAAUUCAACUUGCACGCUUUUUUUUCCCUUGAACUUGAGAUAAUUCUCCAAAAUAUAAGUUAAACUCAUGGCUAGGGCCUUAGCAUCGAUUUAGGUCAAUUUGGGUGAUUUGAAUGUCCUUUGGGACACAAAUGAUAUCGAAUAUGUGUCAUUAGAGCAUAUAUUUUGGCUCUAAUCAACGACAUAACUUAACUCCCCAUUAAUUAGAUAUUUUUUUGUUUUUCUUUUAAAGUGAAAGCAUUGUACACCAUGAUCUCCUAUAUUUUUUCUUUAUUAUUGUCAUUAUUUUUUUUGUUACUAUUAUUAUCGUUAUUGUUAUUGUUAUCUUUAUUUUUAUUCAUGGUUUGUCUUUGAAUCUACUUUGGGGGUAUUUCCAAAUAUUGAAAUGAGUGGCAUAAAAGUAGAGAUAGAAUUUUUGGAGAGAAUAUAUAUGAAUUGAUCUUAGCCAAGAAAUCAAUGGAGCCUUAACUCAUUUCAACAAACAAUAAUAUUGAUCUUAGUCAAACAAGGUAUGUCUAUAAUAAGAUUUAGCCUUAUUAAGAAACCAAAAUCUACUUUAUUAGUUAAACUUAAGAAGUUUUCCUUUUUGAUAAAUUACAAAGUGUAACUUUUGUUGAUUUUCCACUAUACAAAAAUGUUUAUUUAUUUGAAAUCUUGUAUCCCAAAAGUAAUUAACAAAUAUCUCAAGAAAAUAGAAAUCAAAUCUUGUAGAUUUAGUAUAUUUCUCUAAGCCAAAAACUUGAGAUAUUACAAAUCAUGCUAAUAAAGCCAGUAAACAUAAAUAACUAAAUGCUCAAAUAAGAUAUGAUGAAGGCCAAAGGAAUAAGUAAAAGAAGCAAUGAAGAACACUCCCUUUGAGGCCUAAAUUUAUGAUAUUAAUCAACUUGGUAUAUGCCCAAAGAUUUCCUAAGGAAUUCAAACCCAAGAGAAUCCAACGGUUUGGUGAAAAUAUUUGCCAAUUAUUGAUCUGUUGGGAGAAACUCUAUAGAGACAACCUAUUCUUCAAUUAAAUUACUAAUAAAAUGGUGAUAGAUUGCAAUGUGCUUACUACAAGAAUGAAGAAUAGGAUUUUUAGAAAUGUUAAUAACACUAAGUUGUUAUAGAGAAUGCUCAUCGUACCUUGGUCAAUUCCAUAAUCAUUAAGCAUUUGUUUAAUCUAAAAAAGUUGGGUACAACAACUCCUUAUAGCGAUGUAUUCUAAUUCCUCAAUAGAUAGUGAUAUAGAAUUUUGUUUCUUACUAAGCCAAACUAUUAAACAAUCAUUGAUAAAGAAGUAAGCACCGAAAAUGCUUUUUUGAUCUUCUACAUUGUUAGCUUAGUCAACAUCAAAAUCAUAAAGGAAUCAUAACCCAUAAUCUAAAGUCCCAUCAAUAUAAUGAAUAAUUCUUUUCAUAGAAGUUAAGUGUGACUCUUUGGGGUUUACUUGGUACCAAACACAAGCUCCCACACUAAAUGAGAUGUCUAGACGACACACAAUAAGAUAUAACACACUCCUUAUUAUGCUCCUAUAAAGCUUUUUCUGAACAUACUUACCAAAUAUGCCCUUGCAAAGCUUAGUGGUCAUGCUUAUGGGUGUCCUAAAGUGCUUGGUGGAUUCAAGGCCAAAUUUCUUUAUUAAUUCCCUAUCAAAAUUAUACUGAGAUAGAAAAAUACCAUCUUUAAGUUGCCUAAUUUGUAGUCUUAGGAAGAAAUUGAGUUUAUUGGCCAUGCUCAUCUCAAGUUAUGAUUUCAUCUCCUCCAAAAAGCUAAAGGUAAAGUCACUCGAGGUGGCUCCAAAAACUAUAUCAUCUACAUAAAUCUGAACCACUAAUAACUUAGACUUAGACAUAUAAAGGGGGGGAGGGGGGUGAAUUGGGUUUUUCAAAAUCUUUUCAAAUACAACAAGUUCAAGCACAAUAAAAACAAAAAUAAAGAGAUAGAGUUAGAGAAUUCAAACUUGGGUUUUAUAGUGGUUCGACACUUCCUUGCCUAUGUCCACUCUCCUCAAUCUCCUAACUGAGUGAGGGUUCCACUAACUUGAAGCUUCAACCAAGCUUCCAAUCUUCUUAUACUUGGAUUCCAGCUCCAAUAGGUUCUUACACAAUUUCUUCAAGAUUCAAACCUCUUGAAGGCUUUAAUACUCAGCUUUUACAAGAAUGAAUCCCUCAACCUAGCUUGAUAAUUCAAAUACAAGACAAAGCUAGGAUGACACACAAAAGUGUACUAAAGGAUAUGCAAGUGAUGAUUUAAUGCACUAAGAAAGAAAUGAGAGCUUUUUGGUCAAGAAUAGGUAGGUAGACAAUUGAUUGCAAGUGUUCUCUUGUCAAUAAAUGAAAUAGAGCUCUCAAUUUAUAGGUUUCUAAGCUCGGGAGCCAAAAACAGCAAAAGGUAACCUCGACUAGUCGAGCUAGGGGUCGACCGGUUCACUAGCCAUUGGAGCAUUUAAUGCUUGACAGGUUAUCGUUAACUCGACCAGAAGAGAAUAACCUCGAUCGGGAAGAGAAGGCUACUGGGAGAGAGAAGAUUUUGGGCAUCCCUCGAUCAAACAAAGGCAAUCGGUCAACCGGUUGGCCAUAGCCUCAACCGGUUGAGCCUUUUGGCCCCUAAAAAACCUAUCUUUUUCAAUUCCUUUCUUUUCUAACACUUAGGCAAGGUCCUUAGGUGAAUUGUUAUGCCAAUUUUAAAACAUUUUGCCUAAGGUACAUUUGUUAAAACUCGGGUUUUAAUGAAAUCGAAGUUUUAAAGGAUAAACUGAGUUUUCUAAGUUGCAUGAAAUGGUAUGAAAAUCCUAAGUGCACUCAUGCAUUCAUCUUACAUUCAUUUCCUAUGAUUACAAGUCUUCCAAAAGUCUCGAUCUUGUAUCCAUUUGGUCAUUUGAUGAAUUUUCGAGUUUAUGCUUGAGAUUCUUAAUCAUUAAACGAAUUAAUCAUUUAACCAUGGUUUGUUAUCAUCAAAACCCGAUUAGGAGAACCCUUGGGCUAACAAUCUCCCUCUUUUUGAUGAUGACAAACCUUGGUUAUCUAGGAGAGAAAAAAAAAUCUUUCUCUCAAACCAAUCAUGGAUCAAUCAAUCAAUUUUCAAUAGGAAAUGAUAUAAAGCGUGAAAAUUUGAAUAGGAAACAAUGGAUCAUGAAAGUAGCAUAUCAAUAUAUAUGGUAACAUCGCAUGUACACGAAAACAUAACAUAUAUGCUAAUUCAGAUAGAUAUGACAAUGAUAUGCAUGAGGGUCUCCUAGAUCCUAGAUAUUUCUCCCCCUUUGGCAACAUAAAAAAAAGAUUGAAGGGAAACUCUAGAUAAACUCAAGGUUGAGGGGGUGGAGGUGGAAACACGAAGCGAAGGUAAGCCAUCAUGUCCUCAUGCUGACUCACCUAGCGACUCUCAAUGCGCUCAAUACUCUACUGGAGAUGCUCGACUGUAGCCUGCUACUGAUCCAUACGCUGCUCUAUACACUCAAAUCUCUGUUGGAAGUGCUCAAAACGAGAAGUGAAGCUAGUUUGAUACUGAUCUAUGCGAUCCUCUAUGAAAUAGAAUCGAGUAUCACUGACAACGGUGAGCUCCUCCAUACGAGUCCCAAGUGAGCUGAUAAAUCCAUCCAAGGCGCAUGAUCAGGAGCGUGAGGUGCCUGAGAUGGUAUCUCUGUGUGAGGAAGCUCGGUGAAUGAGGGUUGAGAGGAUGGUCCCGCUGUAUAAGACGACUCAAUCAUCAUAGGCUCUGAGAAUGUGGCCUCAAAAUGAAUACCUUUUGACUGAGGUGGAGGACGAAUGUCAAGUUUGGCCUCUUCCUCUACUCCGGAAUGCAUCUGUCCCUAUCCCCGGGCCUGUGCUGGAGGUCGCUCAGCUCUCCUAAUCCAGGAUUCAUCGGGGGCCUUUUCAAACUUCAUCCGCCCCAAGGACUGCUCAUCAUAAGUAUCAUAACUAGUAGGGGCCUCGAAGUUCGUCUCUAUACUCAAAUCAACCCCUGUAUCCUUUAAUACUCGAGUGAGGAAGUGGUCGUAAGGGAGUACUCCGGUCGUGCUCUCAUAGUAGGAUAUCAUAUGCAUCAUCAUCAGAUACCCUAUAGGAAUCCGUCUCCCUAUCAGAAUGGAGUCCACUAUAAAAAGCCUCUAGGUAGGAGACCUUGUCUCGAUGUCCUCCUCGUGGCAAUAGGAUAGAGUAGAUCAUGUGAUGAAGGACUCGGCCGGUCACAGUCAGGUUGUGUGCCGAUGGUUUACCCAUUCCCUAAGCGUUUGCAAGUCCGCGCAACCUCUGAAUAGCCUCUCUAGGCUCGAAUCCCGACACAGUGGGCCAAACCUUGGACUCAUACACCCGUAAUCCAACUGAAGGAAUUUUGAAAAUGCGAUAAAUGCUCUCCGAUCUUAGUUUGAUCUCAACACCUCUAAUAGUGGACAUGACCGGUCUUCCAAGUCCAUAGAUCACCCAUGAAUAAAAUGCCCGCAGUAGAGUCGGGAAGAUCUGCUUGAAAAUCGUUACAACUGGCAGCCAUCCCAUUCGAUUGAAGAGUCCCUCAAACCCGAAGUAUUGAAGUUGGGAGAAAUUGAUACUUCUCCUUGGAACGACUUUCCUCUGGGCGAAUUUUUGCUUGUAUCUCUGAUAAUCUUUGACAGAAAUGAAACGGGUCAUGUUAUACCUUGCCUUUCGGUUAGCCUCCAUCUGCUCAGGCCGAGAUGGCUGAACAAGGCGCUUGCCCUGAGCCCUAGAAGCAGUCGUCUCUCUCCUAGGUGCCAUCAGAAAAGCGAAAAAGGAAGAAAGGAAGUCAGAAGAGAUAAUGAACCCAAACAAGAGAGAAUGAAAUCCAACUAGAAGCCCUAAGCACACGGAGAUGGAGCUGAACCUGGCUGAGGCACGUGGUCAGAGAGGAAUCGCUCUCAAUUAACAAGGCUAAAAAACAUCACAAAAUUAACUCCAAGGCCUUCAAACGGUCCAAGAUCCAACCCAAAAUGGUCUCUAGAAGCAGGAAUGUGAAGAGUUUUCAAGGAAUGGAGGAGAACAAUGGAGAAAAUGAAGUACGGGAGCCUCUUUAAAUUCCCAGCCCCAACAAACCACUUGGUCAACAGUCAACGGUCAAUGCUCCAAAUUUUUUAUACUUUUUCUUGUCUCGUGAUCCUCUCCCUGCCCUUUUCAGUUGAAAUCCCCAAUUUUUUUUAUAUCCAAUGCCAAGGGAAUUUUGAUUUUUGGUCAAAAUUUGACAUUUUUCCUAAGAGAAUUUCUAUGUGAUGCAUAUGAUAUGAAAUUCAUGUAAUAAUAAGGUAUAUUCAACAAGAAUUCAUCAAGCAAUCAUUUGAUCAUAAAGAAAUCACCCCUAGUUGUCUUCUAAUAUCAACAAAUUGCUUUUCACUUAGAGGUUUUGUAAAAAUAUCGACAAGUUGAUCUUUUGUGCUUACAAAUUCAAGUGUAAUGUCACAUUUUUGUACAUAGUCUCUAAGAAAAUGGUGUCUAAUCUCUAUAUGCUUAGUCCUAGAUUGUUGCACGGGAUUUUUUGAAAUGUUUAUGGCACUAGUGUUAUCACAUUUAAUAGGAACAUGCUCAAAAAACAAAUUGAAAUCACUAAGUGUUUGUUUCAUCCAAAGGAUUUGUGCACAACAUAAACCGGCUGCUAUGUAUGCGGCUUCCGCAGUUAACAAGGCUACCGAAUUUUGCUUCUUACUAUGCCAUGAAACAAGCGAGUGUCCUAGGAAAUGACAAGUGCCACUAGUGCUUUUCCUUUCAACUUUACAACCGACAAAGUCGGCAUCCGAGAAUCCAAUUAAUUCAAAGUUAUCACCCUUAGGAUACCAUAGACCUAUGUCCAUUGUCCCUUUUAAAUAUCUAAGAAUUCGUUUUACGGCACUUAAGUGAGAUUCUUUAGGACAAGAUUGAAAUCUAGCACACAAGCAUACACUAUACAUGAUGUCGGGUCUACUAGUGGUCAAAUAUAGAAAAGAACCUAUCAUGCCUCUAUACAUAGUUGAGUUGACGGACUUACCUUUCUCAUCCUUGUCAAGGUUGAUGGAUGAGCUCAUUGGAGUCUUCAUUGUUUUGGCUUCCUCCAUGUUGAACCUUUUGAGAAGAUCUCUUAUAUACUUUGCUUGAUUGAUGAAGGUUCCUUCCUUUAGUUGCUUGAUUUAAAGUCCAAGGAAGAAGUUAAGUUCUCCAAUCAUGCUCAUUUCGAACUUACUAUGCAUGCAUUUAGAAAAUUCUUCACAAAGAGAGACAUUAGUAGCUCCAAAAAUGAAAUCAUCAACGUAUAUUUGCACUAAGAGCAUGCCAUUUUCUUUGGUUUUUAUGAAAAGAGUUGUGUCAAUUUUUCCCAUUUUAAAACCCUUUUUCAAAAGAAAUUUACUCAAUCUUUCAUACCAUGCUCUAGGUGCUUGUUUCAAACCAUAAAGUUCCUUUUUAAGUUUAAAAACAUGAUUAGGAAAGUUAAAACUUUGAAAACCGGGUGGUUGUUCAACAUAUAUCUCUUCAUUUAUAAAGCCAUUUAAGAAAGCACUUUUCACAUCUAUUUGAUAUAAAACAAAGUCUUUAAAACAUGCAAAGACAAAUAACAUCCUAAUAGUUUCCAAUCUAGCUACGGGAGCAAAGGUUUCUUCAUAAUCUAUCCCUUCUUGAUUAAAACCUUGGGUAACCAAUCUUGAUUUAUUCCUUACAAUUAUGCCAUUUUCAUCCAUUUUAUUUCUAAAGACCCAUCUAGUUCCAAUAACACUUUGAUUUUGAGGUCUUGGCACUAAUUCCCAUACUUCACUUCUUUCAAAUUGGUUUAACUCUUCUUGCAUAGCAAUCAUCCAAUUUUCAUCAACUAGAGCAUCAUUUAUAUUUUUAGGUUCAAUUUGAGAGAUAAAAGCAAGAUUAUUGCAAAUAUUUCUAAGAAAUGAUCUAGUUCUUACCCCACUAGAUGGAUUACCUAUAAUUUGAUCUUGUGGGUGGUUGAUGACAAACUUCCAAUCUUUAGGAAGGUCUUGACUUGAUUCACCAUGCACUUGUUGAGAAGGAGGUAGUGCAAAAGGUGAUUCUUCUUUCUAGGAAUCCUUUACAAUUUCUUCUUGUGGCCUUCUAUCUUCAAUUUAUAAUUUUCCCAUGGAGGUCUCCAAACCUAAAUCAUCAUCAAAACUCUCUCUUUCUUGGAGAGAAUUGUUAGAUUCAUCAAAAAUAACAUGGAUGGCUACAACCAUGGUUCUUUUGUUAAAAAAUCUAAAGGCUUUACUUGAAGUUGAGUAACCAAGAAAAAUUCCAACAUCUAAUUUUGCAUCAAAUUUUCCAAGAUUGUCUUUGGUGUUUAAUAUAAAGCAUUUGCACCCAAAGACUUUGAAAUAGUUAAUGUUGGGUUUCUUGUUUUUCCAAAGCUCAUAGGGAGUUUUCUUAAGAAUAGGCCUCAAUAAAAUUCUAUUUAAAACAUAACAGGAAGUGUUAACCACUUCGGCCCAAAAGUAUUUUGGUAAAUUGUUUUCAUUUAGCAUGGUUCUAGUCAUUUCUUGAAGAGUUCUAUUUUUCCUUUCAACUACCUUAUUUUGUUCAGGAGUUCUAGGAGCCGAAAAAUUAUGGUUAAUACCAUGCUCAUUGCAAUAGUCUUCAAAAUCAAUAUUUUCAAACUCUCUCCCAUGAUCACUUCUUAUACAAGUAAUUGUAAAACCUUUUUAAUUUUGAACCUUGUUGCAAAACUUUGAAAACUCGUAAAAAACUUCAUUAUUUUUACUUAAAAAUAAGACCUAAGUGUAUCUAGAGAAGUCAUCCACAAUAACAAAUGCAUAAGAUUUUCCUCCAAGGCUUGGUGUCCUAGAGGGACCAAAUAAAUUCAUAUGCAACAAUUCAAGAGGCCUAGUUGUUGAAAUGAAAUUUUUGUUUUUAAAAGAGUUUUUGAUUUGUUUUCCCAUUUGACAAGCUUCACAAAUUGUCUUUUUGAAAAUUUAUUUUGGGAAGGCCUCUAACAAGUUCAUCUUUGUUGAGUUGGAAAAUGAGGUCCAUGUUAGCAUGUCCCAACCUCCUAUGCCACAACCAACUUUGAUCAUGCAUGCUUGAAAAGCAUUUAUCAUGGUCAUCAUAUUUUGAAAUAUUUAUAGCAUAAACAUUAUCACAUCUAUGGCCCAUGAAGAUGGUUUUAUCAUUUUGAAUAUCUUUGAUGAUGCAAUGAGAUGCUUCAAAAAUCACUUUAAAACCUUUGUCAUAAAGUUGACUUAUGCUCAAAAGAUUAUGUUUUAAACCAUCCACUAAUAAAAUACUUUCAAUAAGAGAGGAUGUGCCAUUACUAAUGUUGUCUUGACUGAUGAUCCUUCCUUUUGCAUUGUUUCCAAAGGUAACAUAUCCUCCAUUUCUCUUUGUAAGGAAAACAAACUUGGAUUCAUCCCCAGUCAUGUGUCUUGAGCAUCCACUAUCCAAGAACCACUUAUCCUUCUUUGAACCCUACAAAAUAAAAUUUAAGUUGAUUUAGGUACUCAUAUCUUUUUGGGUCCUUGAGGGUUAGUGACCUUGGAUUUUUCAACCCAAACCUUUUUAGCUUUAGCAUUUGAAUUCUUUUGAGAACCAUUUCUUAAGGGACAUGUACUACUAAUGUGCCCUCCUCUUCCACAAAAGUUGUAAGUGGUAGAAGGACUUGCACUUGCGGAUUCUCUUACAAAGUAGUUUUUAAAAUGCUUUUUAUUUUUUGAAGAUUUGAAUCCUAGCCUUGUUUGUCAAAAACACAUUUUUAGUUAACUAAGAUCAUUUCAAAAGAUUUUUUUUCCACAAGAGAAAAUUGAAAGAGAGGAGGUCAACCAUUCAUUUUUCUUUUUCAAAAUCUCAUUUUCUUUUUCAAGAUGAGUUUUAGAUAUUUCAACAAUUGAAAUUUUUUCUUUUACUUCUUCAAGUUCUUUUUCAAGUUCUUGAAUUUUUUUUUUAGAGAAUUAUUUUCAAACUAAGUUUUUCAAAAUCCUCAUAUAAUUCUUCAAAAACAUCAUGCAUAUCUUCAUCAUUAAAGUUAUAGUUUACCUCAUCAAGAUCAUCUAUUUCCAUGAAGCACAUGUUUGCCACUUCCUUCUCAUUUUCUUCUUUGGAGGAUUCUUCACUUUCAUUCCAAGUGGCCAUCAUUGCCUUCUUCAUUCUUCUCUUAGUUUCACUCUUGUAGAGAGGACAAUCAUAUUUAAUGUGUCCCGGUUUUUUGCGUUUGAAGCAUAUCAAAUCUCUUUUCUCUUCCCAUUUCUCCUUGUCACCAUGGGAUGAAGAUUCCUUUUUAGAAGGAUCUCUUUCUUUCUCUAAACCUUUCACCUCUCAUGUAUUUGUUGAGUUUUCUUGUGAUGAGGACUAAAUCAUCAUCUUUAUCACUUGGUUUUUUUUCUUCAACAUCUUCUUCUUCCUUGGUUGUAGCUUUGAGGGUUAUGCUCUUCUUCUUUUUGUAUUCACCCUCUUGUAGCUUCUUUGUCAAAUUGAUCUCAUAUGUCAUUAAUGACCCUAUGAGCUCUUCCAUAGGUAGCUUGGUCAAGUCCUUUGCUUCUUGAAUUGCGGUGACAUUUGUAUGCCACUUUGAUGGGAGAGACCUCAAUAUCUUCAUCACCUUCUCGGAUUCCUUGUAGGUCUUUCCCAAUGCUUCUAGACCAUUGACAAUAUUGGUGAUUCUAGUGAUCAUCUCAACAAUAGUCUCAUUUUCUUUCAUUGAAAACAAUUCAUAGUUAUGAACAAGUAAAUUUAUUUUUGACUCUUUUACUUGAUUUGUUCCUUCAUGAGUUAUUUUAAGCAACCUCCAAAUUUCUUUAGCCGAUUUGCAUUAACAUAUUCUAUUAUAUUCAUUUCUAUCCAUAGCACAUUGCGAAGUAAAAAUGACGUUAGCAUUUAAUUGAAAGUUUCUUCUAUCAAGCUCAUUCCAUUCUUGCUUGGAUUUUGGAACCAAAACUCCAUCAACUAGUUUAGUGGGAAAAGUUGGGUCAUCUUCAAUGACGUCCCAUACAUCUAAAUCAAUUGAUUGUAACUACCAAGUCAUUCUAGUUUUCCAAUAGGGAUAGUCAAUUCCCGUAAAGAAUGGAGCUCUAUGUUUUGAAAAAAUUUCAAUUUGAGAUGAGCUUGAUGGAAUAGUCAUUUCCUCUUAGACAAUUAAGUCUUUAAGACAAGAGGUUUAGCUCUGAUACCAAUUGAGAAAAUAAAGGCUAGGUUUAAUUAAGAAAAACACCCAAAAUUGGGGGAGAGGGGGGGGGGGGGUGAAUUGGGUUUUUCAAAAUCUUUUCAAACACAACAAGUUCAAGCACAAUAUAAACAAAAAUAAAGAGAUAGAGUUAGAGAACUCAAACUCGGGUUUUAUAGUGGUUCGACACUUCCUUGCCUAUGUCCACUUUCCUCAAUCUCCUAACCAAGUGAGGGUUCCACUAACUUGAAGCUUCAACCAAGCUUCCAAUCUUCUUACACUUGGAUUCCGACUCCAAUAGGCUCUUACACAAUCUCUUCAAGAUUCAAACCUUAUUAAGGCUUUAACACUCAGCUUUUACAAGAAUGAAUCCUUCAACCUAGCUUAAGGAUAGCUCAAAUACAAGACAAAGCUAGGAUGACACACAAAAGUGCACUAAAGGAUAUGCAAGUGAUGAUUUAAUGCACUAAGAAAGAAAUGAGAGUUUUUUGGUCAAGAACAGGUAGGUAGACAAUUGAUUGCAAGUGUUCUCUUGUCAAUAAAUAAAGUGGAACUCUCAAUUUAUAGGUUUCUAAGCUCAGGAGCCAAAAACAGUAAAAGGUAACCUCGAUCGAUCGAGCUAGGGGUCCACCGGUUCACUAGCCGUUUGAACAUUUAAUGCUUGAUAGGUUACCGUUGCCUCGACCGAACAUCAACCGUUGCCUCGAUCGGACCUCAACCGGUCCUUGACCGGGCCUCGAUCAGGAAGAGAAUAACCUCGAUCGGGAAGAGAAGGCUAUUGGGAAAGAGAGAAGAUUUUGGGCAUCCCUCGAUCGGACAAGGGCAACUGGUCAACCGGUUGAGUCUUUUAACCCCGAAAACCUAUCUUUUUCAAUUCCUUUCUUUUCUAACACUUAGGCAAGGUCUUUAGGUGAAUUAUUAUGCCAAUUUUAAAACAUUUUUGCCUAAGGUACAUUUGUUAAAACUCGGGUUUUAAUGAAAUUAAAGUUUUAAAGGAUAAACCGAGUUUUCUAAAUUGCAUGAAACGGUAUGAAAAUCCUAAGUGUACUCAUGCAUUCAUCUUACAUUUGUUUCCUAUGAUCAUAAGUCUUCCAAAGUCUCGAUCUUGUAUCCAUUUGGUCAUUUGAUGAAUUUUCGAGUUUAUGCCGGAUAUUCUUAACCAUUAAACCAAUUAGUCACUUAACCAUGAUUUGUUAUCAUCAAAACCCGAUUAGGAGAACCCUUGGGCUAAUAUCAUAUUUUGUAAAUGUUGCUUUUCACGCCAGAUUUUGUGAUAAAAGCUAUAUUUUGGUAUUAUCAAAAUUUUCACGUCUAAAAUGAAAAGCAUGGUUCAAGGACAAGCUAUUUUGUAAAAGGCUUUUAGUGACAAGUCCUUGUUUUAAACAUCUCAUUCUUUAUUGAGAAGAAGCUCAAUUCAAUAUAGGGGAUCCAUUGCUCAAGUCUUGCACAUUUUACUUGAAGCCAAGUCGACUAAAGGUUAAUCUUUCGGCCAAGGUUAGGUUGAAUUCAACUUAAUGAUUUUUCAAAUUGGGUCAUGAUUAUUGAGAUAUGUAUAGAGGUCAAAUUUGGACUUUUAUGCCACCUUGCCCAUCAUGGUGCAACGAAAUUAAGUAUAAAUUGAUCAAAUUGAAAACCCACCAAACCUAGGGUUUUUUAUGAGUUUAUUUUUAAAAAUAUAAUACUUUAUAUUCAUGUUAUUCAUGUUAAAAAUUAAAAGAUAAUUUUAUCUUAAAUACAAAAAGAAUAAGAAACACAUUAUGUCUGUUAUCAAAAAUUAUUCUUUGAAAAGAUGAGUUGUAAAUAUAAAUUUGUUUUUGAAAAGAUAUUUUUAUAAGUAAAAUUAAUUUUUCAAAACACAAUUUUAAAAGUGAUGUGUUGUAUAAAAUAUUAAUUUUAAAAAAAUAAUAGUAUUUACAUUAAAAAUACUUCAAAACUAUACGUACAAAAACUAAUAAGACUAGGUGUUGAAAAGUUCAGUUAGAUAUGAUUCCAAUUCUAUAGUAACAUUUUGAACAAUCAAUUUGGCUUUGGAGGAUUAAUUUCAAUCCAAUUACUACCCUUUUGACAAAAAAAAAAAAAAAAAUGACAAUUAACCUCGUAUCUUCCUCAUCCGAUGAUGAAAACACAUGCUAAGAUUAUUGUAAGAACACAUAAACGAGUUAAUAAUGCAUGAAAAUAAAUCAAUGAGUGCUCCACUUCUCAUUGUUCAUAAGUAAAUAUCAAGAAAAAGUUUCUUUUUCUUGCAACCUGUCCAUGCAAAAACCAUAAAGUCAAGAUUAAUUCAUGGAAGUUUUUCUCUUCCCGAAAAGUCAACCAUGAAAAUUGUCAUACAUAUGUUACGUAAAUGGAACAAAUUUAAUUUAUCCCAAUCCUCUUAGUUGACCUUACAGAGAUAAAAAUAUUCAUAUAUUCUUCGUCUUGGGCAUGCACUUAUCGUCGGUCAACAACUUUAAGAUAGGAGGAUUCGUUUGUUGAGCCAUCAACUUCUUCCUUUUCCUCAUUUCUCUUUCUUUUUUCCUUUCUCGUUUUUUAUUUGUACUUCCUUUUAAGUAUACCUCACUUAUUCCUUUCACAAGGGACCCUUUUGAAGUGGUAAGAGGAGUAAAAGAAGAGGUCCCUCAACUAAAAUGAUGGUUAAAAUAUUUGAUAGUGUAAUUUUGGUUCACGCCUUAAACCUUUUGACUGGUAUUAUUCAAGUUUAGAUUGGUAUUCUUUGUUUAAUAUCAGUAUGUGCAAUAAUUUCUAAUGUUAAUAUGAUUUAAUCUAUGGUGUAGCUUAGAGGUGCAACCUAGGCAAGUUGAUUCGAAUCCAACUUGAUAUUUGGGUGUACUUGGAUAAUUAUUUGUAAUAUUCUAGUAUGAUUUAGGUUAAGUUUUUCUAACAUAAACUUUAUUUGAGUUGGACUCAAACUAUGAUUUGAACAAUUAAAGUUUAAUUUGAACCCAAUAUAAUAUUUUUAUAACAUUUAUAAUAUAAAUUAUUUUAUAUAAUAAUAUUUAAUUUCUUUUUAGAUUUUUAUGAAAAAUAUCAAAUUAUAAUUAUAUCAUACACUUUUUCAUUUUUUUUUUGAAAGAUAUAUAAAUUUAUUUUUAUUUCCUUUAUUUUUUAUCUUAAAAUUUUGUUACAUUUACUAUUAAAAUUUUGGUAUAAAUAUGUACAUUAAAAAAAAAAAUUAUUGUAGAUGAAUUUCGAAUCAUUUAACUCAACCAACUUAAGUCUAAUCCAACUAAUUCAAUUCUAACUUGAUCAACUCGAACUCAAUCCAAGGUUUGAAAAAAUAGCUUGAGUAAGACCGGUGUUAAGUACCUCGGAUUAAAGAUUGGGUUGAGUUGAGAUUGUUAGGAUAAAGACCUUAAAAGUAUGACAUGCAAUAAAAUAAGUUUUCAUUAAUAUUUUUAUAUAUUAUAUUUUUAUAUUGUCAUGUUAUCCAUAAAUGCGUUAUUUAUUAUUUGAGCAUUCAAACUUGUAUCACUUGCAUUAUACAUGCUUUGAGUGCAUUAUAAGUUGUAUAGAAGAUUUGAAUUAUGAGUUCAUGAUAAUCUUCUUGUUGAAUAUCAAAAUUUGAUUGAAAAAUAUUUGAGAAAUCAUGAUAGUCUUGACUCACACAAAGUUAAAGAUCUUUAUGUAGAGGUGUUUUCUACCUAGGAAAAUAGUACAAAAAUGAAGGAAAGGCAAAGACCCACAUGUGAGCAAGCUCCUUCAAUGCCCAAAACGAAAUGAUGGCACCUCCCAAAUGAGUUAAAAGAUAAAAAUCGAGUUUCUCACUAAAGUAAUUUUUUUUUAAAGAAAUAUUAUAAAUCUACAUCCAUUUUCAAAAUAUUACCAAAUGAAUGUUUCCUAUCAUAUUAGUGUCUACUAUUAUUAUUAUUUUUUAAUGUUUAAACCAUAAUUGAUAACUAUGAUUUUAAAUUUAAAAGCCAAAAUCACAAUCACCAAUUAUAAUUUUGAUAUAAAAAAAAAUUAAUGUUAAAACUAUAGGUUUUAACCUUAAAACUAAUUAAAGUUACCAAGAGUAAUUUUAGUAUGGAAAAAGUAAAAAAAUAAUAAUAAUGUAAGAACAUUGAUGCAACAUUGAAGCACUAAUUUGAUUAAUAUUUUUUAAAAAACUAUCAAGAUUUAAUAUUUUUUAUUUCCAAAAAGCAUUAUUUUUAUUGUAAACUCAACAAAUUUAAGAUGCAAGUGAGCCAUAAUUGAUCAUAUACUAGAAUUUCUAGCAUACUUUCGUACGAAUAAGAUCAAGUCUUUUGGUACAAGAGUCCCGGUUUAAAAGAGAAAUAAUGAGUUUGAAAAAUAUCGUGAUAGAGAAUUUAUGAUAAGAAGGGUUGUCAAAAUAUUUUGAAAACUUUUAGUAAUUUUAUGGAGAUAUAACAUAUUUUGAAAAUGCUUUUCAAAAUGGAUUAUUUAAUUCCUUUUUGGAAAUAAACAUUUUUUGGAUUUUUUUAUAAAUAAUAUUUUAUCCACUAAGAAAUUACUAAAAUGUUUUGUUUUUGGUAGUAUUAAUGGGAUAGAUUUUUACGAAGUUUCCAUAUAAAUAUUUAUUAAGUUGAAAAUAUGUAGGGAUAAGGAAAGUAAAUUUAUAAGGAAUUUUGAAUAUGAUAGAAGAGUUUAGAUAAUGUGCUUUCAAGUUAUUCAAAAUCUUAUAAAUUAGUAAUUUUCUUAUUACAUCAGAGUUUUCAAUUUGGAAAAUAAAUAUUUUGAAAAUUUUCACUAGAGAUAAUUUAUCAUUAAAAGAUUAUUACCAAAAGACUUAGUAUUUUGAUGGAAAUAAAUUUUUUUGAAACAUUUCCUUAAUAAAAUAUUUAUUAAUUGGAAUUGUGUAUAGAAGGAGAAUUUUUUGAAAAUAGAUUUUAAAAUUUUGAGAGUGGAUAUUUAUCAAAAUUAUUUAUGAAAGUUACUCUCAUGGAAAUUUUAAAAUUUUCAAGUUCAUAUUCUCCUAUUACACUAGGUAUCCAAUUAGGAAAUAAAUAUUUUUGAAAAUUUUCGAAGUAUAUAAUUUAUUUAUCAAAAAAUUACUAAUGGUUUUAAAAUGCUCUUAUUUAUAUCAAAAGAUUGAGUAGGAGAGGGCCUUAGGCAAGCCCAUGACCCCUAUUAUCAAGCCCAUCUUGAUUUGGGUUCAUCACUAUCCCACCGAGGGGUUGGGCCCUAGGAAUCAAAGGAUAUAAACUCUCCAUUAGGACGUGAUUGGACAUGUCUGCAGUGGGAGCAACCAGCCCACUAGUGGAGUUCCUUACUUAGUGACAUUGAUAGUUCAAGGACAAUGGUUAUACACUUAUCAUUGGAUAUGAAGUGGUUGAAUUACCUACUGCAAUCCUACUUGCAUAGUCUAUGGGCUAAAUAAAAAGGUAUAUUGAUCUUGCCUUUAGAUACAUUUCAUGGUUAAGGCAAGGAGAUCAAUCUAAGAGGGUCUCUAACUAGUAAUAAGGUUAUGACUUGCCCACCACAGACUUGAUUCUUAUGAUACUAGGAUACUUUGUAAGAGGAGAUGUAGUUUAAGAGCAUUACAUUUUUGCUAAAUUAAUUACUAAUUCCUUAAAUGCUUAGUUAAUUAUGUCAAUUAUGAUACUAAUGAUACUAAUGCCUUAAAUGGUCAAUUACGCCAUAUGCUUGAUUAUAUUCUUUGUUACAGAUAUCAUGUUGGUUUUACUAUCACGCUCUCCCUCACAAUAGACCAAGCCCAACUAAUCAAUUGGACUAAUUUUAUUCUAGAUAUAACAACUAAUCGCAUAGAAGCUAGUUUAGAGAGACCUAGCUUUUCCUUAUGAACUAACCUAGCAAAAUGAAAGAGUGGUAUAUCAAGGUGGUAUUAGACGGAUCAGAAGACCAAGUGUCUAAUAAUUUGAUCUUUGGAUAAUGUGUUGUAAUAGCAACACAUGUUUAUUACUAGAGACUUUGAUAUUCUCUUUCUAGUUUACAAUGGUUAUUUGGUGAUAAGGAUAGAUCAGCUUUGACAAACUACUCUUAAGGCUAUUAUGAACACUAGUAUUCAUAUUAUUUUAAAGACCUUUCCAUUUUCUUUCGGGAUGGUUAAAUGGAUUCUCAAAGAUUAUAAGGUGUUCAUAUGGAAGUCAAAGGUUCUUCAAGUUCUUCCAUCAAUAAGAAGAAAAACAACACCAAUAAGGAAAGUUCAAGAUAAGGAAUAAGAGAGCAAGUUUAGGGAUAAGUGACUCAUUUGUGACCUUUUAGGACAUUAGAAAAUGAAUGUCUAGUUUAACUAAAGGAAAAAUGAAAGUAUACAUCAUUUUCUCAUUGUUGAAUAUUUAGUUGUGGAUUUCACCAUUUAUGGUGGAUAGAUUUCAGGCCCGCUAUUUGUAAGUCCUUAUAGGAUAUUCAAUAAGUGAGAAGGUUAAAUGAUGGGAUUAUACUUACCUUACCUUCAAAUGCAAGGUUAGUUUUGCAACUUAGUGGGAAGUAAUUUCUUUUUCUUUUAUAUGUAUUCCAUUAUCACUUUGCCAAGUUAUGAGAAUAGUUAAAUCUCAAGAUUGAGCCUAGCACUAAUUAAACAUUUGGUAUCAAACCUAGGUCAUAUUAAUCUAAAUAGAAUCUAAAGACUAGUAAAGUUUAGACUCUUUGAUUCUAGAAGAUCUUCUAGUCUGUAAAUAAUGUAUAAAUGGUAAAAUGACCAAGAGGACUAGAGCCAAAGAAUAUUCAGAGUUAGUGCAUAUUGAAAUGUAUGGAAUUUUUAGUGUCCAUACAUGGGGAGGGUAUGGGUAUUUCAUUACUUUUAGUAAUGAUUACUCUAGGCUUGGUGUGGACCCGCAUUUUUCACGUGCGCCCCCACUUGAUUGGUGAGACUCACUUUUUUUUUGUGAAAAAUUUAAUUGGAAAAAGUUAGAGUCAUCACUUAUUUUAUUUUUAUUUUAAAGGGAAAAUAAAACAAGAAAAAAAACCCCUAAAAUGUGACUCCAUAAUUUUUGGAAAAAGCAUGUCUUUGAAAAAUCCGAAUCUAGGUCUGAGGAUCAGGUUACUUAUUGGGAAGAUACCUCUAGGAGGUAGCACCCCUCUAAGCCCUAAAGAAGUCUUUACUGACUAAAUUGGGGGAAAUGUGGCAAUUAAUUGAUUAAUUGAGGAUACCUAGAUAGACUAAGGUGAUUUCAAAAAGUAACAUGUCAAAUAGGAUCAAAUUACAAUAAAGGAGAGUUAGGGUGCAAACCUGGACUGCUUCUUAAGCACCAUCAAAAGACAUCAAAGGUUAGUCUGAAAAUGUGAUACAACAUUUGUUUUAUCCAAGCAAAUUAAACAUGUAUCUGAAUACCCAAGAAUCACAUCAUGUAUAGAUAUAAUCACCAAUAGCAUACGUGCUCACAUAAUUCUCGAAAAUAGGUGAGGAGGAGCGUACCUGGAUAGCAAGCUAGUACUCUAUGGGAAACAAAAUUAGCCAAAUAACAGAUUCAAAAUAAUCUCAUAUAUACCACAAAGAGGAAGCACAAUCAGUCGAAUAUCAAACAAACACUAUCAAAGAAAAUAUUCAUGAAUGUUGGGUCCCCCACCAAAGCCCUAAUUAAUUUCGCAUGAGUUGAUUCUAUGAAUUCCAUUGUUUGGAAUCAUGAGGUUUGUUCAUGCUUGCUUAAAAAAGAAAAUCAAGAAAAUCAUUUGAAAACAAUGAAAAUGCAUACCAAAGGGAAAAUUGGCAGCAACAAGUUUGUUAAAAUCUGGAUCUUACUGCUUAUGGAAGGACUGAGGACGAUUCUUUAAAGUAAGAAUUAUUUGGAUGAAAACGAUUUUGAGAACACAAUUUAAAAUACAUAAAAAUACGAGGAUAACAAGAGGAUGCAAGAGGAAGAGGGUAAUGUGCACCAGAAUGGCCGUGCCAGAGUGGGGCUUGGGGGUCCAGCUAUGACUGCGUUGCUGGUGGUUGUAGGUGUUGCCGUUAUUCUCUCUAAAUUUUCCCUUUCUACUCUCUUGCACGUAUUCAAAUACCUUACAUUGCUGCAUUUCUGGGCCUUUUUUGAUUACUUGAAAUCCCAUACGUUCGGACUUACUUCCAAGAGCUUUGACAUUAAUUCCUCGUAUAAAUCUCUGAAAUAUGCUGAGAAAUUUAUUCUUUUUGGACUGCCAUUUUGAUAGUUGAAGAACUGAAGGCUGAAGAAUCAUAUCCAAUUGGAUUCAGCUUGAGAGGAUGACCAUAGGUCAUGGUCGAAAAUGAAGUCAAUUUCCUUUUCCUCGGACCUUUCUGUAUGUCCAUGUUCAUCUGUUAGCAGCAUGACUUCCUCCUCAGGCUUGUGGUGCAGGGAAUUACCUAAGUCCUUUACAUGCAAAUCAGAAUUCUCCAGUUGCAAUUUUAUAUUAGAAUUCUUUAACUUCCCUACUUUAUUCUCUGAAUCAAGUUCGGACAUCAUCAUCUGUUUCAAUUUUUGGAGACUAAUUUCAGAUCCAAAGGUAAAGCUUUCUAUCCCUCUUGUAAUUGAGAGUGCAAAUUCUACAGAUUCUGCAAUUCUCCCAGCAUCUGCUUCUGGUUUUUCUCAAGCUCCUGGACAAGGGCUUCAUAGUAGUACUCCAUCUGGUCCAUUUUUCUUACAAGGCUUUCCUGUUCAGCUUUGGACUCAUCCAACCCUCUCUUUGAAGUUUAAAGGAUUUGUCUUUUAUUGCAUUGGUAGCAUCUAGAGAAUCAGGUACAAUAGAAACCAGGCCAGAUACACUAAGUAAUGAAGAAAAUCUUUAGGUUGAUAUAAUACAGCAUCAAAUCCAGUUCCUAACACAAAUUGUUGUCUUUUUCUCGUCUCCUUUAUGUUUGCAAUUUCUGAUGGUAAAGCAUUGAACAUAGAAAUUGCUUGUCCAGUUCUUUGUUUGAGGUCCUUAGUUUGAAACUCUGUCUUGUCCUCCAUAUUUAAUAGUCCCUUUAGCCAUCUCAGCUGUGAGUCUUCAAAUCUAUGAUCCUAAUCUGUCCGGAUAAUUUCCCUCCUAGCAAAUUCGGGAAUUGACUUAGAAUUUCUAAGAUGUUCAAGGUCCUCCUUGAGUUUUGAACACUCUAAUUUCAGUACAGAACCUCUUCUGCAAGAACUUCUCCUGAAGCAAUCUCAGCAGCAAGUUGUUUAGCGAACUUUUGCGUUCAACGUCUAUUUCAUCAACAUGACUUUGUAGAGAGCUUACCUCCUGUUUAAGCUCAAUAACAGAAGACUCUGCAAUUUUCGAGCUUCUUCUAAGCCUAUUCUUCUCUUCAUAAGCAAUUGCCAAGUCAUUAUCCGCAGAAUGAUCUAGACUCCAUCCAUGGACCCAAUCAUUGCUUCCCUAUGCCAAAAACCUCUGAUCUGAUGGGUCCCCUUUCUCCGUCUGGGGGCUUUGAGUGUAGGAAAAUCCAUUUAAAUCACUAGAGAUCAUGCUCUUAAGGCUAUCGAUUUCAUGUGUACUGGAGUUAUCAUGUUGUUCAGCACAUAAACCUUCUGAUGUAUUCAAUGAGCCAUCAAAUCCAAUAGUUGGGUCUGAAUAUUCAUCAUUUAAUCCUCCAUCUUCUUCAAGUGAAGGAAGCUCCGUUGAUUCUGGUUUGGAUCUAACCCUUGUACUGAUUCUAUCCAUGUGUUCAUUAACAGUUUCUUCGGAUGAUAAUGCCUCUCCUCCAUUAGAUCCAUCACGCCUAUUUUGUCCAGUGUUCAUCUGCAACCCUCUCUCUCUCAGUUUCCUCUACUGCUCAAACUCUCUGAACCCGUUUUUAGAAGUUAACAGCUGCACAAUAACAUGUAAUACAGUUCCAGAAUUGCAUCCAUGAAGAGGCAGUGCAACAACAUAAGGCUUUAGCGUUCACAUCAGCUUUCAUACGUCAACGGAGGUAUGGCAUAAUCAAGUCACGUAGGACUAUUGCACACCUGUAAAUGGUGGAUACUUGUAAUGGAGAAGCAUUGGCAUAGCCACCAAUAGAUAUAGGAACUGUAAAUUCUGCUUCAAAAACACGCAACACUCCCAACUUCUCGGGGAAGAUAAAAUCGAACAAAGACCACAGCUCAGCUAGCUUGUUCUCAAUUGACGCACCAGUCGUUAUUAUACGAUGAACAGUCUGUAGCUAUUUAUGAAGUAUGGUAACUUCAGCAUUUGAAUUCCGAAUUCGGUGUUCUUCAUCUAAAAUUGCAUAACCCCAUUUGAUAUCAAGUAGCUUUCCAGCCUGGAUGGCCUUGCCAAGUCCCAUCUCAUCUCCAAUAAUUCCACCUACUUGUUGGCAAUGUAGUUCCCACAGCUACUGAACCUCCACCUUUUGAUGAUAAAAAGUUUGCUAAAUAUGAUUUCAGGUAUUCUCCGACCACCUUCAAUUGUUACAUAAGGGGGUUCAUUAUCAUCUAUAUCUUCAAUAUCUUUUUGGUUUACUUCUUCAUUACUGGAGGUCACUAAGUUGUCACUUGUAUCUCCAUCACGAUCUGUCUCCUCAAAUUCUAGGAUCGAAGCACCUGCAGAAUUAUUCUGAGCUAUGUCUAUGCUGGAAGAUGGACAAGACUGCCUCUUAACUUCACCUCAAAUAACUGGAAUUUCUGAACCCUUACGAUUUGGAUGGCAAGGUAGUUCGAACCGAUUUCUAACCAGACUACAUAGUCUUCGAAUCACAGUUUUUGUUUUAAGAAAUGAAACAGAUUAACCAAGAUAUGCAAGGCUUUGAUCCAGCUUUAGUACAGAAUUACUAGAACCAGCUAAUGUUGAACUACUAACUAUACAUUCUGAUUCAAAUAGAAUCCUUUCUAUCAAAUGAGUUUAUUCCAUCGCCUACCUUAAUCCUUUUUAAUUUUGAACAUGAGAGAAGAAGAGCGUUAUAACUUCUAUUUGAUUUUCCCAUUUUUAAUAGCAUUUGCCUCAGCUUUUGGAGAAGAGUUUCAUCAUCUGACCUGGCCGUUUGCAAUGCUUCCAGAAAAUUCUUGCAGCUUGCAUCAUCUUGAUCGCUUGGUUUGUUUUCCACAUCGUCAAAAAUGACCUUCAAUAAAUUUAGAAGCUGCUCCAGAUGAGCCACAUUCCUCAAAUAAAGGGGCUGUUUCAAGAGGAUCAACAGCAAAGCAAUAGACAUGUAUCCUUCAUGAUGCAGCUUUUUAUCUACAACUUCAUCCUCAAAGAAUAAAUAGCACUCAGAAAUCAUUUUUUAUGCUUCAUUGAACCGUAUUCUUCUCUCUUCGGGCGCAUUGGAAAUCUGUAUUCUGGUUGCUGGCAUAGUACAGUAAUUCACCAAAAUAUCUCAUGAGCAUGCUGGGCAAGAUUCACAAAGGCAGCCUUAUUGAGGGGGUCUUUAUGUUUCAGCUUCAGAAAAUUAUCUAUAAUAGACAUUACUUCAACACAUUGGUAAGAGUUCAAGACAAAUCUGCAUGUCCACUCUUGAAUGACUCAAAGAUGACCCUGUCCGAAACUCAAAGCCUAUAGAAUUCUCCAACAGCAUCCUCUAAUAGCUUAUCCUGCUCAUUAGCUGCUUCUCUGCCACUCCAUGCAUAGGGCUUCUUAAUAUUCCAGAGCCUAUUCAUGACUUAUCUCAAACGUAAACAAAAAAAUAGAGAAUCAGGACCUUCAAUUGAUGCCUACGUUCAGAAGCUGUAACUGGGCAUCAAAAUCAUCUAGGCAUAGAUCACAACCCUCAACAUGAACUGUGAAAUCUUCAAUGAACUGCAAAAUGUCAUCCACCCGCUUUGGAACAGCAAAUAAGAGCAAGCAAGGAGUAAGAAAAAAAAAUUGAUGCGAUCUCCUCCAGUAGCAUCAUUCCAGUAUACUGAAACGAGGUUUCAAAUUCCAUUCUAACCAACUAAGAAUUUUCCUUUACACGCCAUCUUUUGGCAAAUAGCAUGUAUGUUGGACCACCAAAGACAUUGCCUCUUCUGGAUCAAGGACCAGAAGCUCAUCUGUUACAGCAGCCCCUCUAAUAGCUGUUAUGGUUAUAAAAAACAGCAGCAUACCAAAACAAGUUGCCACCAAAUAUAUGGCCUUCUCAUUGAAUUCUCUAAAGAUUCACUUCGACAAAUUUGACCAUCUCUGAGAUGAUGCUGUGGUUGGAUGAUUAUAAAACUGUUCAGCAUGCCCCAAGGAGUGAACACCAGAACGAAUAUGACAAGAAACAGAGAAAGAAGAAGCAUCACAAUCUCAACAACCAUAAGCCUUUUCUUCAAUGUUUUAGGGUUAGAAACAAAGUCCCUUCGAGCACAAAAGUUCCUAUCAAACAUGCUCUGCAGUAUGCACCAAUUCAAGGUCUAUUCAAGGGCCUUUGUCAGUAUCAGAUGAUGCUGCACUCCAUUUGAGCCAAAUUUAACAGUCGGUCCAGCACCUGGGACUCAACGAGAUAUUGGGAAAGCAAGAACUCUCUUACGGAGCAUUCCAAUUAAGUAAUUCUCCUUCCGCAUCAAUCGCACUACCACGUCAUGAGCAGAAAGAUCCUUAACUACACAAAGUUGUGAACUUUGUGAUUGAACAACCUUUCAAAAAUUGAUGCCCAAUGAAUCGUUUGAACCUCAUUGUCAGUAACAUGGAGGCUGUUGUAAUCAAGAUCCAUGCUGGAUUAUUUUUCUCUUAAAUAAUGCAUAUGUUCUUCAAUAGGUGAUAUCUGGCUGCACAUUUCACCCUUCAUUCCCAGAAAAAUAUCACUUCAUAACCAAAAACACAUUCAAACAACUCCGUUGUCCUCUGGCUUUACUAAAUGCAAUUUCCCAUUACAGGAGCCAAAGUACCAUAGGGUUACCUUGUCCUGAAAAAUGUUUAUACAUCAAAUAUCCAUUGAAGCUAAGUUCAUUAAAUACGUCAACCAAGCAAGACAAACAGUCUCAAAUGGGAGUUACAGCUCUGCAGUGCGAAUUCUUCACAGUAAAACAGGAUUUCUUGCCAUCCAAGAGUGUAAUCAACAGAUGGCUUAUCUCUUGAUGAAAAAAAAGUGUGCUUAGAGGAAUGAGCACCCAUUUCUUCCUAUCUCUCUUGUCAAUUCAGUAGCUGCUUGAAACAAACUAAACAGAGCAAGUUCAGGCAGAAGGUCUCCUCAUAGUCACAAUCAUUAAUACAACACCCGCAAUGAAAACAGCGUGCUAUGCACAAAGUGCAAGCUCUGCACAACUGAGCAGAUUGAUGUUUCCCUUGGCAACUCUCUGAUGGGCAAUCAUAUACUAAUCUCACUUUCUGGCAUCUAGGGCAAACCUCGAUGUCAAUGGCACGAUCAGCAUUACAUGAAAGAUACAACUGCUCUCCAUGAUGAAACCGUGGUUUGAUCUCUUGUUGCAGGCAUUCAGUGGGACAGUUCCAGUGUAGAGAUGACCUGAUGCUCUUUUUUUUUUUACCCAAAAGUUAUAGAUUUUCUUUUAUCAAUCAUACAAGCAAAAUAAAUACUAGAGGAUCAUCUUCAUAGUUUAAAUCUCUACAGCCGUCUAACCCCAAGCAACCCUGUUAUACGCAGCUUUUAAGAAGUUUCUGCCUUUCUUGGAAUAUUCAUAUCAUCAUGGUCUCCGUAGCCCAGGACACCAAAGGGGAAAGGGAAGAAAUAUGGAUGCAAAAGCAAAGAAGAAAAAAAUAAUCCAAGAAAAACAAAGCAAGGGAGAUAAAGGUGGGUAAGCAGAUAAGCCACAUUUCAUUAUUUUCAAAAGGGCUUUGAAGAAUUGAACACGUUAAGACAAACUUAGUUAGAAUUAUAUCAAGAUUCCACAAACAUUAAAGUUCAAACAUAAGUCUCUGUUUCAGCUAUUUAUAAAAAAAAGAAUCAAAGAAAUCAAGAACACAAUCAUAAUAGAGCAAGCUUGUAGGAAAUUUCGAUUCAACAACACAAAUAAGUGGCCCUCAAUGUCCACUCCAAUCAGCGAGAAUAACUUCUCGAAAACAGCCAGAGAAUCUAGAGUGGAAUGUAAACGGGAAUACCAAAAUAAAAAAAAUAAAAAAAACAAGAAGCGUACCUGGCAGAACCCUGGCUGCAAUCUCCCUUUUUUCUGCUCUUGUGCACUUUUCCGCCAAGACAAUCAAAGAAUUUCCCCUCCUUUCUUUUCCCCUUUUGCUCUCCUCCUCAAAAAACCCAUCUCUUAGAGCUUUUUAUAGCAAAUAACAGUCCUCCUACGUGAGGAGUCUUCCUCUCUCCAAAUUUUAUCUUAUGCACCGAAAAAACUUUUUUUUUUUUUUAAUUUCAAACAAUACCAAUCCAUGUGCAUCACCUACAAUCCAUGCAUGUCAUCUAAAGAGUCUUACCGUUUUCAAAAACUUCUCCAAUGGUAGACUUCUUCCAUAAAAAAUUCGAAUUAUUAAAUUAAAUAAAUAAAUAAUAAAAUAAAUAAAUAAUAAGUAAAUAAAUGGGAGCUAUGACUGUAUACACAUGUUGAGUUGGGAUGAUGGAUUACCCGAGCCGAUUGUUUUGCAUGACAGCUAUGAGAUUGAUGGGGUUUCAUUGGUCCCUUAGACUCCUGCACUAUUCAGUUUGAUCCCGGACGAGGCACCAUUCCAGUUGACUCAUCCUAUACCCUUAGUUAUCGGAUGUCAGGAUAUUUUUGUCCCUUUCACCUUAUGGCCAGAGGAUGAUGAUUCAGAGGGGAGAGAGAUACAGAUUGUGACUCGUAGUGGGAGGAUAGCUCAGCCACCACCACCACCAGUCAGACCAUUUGAGGGUACAGCCUCUCAUGAGGAGGUUAGGAGAGAGGAUGAUGAGGUUUUGAGACAGCUACAGAGCACUCAGGCUCGCAUUUCCAUUUGGAGUUUAUUAGCAUCAUCCAGUACUCAUAGAGAUGCUUUGAUUCGAGCCUUGACUCAGAUUAGAGUAGAGACUACCACCACUCCAGAGGGAUUGAUUCAUAUGAUGACGGCUGGCAGAGCCACUUGCAUUGUAUUUUCAGAUGAUGACUUGCCACCUGAUGGUUUAGACCACGUGCGCCCUCUAUACAUCACAGUUGGAUGUUCAGGCCGUAGAGUCUCGUCUGUCCUACUGGACAACGGCUCAGCCCUGAAUGUUUGUCCUUUAGCCACUGCUAUAGCCCUUGGUUUCGCGCCUUCAGAUUUUGGUCCUUCUACUCAGACAGUCAGGGCGUAUGAUAGCACCAAGAGGGAGGUUAUGGGUACCUUGAUGAUUGAUUUGCAGAUUGGUCCAACCACAUUUUCCACUUUGUUCCAGGUUUUGAGGAUUCCUACAUCCUUUAACCUACUACUGGGCCGACCAUGGAUUCAUGUAGCUGGAGCUAUUCCUUCUUCCCUUCAUCAGAAGGUGAAGUUCAUUCAUGAUGGGCAGGUUAUCACAGUACAGUCCACCAGGGAUAUGUUAGCCUCUUCCGAGCCAGUACUUCAGAUUAGUCACAGUGAGGAUGACCCAUUUUUGACUGGAUUUACUUUUGAUGAGAUACAGACUCUCGAGAUUGAGGAUUUUCAUAGAGACUUUGUGGCUAUGUCAUUUGAUCAGCACAGUAGCACAGUGGUCCUUGAUAUGAUGAGGGGUAUGACCUUUCUACCUGGCAUGGGGUUAGGACGACGUCAGCAGGAACCGAGUGAGUUCAUAGCUGCCAUUGACCAUGAUACGACAUUUGGACUUGGAUUCAUCCCUACUGAGGCCGAUUACCGUCACAUGGCGCAGCUGCGCAAGGAGAGGGUGAGAGCCCGUUUAUCCCACACACCAUUUGAUUAUCCUAUUCGACCCUAUAGGAUGAGUUUGGCUGACUACUUUGUCAGAAGAUCAGAGACUCGACCUCGUCUAGAGGAGAUUGAUAGUGUGGUUCAUAUAGAUAGGGAGACCGAUCUUCAGCAUCUAUUUCAC
rnacentral:lncRNA from 1 species